rnacentral:lncRNA from 1 species
AAAAAAAGAACUUAGCCUAGCACCGAGUGAACUUUACAAUGAGAGGUGUUAACUUCUCAUGAGGAAGAUUUACCAUUGGUUUCCCAUAUAGUGUUGGAUUCCCUUGGAGGAAGAUCCACCAUUAGAUUCCCAUAAGGUGUGACUUCCUUUGGAGUAAUAUUCACCUAUGGUUCCACAUGAGGUGGUGGCUUUCCUUGAGGUUUUUCUCAUUAAAUAAGGGUUCAAUUCCAUUUCUGGAAGGUCAUGUAUAUCUCUUAGUUCCAUAAACUAUGAUUUCCACAUAGGAUGUAGCAAGUGAAUUCACUUAGUAUGCUAGGAUGUAUGUAAAUGUUCUACCUUGGCUAGGUGAGAACACCUUCCUUUGGUGUAAGUCUCUACAACACCAAAUUCUAUGUUUAGAAUCCAUGGUCCUAAUAUCGGUUAAGGCUAUGUUUUUGUUAAAUAAAAUAGACAAUGGAAGUAAAUGACUAAGACCCUAACUAGGAUGACCUAAGGGAGGUUACUUAGGAUAGGAGGAAGUAAUGAACCCACCUAGACAUUUCACAAGUUGCUUCUUAGGGAGUUCUAGGAAGAUGAUCUAAGUUGUAUGGUUAUGGUUAUGUCUUUAUGCAUGGCAUGGUAGUAUUUGUCUACUUGUUAUGAAGAUGUGCAUGUCAUCAGUCUAUAUGACGUGGUGUUAUUCUUAUAUUCACUAUGUGGUUCUUAAUGACAAUAUGAUGAAGGUUUUUGAAAUGAAUGAAGUUGUCUUCAAUUAUUUGUUGAUAUAUGAUUCGGAUGGUAAGGCUUGUGGUCUCAUUAUAGGGCUACUAAGUAUGUGGGAGACUAUUGGGCUUCACAUGUACAUUGCACUAGUAGAUUUAGAUUGGGAUUAUGACUAAGGUCUCAUAAGGUUCUAUGUAAAGUAAAAAAAGUAUAUGUGCAUAAUGACUAAGAUUUUACUGUAAUUCCUUAUGGUCUUGACUUGAAUGUGUCUUGAUAUGUGCUAUACUUCUAUGAUGGUAUAUGUUGGCUUAUGAAAGGUGUAUGUAUGGUUUUCCUUGUGACCUUAAGGUGAUGCAUUGCAUGAAGUAUCACUAGAGGGUUACAAGGGAGGUUAAUGAGUUAAAAAAAGAACUACACUGUAAAAGGAAAGUAGUUCACUAUAAAGUGAAAAGAGCUCAUUGUAAAGUGACCUCAAAUAUGGCUUAAAUUCUAUAUGUGAUUUGAUAUGAUGUUCGGAUUUUGAAUAUGUCAAUAUGAAGUAUGUGAAUUACAUAAAUGCUAUUAUAUAAAGGUUUUAUGUAGAUACUCUCAAAAAUUCAUGAAGUAUGAUUUUCAAGAAAAUGUCCCUUUUAACUGUAGGUUUUUGCAUGGUUGUAAUACUUAUGUAUUCUUGUACUAUUUCCAUUCUUCUCUACUUUUUAUACGAAGUGUAGGUUAUGGAUCUUAAGCUAUGUCUUUAAUGGUAAGGAGCUUGAUAUGUGAUUCCCAAGCUCAAGACAUGGGUCCUUAAGUUCCAAGGAUUUCCUAUUUAUGGUUUACUAUAAAAUCUUGUAAUUAUAUAGUUAGGUAUUUUUUUGUAAGGGUCAUGUCCCUAAGGUACUCUUAUGAUGUUGAGUCUAGGAUGGCAAGCGAGACUAGAGUCUUUAACUAUGUAUGAAAUAUUUUAUAUAUAUGAAAUAAUGUUCUAUAAUAUGAUGUGCUAAGAAAGUUUUGAAUUUUCCGCUAAAAUUCCCAAUGACAAUGCGAUGAAUGAUAAUUGUGGGCUUGUAUAAGACAUCUGAGAGGUCAAGUACGCCAUGUCACUUCUAGGGGGUGAUCCGCGGAUGUGACAGAAUGCCUAGCCUUCAGGGACACGAUCAAGUUUCAUGGGUUUGAGAGGUUCACUCGAACUCGACCUCCUUAUGUCUAGGCCUAUGUAUGAGAGUUUUAUGUGGAGUAUACAAAGGCCUUUUUCAAGAAGAGAAAGGCACAAUUUUUAACAUGUUGCAUGACAUUGAGGUUUGUGGUAAGAUGGUACCAUGUUGCGCAUGCAAGAUAACUUUAAAAUUGGGCACUAAAGGCGAAAAAAAUUAAUUUCUACAUGCUCAGAACGAAACAUGGCCUAAAAGCACCCAAGGGGUAGGUGACGCCCCAGCACCCAAGGGGUGGGUGACGCUCCUCAUUUUAGACAUGACUCGUCCAUGGAUGGUUUAUGGAGGGAGGAUAGAUAAGAAGGAUAUGAACAUCACCUCGCAUAUUGGUUCGACUUUAUUAGCACAAACUUAUGCCAUCCCAAAUUGAGUCCUAACUAUGGCAUGCGCCGUCUUAUUUGGCAGCAUCAUUGAUCAGAGUAAGGUAGAUGUUGGUCUCAUUAUUGUUGAGGAGAAGCUAAUGAUAGCUCAUCAGGAGAAAACUUCCCUCCCAUUUCCAGUCUUGAUCAGAUAGUUGUGUGAGGCUGCGGGUGCCCCUAUUAGCGGCAGGCAUCAACUCAACUUAGUAGAAAUGAAGAAUAUUUAAUUUUAAUAUUUGAAAAACAUAAUAUAUAUAUAUAUAUAUAUGUGUGUGUGUGUGUGCGUGCGUGCGUGUGCGUGUGCGUGUGCAUGCGUGUGCGCGUGCGUGCGUGCUUGCUUGCUUGCGUGCGCGCGUGUGCGUGUGUGUGUGUGUGUGUGUGUGUGUGUAUGUGUGUGUGUGAAAAGAACUAAUCUGAAAUAAAUAAACAAAAAUACAUAAUAAGAAUAAGUCACCAAUAGGAUCGUGAUGGAGUGGUAAGUACUCCUUUUCAAUGUGAAUUCGUACAUAAUCAGAAUCAAAUAUAUAUAUCGGAAGUAGAUGAUAUAAAAAUAAUAAUAAGACACUAAAAGAGCAUGGAUAUGUAUAGUGUAUAUUUGCUGAAUUCAAUUAUUAUAACUCUAAUAAUAUUAAAUUGAAAAACUAUAAAAACUCAAACGUUAAAUUAUUAAGUUUGAAUACUAACUUGAUAUUAAAUAGCUUGGUGAAAGAAUUAUCAUUACUCACUAUUCAGGAUAGAAGAAGAGGAAAUGUUCGUUUACCUUCAACUUUUAUGUAAAAUCAUAUGUUAAUAUUAAUAAAUUCACUACCCCUGAUAUAAAUAUAUGUAAUUAUCCUAACAUUAAAUAAUGCAAAAUAUUAUCAAUUUGAGACACAAAUUAAAAUAUUUAAAAUCAUUGGAUAGUCCGACAAGAUCUUUUGUGUUUGUCCUCAUAAACAAACAAGAUAUAUAAUUGGAGAGACAAAACAAAUCAUUAAUCUAGCGUUUAGGAGGUUGUAAAUUAUAUCCAGCUCUCAAUAAGUUUUUAGCUAAUUUAGAACUAGAGGAUUGGAACCUCCAAAAAAUUUUGUGUGAAGCAUUAGCAUCAUUACUGCAAAAAAGUAUGGCAAAUAAAAAAGUAGAAAGACAACUCUUUCUUAAGAGUUCCAGUUUAAUAGAAAAAAAGUUAUUCCUUCUUACUCUAACUUAGAUUGAGAAAAACCUGAUGAAAAAAUUGAAAAUAUGUAAAAAGUACUUAUAGAGAAAAAAUAUGGAGAUAGAGUCAAUCAGCAGACUACGAAAAAUAAGGAUAAGACUGUUAGAACAAAAAUAUUCAAGAAACUGAUUUGAAAAAUAAAAAUAAAGUGAACUUAUGAAAUUUUUUCUCUAUAUUAAUCUGCAGAAAGUCUGAAUUUUAUACAAGGAAAAACAUAAACAUUAAAACUCAAUAAGAAUAUGUGUCACUAACUACCACAAAAGGGGCUACUAACAGCCAUAAAUGGGGCCACUAACUUCAGAAGGUUGAGAAAUUAAAGUUUAUUAAGUCUAGCGAGAAAAUAGGAAACACUAAACUGAAAUAAGUACACACAGUAAAAAUAAUAAUAAGCUAGAAAAAAUGUCAAUUGUCUAACACUCCUCCUCGGCAUUUUUGUGGCAAACACCAAUUCUUUGCCUCAGAUCUUCAAACCUUUCCUUUGGCAAUGACAUGGUGAAAAUGUCAACUACCUGGUUCUCACAUGAACAAUGAACAAGCAAAACUUCAUUAGAUUGUUGGGCUUCUCUAAUAAAAUGAAAAUUGAUCUUGAUAUGCUUAGUUCGAUCAUGAAACACUGGAUUUUUUUAGAUUGAAACUGCUGAACUGUUAUCAGACAUGAUCUUGGUAGCUUAUGUUUGUUCAUGGCCUAAGUCCUUCAUCAUCUUCCUUAGCCAUAUAGAUUGAUUCACAGCAGAUGCAGCAGCUACGUAUUCAGCUUCUGUUGUUGAUUGAGUUGUAGUUUCUUGUUUUCUAGAGCUCCAACUAAAACAAGUUGUCCCAAAACAGAAAGGAUAUCCAGAGAUGCUUAUGGAAUCAUCAAAUCCACCACCCCAACCACAAUCAGAGUACCCAAUCAUGUUUAUAGUUACUUCGGCAGAUGUUGAGAAAAAAAUUCCAAAUUUGUUGGUUCCUUUAAUAUACCUUAACACUCUUUUAGCCGCUGUGAGGCGUGUGUAUCUAGGUGAAUGCAUGAAUUUAGAGAGCAUACUAACAACAAAUAGAAUAUUUGACCUUCUUGUGGUUAGAUAUAAAAGACUAUCAAUUAAGCUUCUAUACAUACUAUCGUCCACUUUUUUGAAAUCCUCAUCCUUGUCAAGCUUCACACCAGUAGAUAUUGGAGUACUCAUAGGUUUGAAAUGUUGCAUUUUGAAGCUGUUUAGAAUAUCCGAAAUGUAAUUCUGGUGGCAUUUGAAAAUUCCAUCACUAGACUGCAACUCUUCCAUGCCAAGAAAGUACUUCAUGACUCCAAGAUCAUUCAUUUCAAAGAUUUUAUCCAUCUCAUCCUUGAACCUAUGGAUUAGUUUAAUUUUGCUUCCUGCCACAAGCAUGUCAUCCACAUAAAUUUAGACAAUUAAGGACCCACCUGCAGCAGUGACUUUCACAUACAAAGUAGCUUCACUUUGAAUUCUACUAAAUCCAAGUUAGAUGAGGCGAUUGUCCAACCUCUCAUACCAUGCCCUUGGGCUUGUUUUAGGCCAUACAAGGUCUUCAUUAAGAGAUAAACUUGAUCCUCUUUUCCGACAUUUGAGAAAACAUCAGGUUGCUACACAUAGAUCUCUUCAACAAGAAAAACGUUCAAGAAAACCAAUUUGAAAUCAAGUUGAUGAAUCUGCCAGGAACUAUGAGAUACAAAUGCAAAAAUAAUCUUGAUUGUGUCAUACCUUGCUACAAGAGCAAAUAUUUCCUGGUAAUCUGCACCAUAUUGUUGUGUGUUUCCCUUCACCAACAAUCUACCCUUAUGUUUGCAAAUUGUUCCAUCACGAUUGAGUUUUGUCUUGAAAAUCCAUUUUACACCAAUCACCUUACGAUUUCUAGGUCUGUCAACAAGAUUCCAGGUUUCGUUCUUCUAGAUCAUGUCUAGUUCAUCUUGCAUAGCUCUCCUCCAAGCCUAAGAGUCUUUUUCUUCAGCAAAGCUUGUUGGUUUAGAGGUUACCAAGUUACACUGCUGAUAGACAUCUUUUAAGUAUCGAGUUCCCCUCACUGGUACAUCAUCCACUAGUUCAUCUUCUGAAUGUUGAGGCUGCUCUAUUGAAAAUAAAUAAGAAUAAGAGGUAUUCUGAUUUUUCAAAUCCCAACCAGCUAUUUCAUUAAACUUCACUUCUCACUUAUCUGAUUUCAAACAGAAAAUCUUGUAACCUUUGGAUGAACUAUAGCCCAUAAAAAUUUCUUUAAAAGCCUUGUUAUCCAACUUACUCCUCUUUGUUUCUCUAACUUGAUAAUAAUAUAUACACCCAAAGAUUCCAACUUACUCCUCUUUGUUUCUGUAACUUGAUAAUAACAUAUACACCCAAAGAUUCUAAGAUAGUGUACUGAUGGUUUGUUCCCACACCAAGAUUAAUAUGGAGUCAUGUCCUGCAAGGCCUUGGUAGGCAAUCUUUUCAGAAAAUAUACAGAGGUAUUGACUGCCUCAGUCCAAAACUAAUUUGUUGUGGAGUGUAUGGCAAUGUAAAUUGGCGUUCAAUACCUGUGCUAUUACAAAACUCCACAAAUUGAGAAGAAGUAUAUUCUCCUCCAUUGUCAGACUUUAAAGCCUUAAUAGUAAGAUUACAUUGAUUUUCUACUAAAGCAUUAAAGUGUUUAAAAACAUCAAAUCCUUCACUAUUCAGUCUUAUGAAAUAAAACCAACACAUUCUGGUGUAUUAAUCAAUAAAGAGUAGAAUGUAUUUGUUACCAUUCAUUGAAUUUGUUUUCAUUUGGCUGCAAACAUCCGUAUGAAUGAGCUGAAGUUUCUGUUUAGCUCUCCACACUUGAUUUGGUUAAAAUGGCAAUUUUGUUUGCUUUCUCUGUUUGUAAAUUUCACAAACUUAAGCAUUAGAAAGAAAUACAGGCAUAUUUUCCACUAGUUCCUUCUUUUUCAUCUCCGCGAUGCUUCUCAGAUUGAAGUGACCAAACCUUUUGUGUCAUAGGUUUAGACAUGUUUGUGAAGUAAUAGUCUAAGCCCACUUAGUUAUUUUCUCAACUGAAAAACAUUAUGUUGCUCAUCUUGACGUAAAAUAACUAUACUCCAGAAGGGUCAGACACAACAUAUUCACGAUUCUUAAAAUGCAGAGAAUAAUUAUUUUCAAGCAUUUUUACAACAUUCAACAAAUUUUGACUACAUAUUAGGUGUGUACAAAACAUCAGGAAUAGUUUUGAUACCUGAUACUAUUGAGAUAGACAUUGUACCUCUGUCAUUGACUUAUACUGCCUCACUGUUUCCCACUUUUACUUUAGAUUUGUACGUAUCAUCGAGGAACUUGAGUAGUUUAGCAUCAUUAAACAAGUAUAUGUGCAACCACUGUCAAGAAUCAUGAAUCAUAGGAUUCACUGAUUGAAAAGUAUGAAACUGCAAAGAGUUGUUGCUCAUGUGCAUCGGCACCUUCUACUAUUUGUGCUUGCAAAGCAUCAGAGGCCUUUGCUCUUGAUUUUCAGACCUUGGAUAUGUGUUUCGUCUGCUUAGAGUUGCUGCAUAUAGCAUCUUCUCUCUAUCAACAAUAUUUCUCCAGAUGUGUUUCUUUUACAAUGUUUGCAAGGAGGGAACUCCUGCUUCACAUCUCCACUAUUGUUUCCUCCAUCAUACUUGCCCUUAUUCUUUGGUGGAAUUGUUGCUUUCCUUUUUGCUUUGUACACAGAAAGCUCCUUCACUGAACUCUUCCAAUAUUAUAGUCCUCCUUUGCUCUUGUGCUUGAAGAGAACUCAUUAGUUCACCUAAUGAAAGUUUGCCCAGGUUCUUGGAUUCUUCAAGAGAGGAAAUUUUAGAUUCAAACCUCUCAGGAAGAGUCACAAGAACUUUUUCCAAAAUUCGUCUGUCUGUAAAUUCUUCACCAAGAAGUCUAAUGUUAAUAACAAUUAAGGGAUUCGAUCAGCAUACUUACUGAUAGUUUCAUCCUCCUGCAUAUUCAAGGACUAAAACUCUCUUUUCAAGUUCAACACUUGCAUUCGACGUUUUUUAUCGCUGACUUGAUAUUCUUGUUUCAACCUAUCCCAAGCCUCUUUUGCAGUUUUGCAAGCCAUGAUUCUAUAAAACACAGAACCUGCCACAACAUUCUGCAUAAGCGACUUGGAUUUAGAUUUCUUUGCCUUCUCUUCUUUGUUAGAUUUGAUCUGAGCCAAGGUAGAAUUUGUUGUAGAGCAGUAAAUGGUUUAUCUUUCGUCACAAUUUCCCAAAGUUCAUAAGAUUCCAUAAAAGCUUGCAUCUUCACAGACCAGAUUUAGUAAUUUUUAUCGGUGAAAGUGAAUGGUGGAUUUAAAUGUAGGUUGUUGGACGCCAUUUGUGUUGCAGGUAAAAACUUUUUAGUCCUGUAAGAUCAAUUAGAGGCUCUGAUUCCACUGUUAGAACAAAAAUACUCAAGAAACUGAUUGGAAAAAUAAAAAUAGAGUGAACUUAUGAAAUUCCUUCACUAUAUUAAUCUGCAGAAAGUUUGAAUCUAUACAAGGAAAAAUAUAAACCUUAAAACUAAAUAAGAACAUGUGUCACUAACUACCAUAAAAGGAGCCACUAACAGCCAUAAAUGGGGCCAGUAACUUCAGAAAGUUGAGAAACUAAAGUUGACUAAGUCUAGCUUGAAAAUAGGAAGCACUAAACUGAAAUAAGUAAAAACAGUUAGAAUAAUAAUAAGCUAGAAAAAAUGUCAAUUUUUAACAAAGACUUAUUAUAAAAUUUAGGCAAAUAUAGUCAACCAAAAGAAUCGUAAAAAUAAGGUUGAUGUUGUUAUAUAAAAUUUAAGAACUAAAACUUAAUCUAAGAUUUAUCUAUUUUGUAUAGGUGUAAUUAAGCUCAAUAAAUAGAGGAGUGUUUUUAAGAUAAUCAAUAGUUCGAAGAUAAAACUAAUAGUUCACAUCAAGUUUGAAUGUUUUCUCGAUGAUUUUCUCAAAGAAAAUCAUCAAGUAUGUGUGGUAAAGAAAGAGUAAAAUACACGUGCUUAAUAGGAAAAGGAAAAGAUAGGCCCAACUUAAUAGUACACUUCUCUCAAUUUAUUGUACAAUUUGUUUAAUUAAGUUCUUACACCUUAACUAUCACUUCUAAGGUGUAAGACCUCCUGAACCACCACUUAACGUCACUCGUGCAUAUGAUUAAAAGUUUUUUUUCAAUUAUGGGAAAAGACCUAAAUAUGCCAUAGAAUUUGAGAAAAGAUUUAUUCAUGUGAUUGUUAAAAAUUUGGUUUAUCCAUGUGAUUUUCAUUUGAGAAAAUGCUCAUUAUGUCAUUAUUUGUUAAUCAAAAUGUCAUAAAUGAGUCAGUCUUUAACAAAUGACAUAGAUGAAUCUUUCAAAACUAGUUUUUCUGCUACUUCUCAUGAGAUAAGGGUAAAGUUUGCAUAUAGUACUCUACCGUCUCUAGACGAUAUAUAUGUGUGAAAUAACAUUGAAUAUAUUAUUAUAUAUUAUCAUCGCACUACAUAAAAAAAUUAUCUAUAGCAGUAACUAAUUAACACCAAUAUCUUAAUUUUAUUAAAUAUGUAUUUCUAAGCAGCAAUUAACACUUUUUAUGUAUGUCUAUAUAGUUUUUAGCCACAUUGUAUCUAAUGACACUUAAGUAAUGUCGGUAAAAACUUUAACACUCUUUAGUAAUGUAUAUUUUUAUUGCAUUUAGAAGUUUUUUUCUAAUAUUGUCGUCAUUGUACUAUGUAUUUGUAUAUAGUAUACAUUUUUUUCUACUAAUUAGUGAUUUGAAAUAUAAAUAUAGAUAAAUAAAAAACAUGUAGGAACUAUUUUAGGUGCACAUGCAAAUUUGGUCAAACCUUCCAUGCCAAGAAAACAAAGAGGUUCAAAGAAUUCAAGAAAAUCUACCAUUGUUUAUGACAACAUACUAUAGAUGACAUAUUCGAAUAGUGGAAGAAUCUACUAAUGUUGUAUUAGGAUAAGCUAUCGAGAUGACACUCCUUGAAAUACAACUCUUUAUCAUAAUAUAACGUGUAAAUAUUUGUGUCUUCAAAUAGUAAAAUAAGCAUAUGGACUAAACAUCAGAAUUCAAAAUGAAUAUUAUUUGUAAAUUAUGAAAUAGUGUUUGCACCGAUCUUCUAGGCUGGACACCUAAAGUUGUAUUAUAUGAUCAUUACUUCUUACAAACAUUAUUGAGUAAUUCCUGCUAAUUUAUUUUUUUCCAAGAGAUAGGAGGCAUAUGAAUUGCUGAACUUGGACACUAUUUUGGUGUCUACUGUCAAUAUAUAUAUAUAUAUAUAUAUAUAUAUAUAUAUAUAUAUAUAUACACACAUUAAAAUGUGAUUCAAACAAUAAUUAUUGAAUCUGAAUGUUUACAUAUUUGUAUUGUUUUUGUUUACCAUACAAAUUGUUAUUAUUAAUAUUAAAGUGUGGAUAAAUUUCAAGUAACAUUUGUAAAUUGCAUAACAUUGAAAAAGGAUUGAAGACCAAAACAUUUUCUUAUAUAAAUUUAAAUGCUAACUAGUCUUGACAUAAAUUCAUGAAAAGUUUCAAGCUCAGUCAUUUCCUCUUAGCCGGAGAAAUUUUUGACUUCUAGUUACACGUAUAUAAGUCCUUUACUUGUCAACAUUUCAUUUAUUAAGGAGCUGUAAACACUUGGGUAAUUUGAUAUAUAAUAAGAACUCACUCGAAAGAUAGUUGCAUUCAAUAUUAAGAGUCAUCAAUUUAAUUUAGAUGGAAAUGAAGAAAAUUUUAUUCAAGGUUUGACAAUAAUCAUCUCCGGUGACAUUCGGAAGAUUGAGGCGGAUUACUUUAGGGAAGAUGCGGCUUAGAGGAAGCUUCCACUAGUACACAAUAUUUAUGGGGUAGACCCGAUUGUCCAUGUGGCCGAUGUUUCUCACCCUACUCCUUAUGUGGAGCCAUCAGGUACCCCUCAACCCUUCUUUUGUUCCUUCUACUUCUACAGCUACUACACCUACCCCCCCUCUUGACCUCCCUUGAAUCAGGCCAUGACAUACCAAAUGGUCAACUUUGCCCAGUCUGUGGAUGUGAGAACAUCAAGGGUAGAGAGUGAGUUGUCCGAGUUUAUUGAGAUGCCCAUUGAUGAUGCAUUUCUCUUGGUUAGAUGUCAAAUGGUGCAAUAUCAAAAUACUUUGGCAUAGUAUAGGAAGAGGUUAGCUAACCUCAUGGAUAGGAUGGAGGCUAGCGAGCAGAUUGAAGGUAGCUUAGCCGACUUGAGUUCUAUGAGGGAUGAUAUUACAACUCUUAUGGCUGAUGUGGACCAGGUGAGGUCCAUAAAUAUUUCUAUGCUUUGGAGUGAGAUUCGCUUGCCCGAUGUGCCCUAGUCUUUGCCUACCUGCGAGUUGAGAGUUGAGGUACUUAGUGGAGUAGGUCAGCAACCUGGGGCUAUUGAUGAUGAUAAGGUAGAUGUCAAGAAUGAAGAGGAUAUGGAUGAGGAGGACACAAGUAAGAAGUAGUUCUAUAAAGAGAAUGAUCAAUGGAUUAUUGUGACUUUGACGGAGUUGCAUGAUAUGAGAAGAUGAUGGUGCUGGCUACAAUAGAAAGAACUCAAGUGAAGACCUCCACAAUUGGUCCUACUGGUGACAUUAGACCCUACUAUUCAUACUUCAUAUAUUUCAUGCAUUGAUGCCUUGGCUAAUGAUACAUUGUUGACUAUUCCUCCUACUUAUGGGAAAUGAUGCCCAGGAUAAUGUUGUCCCCUCUAACACGCCAUAUUUGAAAACUAUAUGGGCAUAGCCAAUCACAAAGACUUUUAUAUCUCCCCUCCCAUUUUUACUUUCCAUAGCAUUGAGAACACUACUUGCUUUAGUAUUGUGGGGUGAGAGCACUUCUACCAAUAUUCGUCUUCUUUAAUUGUAGUCUGUUAUUUUCAGCUUUAGUUUGAGAUAUUUGUUGUAUGUUUUGUUUUACGAUAAUUGAUGUUUAGAUCAUAUUUUUGAUGUUUAGAUCAUUUUAUUUCUCUUUAUUUAUUACCCAUAAGUCUAGAAGUUUUUUAAAUGCUUGAGUUUUCAUUGUUCAUAUUUGAGGAUCGAUUGUGUUCAAUAUCGAUGUCUUGAAUAAUACUUAUGAUAACAAAUGUGUUUUCUUCUAAUAAUUGUAAGAAGAAAUAACUGUGACUACAUUUUCAAAUGAAUAUUUUGAUUAUUGUAUUGACUAGCUUCGUUUUGAUGUGAGUCUAGCAAUGAACAUUAUACGUAAGCUUUUGAUCUUGUAGGGUGUGCUAAAUGAGUGUUUGAAGUUCCUUAUUUGAUAUGGUUUUACUUGAAAUCAUGCUUGUUGAAUUCUAGAAUUUUCCUUGUGAGUACAUGUAACACCCGCAAAACUUGUAGACUAAACUAGAGCCUUAAGUUGGGGUUUUAGAGUUAAAUAUGAAGGUUAGGGUCAUAGAUAAUACAUCUUGUACUUAGAAUGAAUAUUUUAGGGGUAUAACGUCAAGGUACGACUCCCCAAUGACCAACCAAGGGUCUAUGAGGAGGACCCUAAGUCAAACCCCCAAUCUGUCCAAGAAUAGCCUACCCACGAGGGGCACACACGGAUCGUGAAUGGAUGUACACCCAUGAGAAAGGUUCGGGGGUAAAGGCCCCAUCUUGACCUAUUAUUUUGAGCCUUAUAACCCACUGGCGAAGGACCAUUAUGGUCCGUGAGUUUAUCCAUACCCCAUGGGUGUGGGUAGUGGGUGGGGUCCUGCAUGCCGUCCUAUUUUGGCAAAAGGAAGGGUAGUUAGGUAAAUUUUUUAGUAUAAUUUCCCCCAAAUAUUUAUCUCUCUAAAACUUCAUAAAAGAAAAAGAAGUGUAACAACCCUAAAAAUGGCUAUGCUAAAUAAUGCUUAAUGUGUCUAGAAUGCCUACGAUUAGACCGGGUUCAUACGAAUUGAUGCGCGUGGAACCAGACCUUUGAACCCUUGCUACAGCCAAUCCAACUAACUUAGGGAGUUAUUUGAUCUAAAAAGGUUGGGUCCAGCCACGUGGGGCUCUCGAAUACGAAGAUUUACUCGGAUUAGUCAUUACCGGACUUAAAAAGAGAAAUCUUAAGUUUGGAGGAUCUAGGCGUAAAAUGGUCUUUUCGAGGCUAAGGGUAGAAUCAUAAUUACCCUAAAUUUGUAAUUAACUAUUUAAUUAAUAAGGUGGAGGGGUAUUUUGGGGAGAGAGGGCCAAAAUUACCCUUUUAGCAAAAUCCUGCUCCACCCUGGUUUAAACCUAGGUGGGAGCAAUGAUUUUAAUUGUUUUAUUUAAAUUGGUAAAUAAAUUUAAUUAAUUAAUGUUUAUUAGAUGAUUUAAGAAAAAUUAAAAAUCAUAUUUUUUUUAAAGUUUGAAAAAUUAACACUCUCUCACGUUCAUCUCUCUCACGUCUCUCCACUCUCUUUCUCUUUCACAAUUAUCUCUGCCUAACCAACGUAUAAGAACAAAAAAACUACAAAAUUCUUUACACUUCAAGAAGUCACAUAAAAAAUAUAAUCAAAACAUAAGCAAAAACGUUAGGAAAAAAGGGAAGCUUUUCCGUCGUGUUUGGUGUUGAAUUUUUGGACUUGAACGUGAUCUGGAGAGGGUGUUGGACAUCAGGUCAUGCGUUGAAUAAACGUCAAAAUAAGGUAUGGGUUUUCUUCUAUGUCGGUUAUGGUUAAAGUAAAGAAAGAAUGAGGCCAGCCUCAAAUGAUGUACAUAAUGAAAUGAACGAUACCAGAGGUGUUAGGAUAGGAUGAUCAGGAGGUGAGCUAGACUCAAGUAAUGACUCUAGGAUAUUAUUGGUCAUUUCAUAGAAAACCCGAUGAGAGUGUUAAACAACAUCCUAGGCAUGACUAGUGAUUUCACUAGUAUUUGAAUGAAUGAAAAUGAAGUACAUAUGAAUGAAUGAAGCAUACUCUCUAUUUGCUAAAGAAGGUCCCCUAGUUGAGGUCCCAUAUGUUGAGCCCUCAUUUUGGGAAGUCGUAAUGUCAAGAACAUGAUUCUAAGGUCUUAUGGUAUAAGAAAGAAUGAUAUUAACUAUGUGAUAUGAUGUGCAAUAUGUUAUGUGUUUCUUGCAAAAUGAUAAGUAUGAUGAUGCAUGUUACUCUCAUGUCAUGAAUUUACUAAUCCAAAUUUGGCAAGUCCACAGAUUUUCCUAAUCCAAAUUUGGCAAGUCAACUGACUUGACUUUCUAUAAAUCAUGUUGUUAGGAAAGUGCUAUUCUUACUCAUGUAUAUCCUUGGUGUGUACUUGCAUAUACCCAUACUUAGUACAAGUGUGUACUAAUAUAGGUGUAGGCACAAGUGGACGUUAGGGCUUACAGUACGAUGUUGAAGUUAUCCAAACGUUGACCUUUCAUCCAAAUUGGUAGGCCCUUUUUCUUAGAUGAUGUCGAGUGUUAUUAUCUAGCUUAGAUUAAGGCUUUAUCUAGUGGAGCAUAUUUCACUAGUGUUUCAUUUCUCAUUUCAUUUCAGACUUUGUAUUAGUGCCAUUUUGGCUAGAAUAUGUUAAUGCGGUUAUAAACUACUUCUUUCAUUUGAUUAUUUCUAUAUUAGAGGUAUAUUUGUAAACGCCUAUGAUGUUAAGUAUAAUAUGUUUCACAUGAAAUAAGAAAACAAAAAAUUCAAAUUUUCCGCUAAAAUUAACCUAGAUGAAGUAACGAUGACGUAUGUAGGCUUGUCUGCAAACUCUGAGAGGUCACUGAUGCCAGUCUCGUCUGGUGUCUAGAUUGCGGUCAUGACAAAAUUUUUAUCAUAGCACUAGGUUUAAAUUUCAAGGAUAAUAAGUUUAUAUCAACCACAUUGAGUAGUUUCUAAGUCAUGGUAGUGAAUUGCACCACUAUCUUGAAUUAGAGACUGUAUGAUGCGUAGAAAAAAUUUCCUUCUUUUGAUCUUAUCGUACCUUUCCUAAUGUAUGAAUUCUUGGGGUUAUGAGCGUGUCUAACAUCAAUCCUUAUUGUAUUCUGAAAAUGAAAACUAGAAGGAUCGCUAGUCAGAGGAGAGGAGGAGCAGCUGCUGGGGGUAACCAAGUUCCACCCCAGGCUCCAGUUGAAGGAGUGGCUAUGCUGGUUAACCCAGCUGGGUUGAUUGAUGUGAAGGUGUGGGCAUAUCUGGCCCAAAUGGCACAGGCCAUCACUAUGCAGGCCCAGGCCAUGAUUGCCCAGGUCAAUCGACAGAAUGUUGAGAGGGAGAACCAACUGGUACAUAGCAUGGCUGACAGGCUAUGAGACUUCACGAUGAUAAAUCCUCCUAUUCUCAAUGGGUCAAAGACUUAAGAGGAUACCCAGGAUUUCAUGGAUGAGGUACACAAGAUUUUGGUGGCCAUGGAGUCCACAGAUACUGAGAAGGCUAAGUCGGCUUCCUAUCAGCUAAAGGAUGUUGCAUAGACUUUGUGCAAGAUGUGGUAGGAUAGCAAAGAUUUUGGCGGAGUUUUGGUCACUUGGGAACUGUUUAAGAAAGCCUUCAGAUGAGGGAGGUCAAGGUUGAGGAAUUUAUCAACCUUAAGCAGGGAUUUAUAAAAGUCAGGGAGUAUUCCCUGAAGUUUGUUAAACUUUCAAGGUAUGUCGCUUCCCUUGUGUCUAACAGCAGGGAUGAGUUGAGCAGGUUUCUCACAGGAAUCACCGGAGAUCUGGAGGAGGAGUGUCGGGCUGCGAUGAUCCACGAUAACAUGGAUCUCUCCAUGUUGAUGAUGCAUGUCCAGCAGCAAGAGGAAAGCCGGAAUAAGAGGGGCGUCCGUGAUGCUAGGAAGCCUUAGCCUUCUAAUCAUGAAGGUCCUAGCAAUGGUGGCAACAGGAACAACUCCGGCGUCCGUGAGCAGCCCAAAUUUAAAAAGGGGCAACAAAGUUGAGGUAACUCUAACUUUCAGAGGAGUAUAGCUCUAGAGAAGGUAGACCUGAGCCCAAGAAGGGCAAUGUAGGUGAGAUGCAGCGUCUCAAAAAGGACUGUGCUAAGUGAAGUUGUUCUCACAAUGGAGAGUGUAGACAGGGAACUAAUGCCUUCUUCGGUUACGGUAAGAUCAGGCACAUGGUUAAGGACUGCCCACAAAAUAGGGGUCGGGCUGGAGGUAUUGCUCAACCUAGGCCUAAUUCACAGGGUGUAGCAGUAGCCGAGCUUGUUAAGAAAAACAGGUUUUACGCUCUAAAGGGAAGGAGGAGCAUGAGAAGUCUGUUGAAGUGGUCACAGGUAUGCUGCAAAUAUUCUCAACUUCUGUAUAUGCUUUACUUGAUCCAGGGUCUAUGCUUUCCUUUGCAACUCCUUUACUUGCUCUCACUUUUGAGAUAUUGCUUGAAGUUCUGCAUGAUCCUAUAGUGGUUAGUACACCUUUAGGAUAAAGUGUAAGAACUGUAGAGUAUAUAAGGAUUGAUCAAUAGUUGUAUGUUGUAAGACUAAGUGUGAAGAGUGCGGACUUGGUUGAGUUACCAAUGCAUCAUUUUGAUGUUAUUCUUGGCAUGGACGGGCUUCAUAGUUGUAUACUUGUAUGGAUUGUCGUAGUAGGGUUGUGAGAUUUUGUUUCCUUAAUGAAGAAGAACUAGUCUGGGAGGGGUACAACUCGAUUCGUCCUAAUCACUUGAUUUCAAACCUUAAGGCCAAUAAAAUGAUGUCCAAGGGGUUAUUGUGUCAUCUUGUGAGUGUUAACUAUUUAGAUCAUCACAUUCCUUCCAUAGACUUAGUGCCUGUAGCGAAUGAGUUCCAAGAUGUAUUUCCUGAUGAUUUACCUGGAGUUCCUUCUCCUCAAGAGAUUGACUUUUGUAUCGACAUAGAACCCGAUACUAAACCAAUUUCAAUUCCUCCUUAUAGAAUGGCUCUAGUUGAACUCAAAGAGUUGAAGCUGCAGUUAAAAGAUAUCACUGAUAAGGGUUUCAUUCAACCAAGCAUAUCCCCUUCGGGCGCUCCAGUGUUGUUUGUGAAAAAUAAUAAUGGAACUCUUAGAGUGUGUAUCGAUUAUCGGCAACUCAACAAAGUCACUAUCAAGAAUAAGUAUCCACUUCCCAAUAUAUAACUUGUUCACCAACUCCAAGGGUCUAGUUUCAUCUCAAAGAUUGAUCUUCGUUCAGGGUACCAUCAACUUAGGGUUAGGCCUGAAGAUGUUCCAAAGACAGCCUUUCAUACCCGUUAUGGUCUCACUAAUUUUCGCAACCGGAGUCUAGACCCCAGACAAGACCGGUGUUGCUGACCUCUCAGAGGUUGCAGACAAGCCUACUUACGUCAUUCUUUGUUCACUAUCAACCAUCUAACAUUAAGAUCAUCAAAUGAAAGAAAUAGUUUAAUAUAGCAUUAAAUGUAUACUUGCCAAAAUGGCACCAAUACAAUGUCUGAACAAAAACGGAAAGAAACGCUAGUGGAACAUACUCUACUAGCUCAAUCUUAUAACUGAGCUAGAAUAUAAUGGGCAAGCAUCCUCGAAAGCAUGAGGACCUACCAAGUCCGGAUGAACGGUCCACGUCCAGAUAAUUUCAGCGUCAACCUGUAGCUAUAGUGUCCACUUGUGUCUGCACCUAAAAUUGUAGAGUUGUAUAGGGUUAGUACACACAUGUACUGAGUAUGGGUAUAUUUAAGCAACACCAAGUACAUGUUGAGUAUGAAUAUCUCUUUCCUAACAACAUGAUUAUGGAAAGUUAAGUCAUUGGACUUGCCAAAUUGGGAUUAGGAAAGUUGGUGAACUUUCCAAAUUUGGAUUAGGAAAGUGUGAGAACUUCCCAAAUUUUUAUUAGGAAAGCCAUUUCAUGAAUUUAACAUGCAUCAUCAUGCUUAUCAUAUUGUACACAGCACAUAACAUCUAGCACAUAGCACAUAACAUUUUUCAUAUUAUUCGUUCAUAUGCCAUGAGACCUUGGAAUCAUGAACUUGACAUCAAGACUUCCCAAAAAUGAGGGAUCAACAUAUGGGACCUCAACUAGGGAGCCUUCUUUAGCAAACACAGAGUCUACGUCAUUCAUUCAUACGUACUUCAUUUCAUUUCAUUCAUAGGCUAGUGUAAAUACCAGCUAUAUCUAGGAUGUAAUUUAAGACUUUCAUCAGGUUCAAUGUGCAAUGAUCAAGAAUGACCUAGUGUCAUUACUUAAAUCUAGAUCACCUCUUGAUUAUCCUAUCCUAAUACCUUUAGUAUUGUUCAUUUCAUUAUGUGCAUCAUUUGAGGCUGGCUGCAUUCAUUCAUGGGUAACUUUAACUUUAACCGACAUAGAUCACGUGAGCAUCAUGAAAUCCAGUGUCUCCCCCACACCAAUAAGCAAUGGAAUCACCGGCCAAAGUGACCAAAACAUGCUAGCGUACAUGGGAAUUAAACCCUACCACAUCCCUAUAUUGGCAGUAUAGGUUUGAAAACUAGGAGAUAUAAGGAGACCCAUACUUGGCAUGUCAGACAGUCUCAUCUCAUCAGAUUUACUGAACCUUUACCCAUCUCGAAAGAAGGCAACACCGCUCAUAGCUACUCUAUCGGUGCUCAGUAUAAAGUUCCAUUAUAUUUAACUCAUACGUCAUAGAAGCUAGCUUCUAGUAUGAGGACGUCAUAGCUCAAUAGAUGAUUUCUCAUCUCAUCAUUAGUAUUAAGUAUACAUUAAUCUCAAUACUUUCAUUAGAUUGUUCAUAGAGGCUAAUCUCUUUAUUAACUUUACACUCUCAUAGGUGAGUACAUUUUGGUAACAUUUAUUUAGGCUUAUUUGAGAUUGCUCUCAUUUUUUUUCAUGAGCCUCAUUAUGUCGUCACCACAUUCAUUAACAUUAGCACAUUUGUUCUUCAUAAUUACUCACCCCUUUUUACGUGAAUGUUCAUUUCAUCAUAUGCCAAUGUACUUGGCCAUUAGUGUUUCACACUCUUACGUAACCCUUCUAGGGUUUCAUCAUUUCAUUGUUCAUUUCAUCAUUUCUUUUUUCAUUUCAUCAUUUCAUUGUUCAUUUAUCAUUUCAUUGUUCAUUUCAUAAUAUUCCAAUGCACUUGGUCAUUUAGUGUGUCUUACACUCUUACUUAACCCUUGUAGGGUUACAUCAUUUAAUUACAUACAUCUUAUGUUCACUUAUAUUUAAACGUAUGCUAGACUUAUGGGUCUAUGCAUACAAGCCAUGAGGAUUCAUUCAUCGUCCGUUUAUGAUUCAUAUCUUCAUAUGAUUAUGUGGUACAAGUCUUAUGCAUCUUGUAUGUAUGCCAAGAACUAGAUUUCGAUCUAAGUAGACAGCAUUAUUCUUGAAUAUUCAAUUCAAUUAUGGCUUAUGUAUCAAUACGGAAUUCGGGCAAGGGAAUCCAAUUUCGAAUCCCAUAGAUAACACUUACAUUUUUUUUAUUUAUUGUAUUUUGGUCCACAUGGCUUGGGGAUCCAAGAUCGAGCCCCAACACCUUCAUUUUAAAUUUUCCCUUAGCUUUUCUCUUCAUUUUUUGCUCAAUGGAAUUAAGAGGAUGUGGGAUCGAACCCCCACAACCUCAUUUUCUUUUAAUCUCUUUUCUUUAAACUCUCUCUCCUUUGGCCGAGGGGUUUUGGGUUCGAACCCCCCUAACCUCUCUUUAACUUCUUUUAAAUGUUCUCCAUUGAAUCUGUCUAGGAGGUCGUGGAUUCGAUUUGCACGCCUCCCAUUUCUUAUUAUUUCAUUUUUCUUUUACUCUCAUUCGCUGCCUAGAGGUCGUCAGUUCAAUUCCACGCCUCACAUUUCUUUUUAUUAAUUUCUUUGUCCUUCACUUUUCAGCCAACACACCCGAGAUCGAAUCCCCUUGACCCCCAUUUCCCAUUUGCGAUUUUAAGGCAUUAUACGGGUGAGGUCGCGGGUUCGAAUCCUUGUGACCUCACCUCAUUUUUCACUCAAUUAAUUUUCCAGAUUUGUUCAUUUACAUUUAGCCUAAACUAAACAUGUAAGUUGCUGAAAUGUGGUCACAUUUCAGCUCACUUUCAUCAAUCUUUUCACUUGAACUCAUAGACUAACUCGUAGACCAUUUAACACGUUUUGGGGUGCAUUUUUGAUAGAUUCAUUUAGCCAAGAGAUUGUUACUUAAAUCAUCCACAUUCCAUCUUUUAUGAACAUCACGGUUUACGUAGGUUUAUGCACGUAAAAUAACAACCAUAACGUUACACAUUUUGUAGCCUCAAGCCGAGACCCUAGUCAUAGUCACAUUCUUGCACACACAUGCACAUAGUUGCGAAAACACAUAGGUUGUCAUUCAUACGAUUUCAAAUACACAAACAUAAACAUAUUCAUCACUAAAACACAACAUACACCUAAAUCUAUAAGCAAUCGUACCCAACCCACGAAUCAUCGGGAGCUAGUGACAGGGACAUGCAACGGGGAACAACCUUAGUUUUCAUACUAAAUAAUCUGAACCUUAAGGGCUCUCUUGGAAAAAGGACCAAGAGAAAAGAGAACUCAUACCUUUUUGACGUUAAAACCUUGACUUGAUGACCAAAAACUUCACCCAAGAUCACGUUCAAGUCCCCUCAGUGUCAACACCACUCGACGAACAAGCUCCCUUUCCCUAACGUGUGAUUAACGUUUGUUUUCUUGUAAUUUCAUAUGAGUUAUUCAAGUGUGAAGAAAUUGGUUAAUUUUUAUAUUCUUGAAAGUUAUUUUGUAAGAUAUAUCGUGAAUGAUAUUGAUAGAGACGUGAAAGAGAGAGAUGAGCGUGGGAGAAAAGAGUUUUCUUAGGCUUAGGAGUCUAGUUUAGGACUUAGUCAAGUAAAGUUUUAUUUAAUUAUUAAAAAUCUGAUUUCCUUUUAUUUUAAAUCAUCUAAUAAAUAAUAAAUAUUAAUUAAUUAUAUUUAUUUACAAAAUUAAAUUAAAAAAAAUUAAUUCAUUUCUUCCACCUAGGUUCGAACCCGGGUGGAGCAACACUUUACUUCAAGAGCCAAUUUUCAGACCUCUCUCCCCAAAAUACCCCUCCAACUUAUUAAUUAAAUAAUUAAUUAUAUAUUAAGGGUAAUUAUGAUAUUACCCUUAGACGGGAAAAAGACUAUUUUACCUCUAGACCCUCCAAACUUAAGAUUUCUCCUUUUUAAGUCUGGUAAAGACUCAUCCGAGUAAAUCUUUAUAUUCGGGAUCCCUACAUGGAUGGACCCAACCUUUCGUAGCUCAAAUAAAUCCCCAAGUAAGUAGGCUUGGAUGUCGUAAGGGUUCAGAGGUCUGUUUCUACACGCAUUAAUCUGUGUGAACCUAGUCUAAUCGUAGGCAUUCUAGGCACAUUAAACAUUAUUUAGCAUAGCAAUUUCUAGGGUUGUUACACUAAUGCACCUGAUGCAUUUAUGGAUCUCAUGAACAGAGUCUUUCGUGAAUACCUUGAAUCUUUCAUCAUAGUAUUCAUUGAUGACAUCCUCAUCUACUCUAAGACCAAGGAAGAGCAUCAACAGCAUUUGAGACUAACCUUGCAGGUACUUAGACAACAUCUGUUGUAUGCCAAAUUUAGUAAGUGUAUAUUCUGGCUUAGAUCAGUGACGUUCCUGGGUCAUGUUGUGUCUAAUAAAGGUGUGGAGGUAGAUCCCAGGAAGACUGAGGUUUCUAAGAACUGGACAAAACCUCUUACUCCCACAGAUAUUCGUAGCUUCUUGGGAUUGGCUAGUCAUUAUCGCAGGUUCGUGGAGGGUUUUUCUUCCAUUACUGCCCCGCUCACAGCUUUGACAAAGAAUAAAGUCAAGUUUGAAUGGGCGGAGACUUGUGAGAAGAGUUUCCAGGAGGUCAAGGACAAACUCACUUCAGCCUUGGUGCUUACUUUGCCUUAGUGUGGUAAGAAUUACACUGUUUAUUUUGAUGCAUCUAGGAUUGGUUUGGGUUGUGUCCUUAUUCAAGGUCGUAAAAUGAUAGCUUAUGCAUCCAGACAACUCAAGGUUCAUGAAAAGAAUUAUCCCACUCGUGACCUGGAGUUGGCAGCUAUGGUGUUUGCACUGAAAUUGUGGAGGCACUACUUGUAUUGAUUGCAUGUGAAUGUGUUCACAGACGACAAAAAGUGUCCAAUACGUGUUCACACAAAGGGAGUUGAAUCUACAUUAGUGAAGGUGGUUGGAGCUAUUGAAGGACUAUGACAUGAAUGUCCACUACCACGCAGGUAAGGCUAAUGUUGUAGCUGAUGCUUUGAGUAGGAUGAGCAUGGGGAGUACAACCCACGUUGAGGAUGAUUAGAAGGAAUUGGUGAAAGAUAUACACAGACUGGCCAGACUAGGUGUGCGGUUAGUUGAGUCUACUAGUGAGGGUAUUUAAGUUCAUCCUAGUUAUGAAUCAUCCUUAGUAGUUGAAGUCAAGAAGGGUCAGCAUCUUGAUCCUUUGUUGAUGGAACUAAAGGAAUCAGUGUUGGUUAAGAUGAAUGGUAUUUUGCUUUGGGAGAUGACGACAUACUUAGGUAGUUAGACAAGCUGUGUGCAACUGAUGUGGAUGUUUUACAGACCAAGAUUAUUGAAGAGGCCCAUGGUUCCAGAUAUUUCAUACAUCUAGGUUCCACCAAUAUGUAUCAGGAUCUUAAAUAGAUCUUUUGGUGGGCAUGAAGAAGGACAUUGCUGAAUAUGUGGCCAAGUGUCCUAAUUGUAAACAGAUUAAGGCAGAACAUAUUAAGCCUGGCGGUCUUACUCAAAUGAUCAAGGUUCUGACGUAGAAGUGGGAGGCCAUUAAUAUGGACUUCAUGGCAAGGGAAACCGAUUUCGAAUACCUUGAACAACACUUAAUAUUAUUUUAAACUUGAUAAUUGCAUUUUUCUGAUUUGGGUGACCCUAGUUCGAUUCCCAUCAACCCCAAAAUAUUUAUUUCUUGUUCUCCUCUCCUUUUUUGUUUUAAGGCAAAGAGGUUGUGAGUUCAAUCCCCCACAAGCUCGUUAUUUUUAUUUUAAUUUAUCCCUUAACUUUCUCAGCUAUCCAAGAGGUUGUGAGUUCAAUCCCCACUCUCCACAUUUAUUUUCUCCUUUAUUUUUCUCCUAACUCUCUCAUCCAGUCAAGAGAUUGUGGGUUCAAUCCCCACUCUCAAUAUUUUAUUUUCUCCUUUAUUUUUCUCCUAACUCUCUCAUCCAUUCAAGAGGUUGUGGGUUCAAUCACCACUCUCCAAAUUUUAUUUUCUCCUUUAUUUUUCUCCUAACUCUCUCAUCCAUUCAAGAGGUUGUGGGUUCAAUCCCCACUCACCACAUCUAUUUUUCAUUUCAUUUUUCUCAUGUAAUUUUUAUGUAAUUUUCAUUUGGUGAGUUCAUGGGUUCAAUCCCAAUGACCUCACAUUUUUUAAAAAAACAUAGCUAAUUUUCGUCAUCCUUGGCCGAGACUCCAAAUUUCCAGCAAGCUGGAAAUUUGAUCUCUUCCAAUCCAUUUUCCUCUCAAUCUUUUCUUCAUCUUUUUGUAGUUUUGAUGUAAUGAUAUCUUAGGUUCAAUCCUUAGUUAUCUCACUUAUUUUACAUUCAUUUUUAAUUGCAUUUUGUACCACUUUGUUUGGCCGAACCCAACCUACCAAAUGCUGGAAAUUUGUUCACUAUUUUCAGCUUAUUUUUAUCAUCAUUCAUACGUUAAUUCUUAAGGCAUUUCGUGGAUCAUUUGGUGCAUCUUUAACUGUAAUUUUUUUAUGAUUAUAUUCAGCCAAGAAUUUCCAUUAAAUCCAGCAACAUUACACAUAUAUGAACAUUACACUUUUAACAUUUACAUAUAUGAAAACACAACAUUUAUAACACACAAAUUUCAGGCAGCAACAUAGUUAAUUUACAGAUCACCCAUGCUCAAACAAUUAACGUAAAACACAUUUUUAGAAUACAUCUUUCAUUACUUACAUAAUUUCCAAAUACACAAUCAAUACAUAAGAACAAGCAGACUUAAAAUUAUCUACCAGAAGACAUACCAACGUAUGCUUUGAAUCUUUCAAAGUAUUUUAUGACAGGGGCAUGCAAUGGGGACAACCUUAAUUUCUCGAUUGGAAUUUAAACUGAACUUAGGGGUCUCUUAGGAAAGGGGAAAAGAGAGAAGAAAACUCAUACAUUAUUUUGAAGUUUAUUCAACGCACAACCUUCUGUCCAACACCCACUCCAAUUCACAUUCAAGUCCGAAAUUUAAACACAAACUCGACGGAAAAACUUCCCUUUUUGCCUAAAAUUUUUUCUUAUGUUUUGAUUAUAUUUUUCGUGUGAGUUAUUCAAGUGUGAAGAAUUUUGUAGUUUUUCUGUUUUUGUGCGUUGGUUAGGCAGAGAGAAUCAUGAAAGAGAAAGAGAGGGGAGAGACGUGAGAGAUAUGAAUGUGAGAGAGUGCUAAACGUGAAAGAGAGUUAAGAAGUUUAGACAUAGUCAACUAGGACUCUUUCAAACUUUAAAAAAGUGUGAUUUUUACUUUUUCUUAAAUCAUCUAAUAAUUAUUAAUUAAUUAAAUUAAUUUACCAAUUUAAAUAAAAUGAAUCACUUAAACAAACUAUCAAUGAAGCCUCAUGGCUUGUAUGUGUGGACUCAUAAGUCUAGCAUACGUUUUAAAGUAAGUGAGCCUAAGAUGUGUGUGAUAAAAUGAUGUAACCCUAGAAGGGUUAAGUAAGAGUGUGAAACACAUUAAAUGGACAAGUACAUUGGCAUAUGAUGAAAUGAAUAUUCACAUGAAGAGGUGAGUAAUUAUGAUAAGCAAAUGUGUUAAAGUUAAUGAAUGAGGUGACAAUAUGAUAAGUGGCUAAUGUGAAAGAUGAGAGCAAUCUCAAAUGAUCCUAAGUAAAUGUUACCAAAAUGUAACUAUGAGAGUGUAAAGCUAAUGAAGAGACUAGUUUCUCUGAAAACUCUAAUGAAUGUAUGAAGUUAAUGUAUACUUAAUACUAAUGAUAACAUGAGAAAUCAUCUAAUGAGUUGUGAUGUCCUCAUACUAGAAGUCAUCUUCCAUAACAUAUAAGUUGAAUGAAAUGGAACUUUAUACUGAGCACCGAUAGGCUAGCUAUGAGCGGUGAUGCCUUCUUUAAGGAAGGGUGGAGGUUCACGUAACUCUCAUGAGAAGAGACUGUCCGGCAUGCCGGGUAUGGGUCCCCUUAUAUCUCCUAGUCAUUGAACCUAUACUGCCAAUAUAGGGAUCUAGAAAUGUUUAAUUCCCUAUACGCUAUCAUGUUUUGGUUCACUUUGGCUGGUGAUUCCACCUUUUUCGGUGUGGGGAUUACACACUGGAUUUCAUGAUGCUCACGUGAUCUAUGUCGAUUAAGGUUAAAGUUCAAAAAGAAAGAAUGAGGCCAGCCUCAAAUGAUGUACAUAAUGAAAUGAACGAUACCAAAGGUGUUAGGAUAGGAUGAUCAGGAGGUGGGCUAGACUCAAGUAAUGGCUCUAGGAUAUUUUUGGUCAUUGCACAGCAAACCUGAAGAGAGUCUUAAACUACAUCCUAGGUAUAACUAGUGAUUUCACUAGUAUCUGAAUGAAUGAAAAUGAAGUAUGUAGGAAUGAAUGAAGCAGACUCUCUGUUUGGUAAAGAAGGUUCCCUAGUUGAGGUCCCAUAUGUUGAGCCCUCAUUUUGGGAACUCCUAAUGUCAAGUCCAUGAUUCCAAGGUAUCAUGGCAUAUGAAAGAAUGAUAUUAACUACGUGAUAUGAUGUACAAUAUGUUAUGUUUUUCUUGCAAAAUGAUAAGUAUGAUGAUCCAUGUUAAUCUCAUGUCAUAAAUUUCCUAAUCUAAAUUUAGCAAGUCCACUGACUUUCCUAAUCCAAAUUUGGCAAGUCCACUGACUUUCCUAAUCCAAAUUUGGCAAGUCCACUGAUUUUUCUAAUCCAAAUUUGGCAAGUCAACUGACUUGACUUUCCAUAAAUCAUGUUGUUUGGAAAGUGCUAUUCUUACUCAUGCAUGUCCUUGGUUUGUACUUGCAUAUACCCAUACUUAGUACAGGUGUGUACUAAUCCCAUACAAAUAUCAUUUUUUAGGUGCAGGCACAGGUGGACGUUAGGGCUUACAGUACGAUGUUGAAGUUAUCCGGACGUGGAGCUUUCAUCUAGAUUUGGUAGGCCCUUUUUCUUAGAGGAUGUCUACUGUUAUUAUCUAGAUUAGAAGUAGGCUUUAGCUAGUGGAGCAUAUCCCACUAGUGUUUCCUUUCCCAUUUCAUUUCAGACUUUGUAUUAGUGCCAAUUUGGCAAGAAUAUGUUAAUGCAACUAUAAACUGCUUCUUUCAUUUGAUUAUUUAUGUAUUAGAUGGUUGAUCUGUGAGCUCCUAUGAUGUUAAGUAUAAUAUGUUUCACAUGAAAUAAGAAAACAAAAAGUUCAAAUUUUCUGCUAAAAUUAACCUAGAUGAAGUAAUAAUGAUGUAUGUAGGCUUGUGUGCGGCCUCUGAGAGGUCAAUGAAGCCGGUCUCGUAUGGGGUCUAGAUUCUGGUCGUGACAAGAAGAAGAAGAAGAAGAAGAAGAAGAAGAAGAAGAAGAAGAAGAAGAAGAAGAAGAAGAAGAAGGAGGAGGAGGAGGAGGAGGAGGAGGAGGAGGAGGAGGAGGAGGAGAGGAGGAGGAGGAGAAGGAAGAGAGGAGGAGGAGGAGGAUGAAUAAGAAGAAGAAUAGGAGGAGAGGAGGAGGAGAAGGAAGAGAGGAGGAGGAGGAGGAUGAAUAAGAAGAAGAAUAGGAGGAGAAGGAGGAGGAGGAGGAAAGAAGAAGAAGAAGAAAAAGAAGAAGAAGAAGAAGAAGAAGAAAAAUAAGAAUUAGAAGAAGAAGAGGAAGACGAAGAAGAAGAUGAAGACAAAGGACGAAGAUGAAGAUGAAGAGGAAAUAAAGAAUAAGAGGAAAAGUAAGAGGAAGAAAAAGAGGAUGAGGAAGAAGAAGAAGAAUGGUGUAGGGUUGAAUGGGAAAUCAGUAUUGAAUUAUGCCAUUAUGAAGUUACUAUGUGUUUUCCAUAGUUAACCCUAGUCUAAUUGAUUAAUUCGAUAAUGGUUGGGUUUAUUCCAUGAAAGGUGAAAGUGAGUAUUCAUAGAUAAUAAUCUAUAUCGAUGAUAUGAUUAAUAAUUGGUUAUGAAUGAAAGUUUGUAAACAUGAAUUGAAUUAGGUUAUAGAUUAUAUGAUGGAUCUUGAUUAGUAAUGCAGAGGGAUAGGGAGGGGGAGAGGAGGAGUAUGAUGUCUCAUGAUGUAUUUUCAUAUGAUUAUGGAUUAUUUCUUAUGAUGACUAACCAUUAUUUUAUGCUCUUAUGAUGUUAUGCUAGCUAACACAUUUAGUAUGUUUUGUACUAAUGCAUACUUUGCCUACAUCUCAUCAAAUGUAGGGUACAGAAAUUUGAGUUUCUUUCAUGAGAAUAGGUUUAUAAAGAGCAAGGAGUUUAAUAUUUGGUUAGUUCACAUAGCUUCGAGGACAAAACCACUAUUUCUUUUAUGUCUGUUAUUUUCAUGUUUUGAGAUUAUUGUAUAGGCUAUGUCCCAAGAGUUUUACUCAAAGUUGUAUUAGAUGGUUUGCGAGAAAGUUCAGUAAGAUUUCGUCUUCUAUUUAUAAAAGACUUCAAUUGUAUGGAUAAAGUUUUUAUAAUUUCCGUACUUUUAACAUAUGUUUAUGAUAUGUUAAGGGUUUAUAUGAGACCCCUUCGAGGUCAAGUAUGCCAUGUUACUUCUUGGGUGUACCCGUGGGUCGUGACAAAGUUGGUAGUAAUAGAACAAGGUUUAGAAUGGUUCUAAAAUUGUCUCAAACCACAUUUAGUAAGGUCUUGUUCAAAAAAUUUGAAGUGUGCUACAUUUAUGAAUAAGAGACUAUUUGAUGCUUAAGAAACUUCACUUCUUCAUUCACUAAGUUGUGCCAUAGAGUUUAACUCUAUUAGGUCUCUCCCCUAAUAUGUGCCCUAUGGUUUUAAGGUUAUGUCUGAUGCAAGGGCAAAUGCUAGGACGAAUGAGGGAGACAAUGUGGAGCAAGAGGUUCUCCAAGCCCUACUCAAGCUCCAAUUGAUCCUUUGGAUAUGUAGAACACGGAGUGAUUAUCGUUUUCAAAGACACUUCCUCCAAUUCAAAGCGUCAACAAUCGUAAGUCAGUAUAAACCCAACUAAAUGAGAUGAGGUCAAAUCCCACAGGGAGCGAUACGUGUUUCAGAUUCUAUUGAGAACUAUGAACAUUUUCAAAUCAGUCAUUUGAAUAAAAGUUAUUCAUUCAAUAUAUUAUUCAAAUUAGGGUGACAUGAAUGUCAAAUGGAAGAUUUUUUAUUUUUAGCAUCAACUACUAACCAUCAGAAACAAUAUGCAUUUAUAAUAAUGCGACAGGUUCAUAGAAUGUGAUCGAUUAUAGGGUGAUAUAGACCAAUGGGUAAUUGCAACUAUUAGUAUAUAUCUAGAUAUUAGUGAGUAGGUUAGGCUAUAGUUGAGAUAAAUUUUCGCUAGAUCAAUUUACCCUAAAUCAAGUGAUUUCUCACGAACAUCACAAGCGUGCAAAGAAUAGAGUACCCACACCUUAAUCCAUUCAUUCACUCGAGCUGAAUUUGUGGAAUUGGGUUUAGGAUUCAUCCUACCGAGUUGAACCCAGGUCAACUCAAUACUCAUAAACCAUCAAUCAACAAUUUUAAUUCUAAAACCUCUCUCUCUCUCUCUCUCUCUCUCUCUCAAGCUAAAACACAAAUAUAGAACUGCAUUUGCAACUACAAUUCUUAAAUUAAACCAUAGUUAGUGAUUAAACUCACUUCUAAAAAGCAUUUAAGCUAACAAUUAGCAAUACCCAUAAACUAAAUCAGCCCAUAUUCACAUAAUCACGCCCCAAGAUUUUGGGUUUUAGCUGGAUAUCAUAAAAAGAUAAAAGAAGUUACCAAAAUAUUUACCCAUCAACUAGGUAAGUGUAGAUUUGUCUUUACAAUGCUCCAAUUCAAAGAAUAUCAAAGACUCACUUCCAAUUUCUCAAAAGUGGAAAACUUUAAUUCUUCAAAGAUAAAGAGAAAACAAGAAAAAAUUAUCUCGGGAUGCUAAAAACUUGAUAACAAAAUCUAAGAUUAUAAAAUCUCCACCAAAUACAUUAAAAUAAAUGUUCAAAAUGGUAUUUAUAUUCACAAAAAAUGUGCUGCAAAAAGUCAUUUGGCGAUGUAAGUUGGGCUCGCCGAACCACUACGCGACCCGCCCUUUGGUCUAUUCUAUCACCCUUUUGCCUUGGUACUCAGCAUCCUCACGGAGGUAACUUUGGGCGAUCCAUCUUGUCUUUAUAAAAUCACUAGACGAUCCGCUAACUUCUCAUUUUCAUGGGCAAAUUGAUUUUUUCCUUCAAGUAUUGGAAGACAGGAACUUUAGGUGGUCAGAUGUGCCACGCGGCGAUACGCCAAGUACUCUUGGGGAUCCUCAUUCUCGCGCAUCUUCAUUUCUUCAGCUUGUUUUGUUCCUUUUUUCCUGUUAGCGUCCUUGCUUUGUCCCUCAAUCCAUGUUCUUGAAAAUCAAGGAUUUAAGUUCAGUUAUUGGCACAAAAUAAGCAUUUGAGGAAAAUAAAUCUAUAUAAAGUAAUCCCUAAUUGAAUACAAAUCUCAUACUCAUCAACACCCCACACUUAGACUUUUGCUUGUCCUCAAGUAAAACCCAAGUUCAACAGUUCAAAAAGGAUGUCUCAAACAGUGCUGCAAAAAACUUAUAUAUGAAUGCAUGCAAGAAGACUGAACUUACUCAUGUAAGGAUCAAUUGUGCACUCAAAGAUUCAAGUUGUGACUCACCAUUAUCAAGGAUUUGCAAGUUCACAAUACUUGCUUCAAAUUCAAAUUCAACCUUAACAAAGGUACUCAAAUGUCCUCACAACAAGGAUGACUCUGUAUUCACACACAUUUUUUAAACAAUUCAUAGCUUUGAAAUAACAUACAACUCUGACACUCUCAAAGAUGAACACAUGCAUGAAUUCACCUAUAUGUUUGCCCUUAUUUUCCAAUCAACACUUGUUUCAUCUUACUCAAAAUCAAAAAGGUCUUUUCAAGGAUUUUCAAGAGGCUGAGUGUAAAGGUAUGGUCAUUUAGGCUCUUUGGCAGCUAUCCUCCUGAAAUUUGGUAUGAACAUCAUUUUCCUUCCUUUUCUUGAACAUUUUCACUCUUGCUCAAAAUUCACCUGUUACUCACUUCCAAUGGAAUACCGUACACCUAAUUUAUUUUGCAACUUUCACAACUUUUUCAUUCUUUUUCUUUUUCCUUUUUCUUUUCUUUCUCUCUUUUUUUAAUAAAGAGAGGUUUUCAUUUUUUUAUAUCCGUAGAUCAAGGGGGAUUUCUUCACACUUUUUGAUUUUCCUCCUUUUUUCACCACACCCCAACUUAAGCUUUUGGCCUAAGUUGUCUAUUCAAACAAACCACACUUAAUAAGGAUUAUGGGUGAAGAUAAACAGAGGUUAUAACUGCAUCAAGUUUCUUCAAGAAAAAGAUAAGGAUCAAAGGGGGUUCAAGCAAGGUUCACAAAUCUCACAAGGUUGGAUGUAAAAGAGGUAUAUUAUCAAAUUGUUUCACUUUUUAAAUUGUUGCCUAAUAUCAUUUCAAGAGCUUACAUAAGUCAGUCAACAGGAUCAAUGGGGAAUAUUCUAGGUUUCAUAACACAACAUUCACGUUAAGCUCAUCACACAAGGCAUUGACACCAAUAUCAAAUGAAACUCCAUGUUUUUGCUCGUAUACAAUGUUCAUCACAAGAGAUUCAUUCGAUAAUCAUCUAGUCAAAAUGAGAUGUAGAAAGUCCACAUACUGUCUAUGCAACUUCAUUAGGCCUCAUCGUAGCUGCGCAUUCAUUUUUGUUUGAUAAAGAGCACUAUUCAAGUCAUCGGUAUUGAUCAUAAUUGAUAUUCAAAUUUGCACAAGAAUAACCACAUUCACAUACAACAAAGGUGGAAAAUAAUUAUUAUAAGGGUCAAAAACCAUUUACAUUCAUCAUAUGGAGACACAAGCUCAAACUUCCACAAUAUAGAAGCCCAUACACAAUUCAACACAAAAACCCAAAUAUACAAAACAUAGUCACAAGAGGUAGGUAAGGAAAUACCUCACCCCAACAUAAAUAAAAAGCUAGUUGUCAUCAAAUGCAACAAAAUAAUAAAAAGUCAAUACAAAUUAUAAAGAGAGAUGUAAACAAAGGUCAUGUCUACACGGUCACUCUAUCUGUCGGGGCAUAAAUGCCUGAGGUCACACUUUAAUCCUGGGCCUCAGCGCCCGAUGUAACAUUAGUAGCACUGGCUCCACUAGAGCAUGCAAUGGAUGUCUCUAUUAGCGUUGUUUGAAUGACUUAUUGUACAAUCGCUUCCUCUAAAUUAGGCAGGUCCCUAUAUAUGGUCGUCUCUUGAUCAUCCAGCUUCUCCUCAUCUGUCUCUACCUCGGAAAUGUCAGCUUCCACAUCCUCCACAUGCACAUGUUUAGCAGUGGCCAAAGGCAUCUCAAAACUAGUCGGAGCAUCUUGAUCCUCAGUUGCCUCCUAGAGUGAGGUAAAGUCUGUAGACUUUAGAUAUCCUAUGUCCUUUUUCAUAUCUGUAACCUUAACUUUCAAAAUUGUCACCACUAAAGUAUCCCUUUAUCGGCUCUCACAAGUCUCUACUCUCAUUGUGAAGAGUUUCAAUAAAUGUUUAGAGAGGUGUCAACGCAGCUAGGAUGGCCCUAUCAAUCAUCCAAGGUACCUCAACUUUUAACCAGGUAGCCCGCAUAUCAGUAAAAAGGGAUAAGUUCCCCAUCUUCAUGAUCAUGGCCUAAGUAAUCCUUGUGGGCUGGGAUUAGUCAAAAAAUCAGGAACAUGGGAGGAAGUGAAAGUGGAAGUACCUGAAGGCUCGAUGGCUGGAGUAGGCAAAAAUGCCUAUGCAAGUAUAGAAUAAACAUGAACCUUUUGGGAUGCAUCCACCGGAUCGCUCUCCUCCUAUCCUUGAGUGUUCUCGAUCUUUAUGUGUCGGAUGUCUAUCAAAGAUAUGGGAGUGACCUAGAUGUCCUUCUUUUCAUCAUUUGAACUCUAGCAUGCCUUCUUAGAUUUAUAAUUAAAAUCAGGAAGGUGACGGGCGUAUGUCAAUGCUUGGUCAUCAUAUCCAUGUCCUUCUAAAUGAUAAGCCCAAUUGGAUCCUAUUGUGUGUGAUGAUGGACCCUAGACAAGCCGCCUAGGGGUGAUGUCACAAAUAAGGGGAGUAAGCCAACCCUUUAGAUCAUCCAGGGCAUGUGCUAUGGCUAGCCCUCGUAUUCAUGCUCAGACCAGUGGCUCUAUCAAGUAUAACAUUGCUUUUAUCGUUGUUGUACCCCAGUUAUUUCCCUCGGACCACUACACACUUCACCAAUCUAAAUGUUUUGGCCUUCUUCUUACCAUAGGAAACUAGCUCAUAAUACGCAAUACAGAAAUCACACACCAAGCUGGGGAUAUAUGGGCCUUGUGGUGCGGUGAAUAUGUCAAAGCGAUGGUAUCGAAGUGUGUCUCUCACCCAACAAUAUAUUCCCUCUAGUCCCUCUAUAAACAACAACUUCUUAUCCAAAAUCAUCCUCAAUCCCUUAACCUUUAGACUAUUAAGUAGCAGCAGAGGAGGACCCUGAAUUGGUGUCUCUAGAACCACUGUUGUGGUAUAGCUGGAACUGUAUCAGUAGGGUAGGGGUGGCCUCUAGGAUCCUAGACAGAUCUUGGCGAUCUCUGGAACGAAUCUCAUCUUGCCGGGAUUGUAGAGGUUAGUUAUCCUCAGGAUUAAAGAAUGCACCCUGGGAAUCAAAGGAAUCCCCCUCGCUGUCGGAGAGGUGCUACGAUACCUCAGAUGCAGGCGAUUUGCCCUAGAAUUAGCCUCCCUUGGAGGUACUCAUUAAUAAACAAUGCUUCGUGCUAUUUUGCGGGCUGGAAUACCACUAUAGUUCAUGCUUGUUCUGCCAUAUCUGUAAAGUAUAACAAAAUAAGUUAGAACAAUUCAAGAAAAAUGAAGAAAUAAAGUAACAAAAAGACUCGCUACACCGAUUGGUAAGUUGCUGAAUCACUUUGGAGAGACAGAUCAAGAUAGAUGAAAGGAUUGGAAAAAAAACUCCUAGAAAUUCUCAGGUCGGCGAUGCUAAGGGCCUUUCAGCGAGCUCAGACUAGUCCACCGAAAGAUACAAUGUCUUAUAGGGUUAGGGGUGAAAAAAGGGCGAUCAAGGGUGACUUUUGGCAAGUCACCGAGCUCAUACUUCUUGUCGAAAGUUACAGACUCAAACUCAAUCGAAACAAGAAAUAAAAGGCGAUAUGGGGGGCUUUGGCAAACCUUAGAGUGGUUCGGCGAGCUCGACCCAGCUCGCUAAACUGCCCAACAUGCCAUUUUUUAACCUCGACUCCCAAAAUAAAAACCGCAGCCCCCAAAAACAAAAUUAAACACCACACUGACUUAAUUAAGCUCAUACCCAUUAGACCUAUUCCACCAGGGUACUCAAACUUCUAUAGUUUUUCAAAAAUUGGUUAUUUGAUGACUUAAGCCCAUAAGAAUAACGCCAAAUCCUCCCUCAUUGGGAAAAUCAUGUCAUUUAGCACAAUUGGGGUUACUCAUACUUCACCCAACUAGACUCAACAAUGAUUUCACACAACCCACAAUAUUACGAUUAUUUUAAAGCAUGAAAAUCACAGAAUCAACAAUUUAGGCAAUUUAGGUGUGAAAUCAAAGUUAAAAUCCGCAAACUAGCAUACAUUUAUUAUUUCACAGAGUCUUAACUAUCACGACCCAAAUCGGGCCGCGACUGGCACCCACACUUACCCUCCUAUGUGAGCGAACCAACCAAUCUAACCCCAAUCGUUUACCAAUAAUAACAAAAACUAAUGCGGAAGACUUAAACUCAUUAAUGAAAAUUAAUUAAAUAACUUCUAAAAACUCAACAACUAUUAUUAUCCCCAAAAAUCUGGAAGUCAUCAUCACAAGAACAUCUAUCCUCAAAUUACUAAAACUAAGAGUAUCUAAGAAACUAAACAUAAAUAAUAGAUAGUCUAUGCCAGAGCUUCAAGGCAUCAAGACAUGAAGGGGAAGAUCCAGUCCAAGCUAGAAGCGUUAGCUCACCCUGAAAUCUGGUGUGCCGAAGACUGGCUAGAGUUGCGGUUGAGUUGAGGAUGACGGUACGUUUGCUGCACUCCACAAUGAACAAAAAGAAAACAGACAAGUAGGGGUCAGUACAAAACACAGGUAUUGAGUAGAUAUCAUCGGCCAACUCAAAAUAGAAAACAGUUUAUAUCAGAUAAUAUCAUAAAAUCAACUACAGUACUUAACAUGCGGCAUUUAUAAUUACCAUAACCCUUGGUCAUAAUACCAAGCUCAUCAAUGAGGACUCACGCCUCCCCAUCAUACUCAUUGGGGAAUUAGGUUCAUUAAAUUGAGUAUAUUAACAUAUUCAAGAUUCAUUCUCUUUGCUAAUCCUGGUGUCGGAACGUGACACUCUGAUCCUCAUCAUACAAUCCUGGUGUCGGAACGUGACACCCGAUCCAUAUUCUAUCCUGGUGUCAGAACGUGACACUCCGAUCCUCAUAUACUAUCCUGGUACCGGAACGUGGCACCCGAUCCAUAUACUAUCCUGGUGUCGGAACGUGACACUCCGAUCCUCAUAUACUAUCCUGGUACCGGAACGUGGCACCCGAUCCAUAUACUAUCCUGGUGUCGAAACGUGACACUCCGAUCCUCAUAUACUAUCCUGGUACUGGAACGUGGCACUCCGAUCCUCAUAUACUAUCCUGGUACCGGAACGUGGCACCCGAUCCAUAUACUAUCCUGGUGUCGGAACGUGACACUCCGAUCCUCAUAUACUAUCUUGGUACCGGAACGUGACACCCGGUCCCCUAAUCUCACUACUUUCGUUCAUCAAGCCUUCUUUUAUACCAAGGCAUCAUCAUUAACAAAGUAUAUUAGGGUUUCUUUUUCAAGAUUUAGGAUUCAAUAGCUUCAUCAUGCUUAUUUUAUCUCAAUCAUAUAAUCACAACAUGCAAACACAUAAUUAAGCAUAAAGAAGGGUUUACAACACUACCCAAUACAUAUCAUUCGCUAUUAAGAGUUUACUACGAAUAGUAUAAAAACCAUAACCUACCUCCACCGAAGAUUAGAAAUCAAGCAAGCAAGUUCCCAAAGCUUUGUUCUUCUUCUCGUUUCUCCUCUUUCUCGUUCGAUUCUCCCUCUCUUUCUGUUCUUUUCUUUUUCUUAUUCAAGCCCUCUUUCUUUUACCCUAAUUAACAUAUAAUUAAGUAUAAAAGAUGAUGAAUUAACCCAUUAAUUAAUUCAAGGUUAUCUCCUUUAACCCUCAAGAAAUUGGAUUAUUAAUAUUCACCCACUAAAUUUAUAAUUAUAGCAGGAAUAGUCCAAAACGCCCCCUUAAAACAUUUAAAGAAAUUCGACUCAGCCUGGGAUUACGCAGUCUGUGACGGGCCGUCGUACCUGCGACGGUCCGUCCUGCUGCUCCGUCACAGAGUUCAGAGACUCAAUUCCCUUAAAGAUCCUGUGACGGUCCAUCACGCCUGUGACGGUCCGUCCUGCCAUUCCGUUACGAAGUUCAGAGAGUCGAUUUCAGUACCCAUUUUUCAGAAUUUCUAAGUGUUUUGAAACCAGACCCCCUCGACGGUCCGUCGUGCCCAUGACGGUCCGUCGUGGGUUCUGUCAUCUCAGCCAGUUUUUUCAGAAAUAAAAUUUGUUGCUCAAAACGACUAAAUAGGUCGUUACAAUAGAUACCAAUUUACCCAUCGUUCGUCCUCGAACGAUCAUAAGAAGAAAAACAAGGGCGAAACGAAGUACCUGAAUCUGUAAACAUGUGUGGGUAUCUUUCUUGCAUAUCAGCCUCUUUCUCCCAAGUGGCUUCUUCAACGGGUCGAUUCUUCCAUUGAACUUUGAUGGAUGCAAUCUCCUUUGACCUCAGCUUGCGAACUUCUCUAUCUAAAAUGGCAACAGGCUCCUCCUCAUAAGACAAAUUUUUCAAAACUAAAUCCCAACUAAUGAUGUAGUUUCCAUCCCCAUGGUAUCUUUUCAACAUAGACACAUGGAAUACCGGAUGCACUCCGGACAGCCCUGGAGGCAAGGCUAACUCAUAAGCCACCUCCCCUACUCUCUUAAGUACUUCUAAGGGACCAAUAUACCUUGGGCUUAAUUUACCCCUUUUACCAAAACGCAUCACCCCUUUCAUGGGUGAAACCUUCAGCAAGACUUGUUCACCCUCCAUGAACUACAAGUCUCUAACCUUUCGAUCUGCAUAUUCCUUUUGCCUACUUUGCGCCGCUAACAGAUUUUCUUGAAUAGAUUUCACUUUCUCCAAUGAAUCCCUCAAAAGGUCAGUACCCCAAGGUCUAACCUCAAAUGCCUCAAACCAACCAAUGGGAGACCUACAUCUCCUCCCAUACAAUGCUUCGAAUGGAGCCAUAUCAAUACUUGAGUGAUAGCUAUUAUUGUAUGAAAACUCUGCUAAGGGUAAGAAGUUAUCCCAAUGGCCUCCAAAUUCUAUCACACAUGCAUGAAGCAUAUCCUCCAACACUUGAAUUGUUCGCUCAGACUGACCAUCAGUCUGAGGGUGAAAUGCAGUACUAAGGUCCAACCUAGUACCUAAUUCAGCAUGCAAUGUUCUCCAAAACUUAGAAGUAAACUACGUACCUCUAUCUGAUAUGAUGGAGAGUGGAACUCCAUGCAAUCAAACAAUUUCUGAGAUAUAAAUUUUGGCACACUUCUCUGCAUUGUAGGUCACCUUGACUGGAAUGAAGUGAUCAGACUUAGUUAACCUAUCAAUGAUUACCCAAAUAGAGUCAUACUUACCCACUGUCUUUGGAAGACCAACCACGAAGUCCAUUGCAAUUCUCUCCCACUUCCAUUCAGGAAUGGGUAUUCUUUAAAGUGUUCCUCCGGGCCUCUGGUGUUCAUACUUUACUUGCUGACAAUUUGGACAUUUGGCAACAAAAUCAACAAUGUCGCGCUUCAUUCUACUCCACCAAAAGUGUUGCUUUAGGUCACGGUACAUCUUGGUUGCACCAGGAUGUAUAGAAUACCUUGAACUAUGAGCCUCUGUAAGAAUGGUGUGGAUCAAAUCAUCAACACGGGGCACACAUACCCUUCCCUUAAUCCUCAAAACACCUUCCUCAUCCAUUAUUGCUUCUUUAGCCUCUCCUCGCAACACUUUAUCUCAGAUCCGGAUCAAUUUCUCAUCAUUAAACUGCUUUCCCUUAAUCUUGUCAAGAAAAGAAGAUCUUGCCUCCACACAAGCCAACAAUCCUCCCUUCUCAUUUACUUCUAACCUCAUAAAGUCGUUAGCCAAAGUCUGAACCUCUCUAGCCAAUGGGCGUCUAGAAACUUGUAAGUGGGCUAAACUGCCCAUGCUCCCUGCUUUUCUACUUAAGGCGUCUGCCACAACAUUAGCCUUUCCUGGGUGAUACAAGAUGGUAACAUCAUAAUCCUUCAGUAUUUCCAUCCACCUCCUCUGUCUCAAAUUCAAAUCCCUCUGCGUAAAGACAUACUGUAGGCUAUGAUGAUCCGUGUAGACUUCACACUUAGCUCCAUAUAAAUAGUGUCUCCAUUGCUUAAAUGCAAACACUACCGCAGCCAACUCCAAAUCAUGGGUCGGAUAAUUACGUUCAUGCACCUUUAAUUGCCUCGAAGCAUAAGCAAUUACAUUCUUCUCUUGCAUUAGUACUGCACCCAAACCCGAAUAGGAUGCAUCACAAUAGACAAUGAAAUUCUUACCUUCCACUGGCAAGGUAAGGAUUGGUGCGGUAGUCAACAAAGUCUUGAGCUUCUGAAAGCUUUCUUCACAUUCAUCCGACCAUACAAAAGGAACAUUCUGCUUAGUCAAGUUUGUCAAUUGGGAAGCAAUGGAAGAGAAUCCCUUGACAAAUCGACGGUAAUAGCUAGCUAAACCAACAAAGCUCCUUAUUUCUGACACAUUAGUAGGUCUUACCCAAUUCUUCACUGUCUCAAUCUUAGAAGGAUCCACCAUCACCCCAUCCUUAGAAACCACAUGCCCCAAGAAGGACACUGCAUCUAGCCAAAACUCACACUUGGAGAAUUUGGCAUAAAGCUUUUUCUCCCUCAACAUUUCCAAUACAAUUCUCAAGUGCUCCUCAUGUUCCUUCUUGCUCUUUGAGUAUACCAGUAUGUCAUCAAUGAAUACAAUGACAAAGAGAUCCAUAUAUGGCUUGAAAAUCCCGUUCAUCAAGCUCAUGAAAGAAGCAGGGGCAUUCGUAAGCCCAAAAGACAUUACUAAGAACUCAUAAUGCUCAUACCUGGUCCGAAAAGCAGUCUUGGGCACAUCUGCUGCUCGUAUUUUCAAUUGAUGAUAACCAGAUCUCAAGUCGAUUUUUGAGAAGGUACAAGCACCUUGUAACUGAUCGAACAAAUCAUCAAUGCGAGGAAGAGGAUACUUAUUCUUAAGCGUUAACUUAUUUAGUUGUCUGCAAUCUAUGCACAUCCUAAAACUUCCAUCCUUCUUCUUCACAAACAAAACAGGAGCACCCCAAGGAGAUGCACUUGGUCUAAUGAAGCCUUUACUCAACAACUCCUGAAGUUGGGCCUUUAACUCUCUUAACUCCGCGGGAGCCAUUCUAUAAGGAGGUAUAGAAAUGGGGCGAGUAUCCGGUUCAAGAUCGAUGCAGAAGUCAAUAUCUCUAUCCGGUGGCAUACCAGGAUAAUGCACGAAACUUAGCCUCAUAUGCAGUGACUGACAUCCUACCUUGCUCUAGGCUCAAGAACUCAUCUCUUUUCCUAUCCCUCAAGGUCCUGGGGAUAUACUUCUCCAUAAACAAGCUAGAGAAUAAUGCCCAAGUCAUAGGUGGUGCCUCUGUUGGUUGACACUCAACAUGUGACCGCCACCACAUUUUGGUGUUCCCUUGAAACUGAUAAGUCACCAAGUCAACACCAAACCGUUCUACUAUACCCAUCUUGUGUAGUAGCUCAUGACAGUCAACCAGAAAAUCAUAGGCAUCCUCAGAUUCAGCACCCUUGAAGACUGGAGGUUUCAACUUUAAGAACUUACUGAAAAGUUCAUGUUGAUCAUUUGUCAUUAUAGGCCCUGUAGUCAGACGAGGAAACGUGCCUAUUUCCAAUGGAACAUCCAUGCGGGGAGCCGCACCAGUUUCCUCUUGUACUUCCAGACCCUGAGGUGCUGGUGCAGAAAACACUGGAGGUGUUUGACCUUGAUCAGAUAACCCACUAAGAUAAGAAAGAACCUGAUUUAUCAUCUCUGGGGUAGGUUGGGGUGGUAGUUCCUCAUUCUGCACUUGCUCAGUUUCCCCUUCCUCACCCUCUCUUACUACUUCUUCAUUCGGUGGAGGAGUCACCGCCCUAGUAUCAGAAGGGCUAGGUGCUCGUCCUCUAACUCUAGAGGACGUCCUCCCACGACCUCUACCACGGCCUCUUGCCGCUACUCUUCCUCGAGCUACAGCCCCAGUGGCUGGCUCAGACGCUUCUUGUCUUGCCGAUGUUGGUGUUGGCGCAGUCGUUGCUCUAGUUUCUAACCAUUUGCAAAAUAAAGUGAAGAUGGUCAGAUACCAAUUUGUAUCACCUAGAUACCAAUUGGAUCCAAGUAAUAGCACGAAAGAAAGAAAGAAUAGAAUUUUUCUAAAGUCUUAUAGCCUCUCAAAGAAAAGUAAAGGCGUCCCCCUACCGUUCCUUAAGACUCUACUAGACUCGUUCUUGUGUGAUGAGACCAACGAACCUAAUGCUCUAAUACCAAGUUUAUCACGACCCAAAUCGGGCCGCGACUGGCACCCACACUUACCCUCCUAUGUGAGCGAACCAACCAAUCUAACCCCAAUCAUUUACCAAUAAUAACAGAAAAUAAUGCGGAAGACUUAAACUCAUUAAUGAAAAUUAAUUAAAUAACUUCUAAAAACUCAACAACUAUUAUUAUCCCCAAAAUCUGGAAGUCAUCAUCACAAGAACAUCUAUCCUCAAAUUACUAAAACUAAGAGUAUCUAAGAAACUAAACAUAAAUAAUAGCUAGUCUAUGCCAGAACUUCAAGGCAUCAAGACAUGAAGGGGAAGAUCCUGUCCAAGCUAGAAGCGUUAGCUCACCCUUAAAUCUGGUGUGACGAAGACUGGCUAGAGUUGCGGUUGAGUUGAGGAUGACGGUACGUUUGCUGCACUCCACAAUGAACAAAAAGAAAACAUACAAGUAGGGGUCAGUACAAAACACAGGUACUGAGUAGAUAUCAUCGGCCAACUCAAAAUAGAAAACAGUUUAUAUCAGAUAAUAUCAUAAAAUCAACUACAGUACUUAACAUGCGGCAUUUACAAUUACCAUAACCCUUGGUCAUAACACCAAGCUCAUCAAUGAGGACUCACGCCUCCCCAUCAUACUCAUUGGGGAAUUAGGUUCAUUAAAUUGAGUAUAUUAACAUAUUCAAGAUUCAUUCUCUUUGCUAAUCCUGGUGUCGGAACGUGACACUCCGAUCCUCAUCAUACUAUCCUGGUGUCGGAACGUGACACCCGAUCCAUAUUCUAUCCUGGUGUCGGAAUGUGACACUCCGAUCCUCAUAUACUAUCCUGGUACUGGAACGUGGCACCCGAUCCAUAUACUAUCCUGGUGUCGGAACGUGACACUCCGAUCCUCAUAUACUAUCCUGGUACCGGAACGUGGCACCUGAUCCAUAUACUAUCCUGGUGUCGGAACGUGACACUCCAAUCCUCAUAUACUAUCCUGGUACUGGAACGUGGCACUCCGAUCCUCAUAUACUAUCCUGGUACCGGAACGUGGCACCCGAUCCAUAUACUAUCCUGGUGUCGGAACGUGACACUCCGAUCCUCAUAUACUAUCUUGGUACCGGAACGUGGCACCCGAUCCCCUAAUCUCACUACUUUCGUUCAUCAAGCCUUAUUUUAUACCAAGGCAUCAUCAUUAACAAAGUAUAUUAGGGUUUCUUUUUCAAGAUUUAGGAUUCAAUAGCUUCAUCAUGCUUAUUUUAUCUCAAUCAUAUAAUCACAACAUGCAAACACAUAAUUAAGCAUAAAGAAGGGUUUACAACACUACCCAAUACAUAUCAUUCGCUAUUAAGAGUUUACUACGAAUAGUAUAAAAACCAUAACCUACCUCCACCGAAGAUUAGAAAUCAAGCAAGCAAGUUCCCAAAGCUUUGUUCUUCUUCUCGUUUCUCCUCUUUCUCGUUCGAUUCUCCCUCUCUUUCUGUUCUUUUCUUUUUCUUAUUCAAGCCCUCUUUCUUUUACCCUAAUUAACAUAUAAUUAAGUAUAAAAGAUGAUGAAUUAACCCAUUAAUUAAUUCAAGGUUAUCUCCUUUAACCCUCAAGAAAUUGGAUUAUUAAUAUUCACCCACUAAAUUUAUAAAUAUAGCAGGAAUAGUCCAAAACGCACCCUUAAAACAUUUAAAGAAAUCCGACUCAGCCUAGGAUUACGCAGUCUGUGACGGGCCGUCGUGCCUGCGACGGUCCGUCCUGCUGCUCCGUCACAGAGUUCAGAGACUCAAUUCCCUUAAGGAGCAUGUGACGGUCCGUCCUGCCAUUCCGUUACGAAGUUUAGAGAGUCGAUUUCAGUACCCAUUUUUCAGAAUUUCUAAGUGUUUUGAAACGAGACCCCCUCGACGGUCCGUCGUGGGUUCCAUCGUCUCAGCCAAUUUUUCCAAAAAUAAAAUAUGCUGCUCAAAACGACUAAACAGGUCGUUACAUUAACACACAUCAGCACAAUCUAUAAUAAUGCAUUUGAGUUUAACCGCUAACUAAGAGUUUGGGGCUCAGAAAAACCAAUUUUUUAAUGUUGAAUUAUGAUUUAAAUUGCUAAGCUGCAAAUAAUUCCAACUCCGAACACAAGAAUAACGAGCAAAAAGUAACAAAUGCAAAAAUAUAGGAAACUUAAAGUGUCGGUGAGAUUGUAUGAAUUUAAAAGUGAGGGAAUGUGAAAGAGUUUGAAAUUGGAAACCUUUGGCCUUUUACAAACUGUCCAGUUCGCACCCUUUUAGCGAUAUUAGUUUACUUUUCAGAACCACUGAGUCACACGCCGAGUAGUUACUUGCCUAUCCAAGUUUUACUGGACCUCCAAUUAACUUGGGGGUCCAAACGGUGGACAAAGUCGGGUUCGCCGACCUAUUUGGUGAUUCGCCGACAAGUCCACAGGGCUGCCAAGUUUUAUAGACUCUCUCCUGAUAUUUUUGUGAGUACAACAGCAGUUCAAGUCGUUCUUGCCGACUUCUUCAGCAUUCGUUGACUAGACUCUCUGGUGCGCCCUGCAUAGUUCAAACACAUUUCACAUGCAUAAUCAACACACUUUAUUUCACAAACUCAAAUAAAGCUAUAAAAACUUGGGUUGCCUCCCGAGAAGCUACUUAGUUAACGUCGUGGCAUGACGCAAGUAUACACUUAAGCUUAUUUUUUGGGUGUACCAUAGUGCCACUUUGAUCAAGUAUCUUAAUAGAUAUAGAAUAAGAAACAGUCAUUAUUUAUCAUUAAGACAUUCUCUUUUAUAUCUUUUAACACUCUGUCGUGUUCUUCAACUUUGUGGAGAAUGAGUGAGAGUAUCUUUUCUAUCUGUCCAUCCUCAUAGUCCUUGGGCUUCUUACGCUCUUGAGGGGAAUGUACCUAUUUUUUUGUAAAGUACUUCAAAUUCCAUGAUCUUUUUGGCCAAGGAAUCCAAUUGGUCAACCAUUUGGCCAUAUUCUAGUUCCUGUCUUACUCUUUGUUAGUCAUACUCAUGCGAUCGAGGAGCUGGGAUGCUAUUGCAUAGAGUUGGUGUAUCAAACCACAGGAAAAAAAAGUUAAUCAACCACUCCUCUGUUCUCAGUACCAUGACCUCUAUAGAAAUAGUCCAAUAGAAUCUUAUGUGGUAUUCAAUGAGAUGGGCACUCAAGCAAUAGUGUCUUAAAUCUCAAUCACAACUCAUGGAUUGUCUCAACCUCUGAGUGUUGGAAAUAUAGGAUGUUAUCUUUGAGAAUCAUGAUCUUUGACGGAUGAUGGUUCACUUGGUUACCGUUUCUACCAUUAGCACUCAUUUUCUUUGUUUUAAUCAACAACACAAAAGCCAAAACAAAAAUUAAGUAGAUUCAACUAUGACUAAAAGAACAAAAUUCAACUUCACCAAAAUAAUUUCAAACACCACUCCCCAGCAGCGGCAUCAUUUUGUAAUAAAGGUAAAAAGACACUUCAUCUAAUUAUAAGCUCAACGAUCACAAAUCAAUAUAAAUCUAACUAAAUGGGUCAGGGUCAAAUCCCACAUGGAGCAGUACGUAUUUCAUAUCCAAUGGGGAAGUCUGAACAUGUUUAAAUUAGUCAUAGGAAUAAAAGUUAUCGAAUAAAGACAUUAUUCAAAUUAAGGGGUGACAUGAAUGUCAAAUGAGGGCUUUUUGUUUUAAUUAUCAUUUAAAAGCAGUCACAAACAAUACAAAUUUACUAAUGAGACGGGUUCUUGAGAUGUGAUCGAUUAGGCUAAAAUAGACAAACAGGUAAUUCCAACUAUUAGUAAAUAGCUAGGUAUUUAAUGAGUAGGCUACGUUAUAGUGCAGGUAAACUUUCUCAUGAAAACUUUACACUAAAUUAAGUGAUUUCUCUCCAACAUCAUCAAGCAUGCAACAUAAGAGCAGCUCACACCUUAAUCCAUUCAAUCUCUCGAGCUGAUUGUGUGAGAUUGGGCUUAGGAUUCACCCUCUCGAGCUGAACCCAGGUCAACCCAAUACCCAUAAACCAUCAAUCAGUAAUUUUAGUUCUAAAACCUCUCUUGAGCAAGCCAAGAGAACAAGCCUAGAACUGCAUUUGCAACUACAAUUCUUAAAUUAAAACAGAAUCAUUAAUUAAACUCACUUCUAAAUAGUUUUUGAACUAACAAUAAUCAAUACCGAUAAACUAAAUCAUCCCAUAAUCACAUAACCAUACCCCAAGAAUUAGUUUUAGCUAGACAUCAUAAAAAGAUUUAAAAAAUAUUACCAAAUUGAUUAUUCAUCAACUGGGUAAGUGUAGAUUCAUUUACAAUGCUCUAAAUCGAAGAACCUCAAAGAUCCACAAUAUCUCAACAGUGAAAUUUUUUAAUUUUUCAAAGAUAAACAAAAAACUAGAGAAACUAUCUCUAGAUGCUAAAAACUUGAUAAGAGAAGCAAAGAUUAAGAAAUUUCCACCAAAGAUAUUAAACUAAAUGUUCAAAAAUGUAUUUAUAGUCGUCAAAAAUGUGCUGCAAAAAGUCAUUUGGUGAAGUAAGUCGGGCUUGCCAAACCACUCGAUGAGCCGCCCUUUGGUCUAUUUCAUCGCCCUUUUACCUUUGGUACUGAACAUCCUUCAAGUCUGUAACUUGGGCCGAUCUAUCUUGGCUUCACAAAAUCAUUUGGCGAUCCACCGAAUGCUCCUUUACAUCACCAACUUGGUUCUUUCCUUCAUGCCUUGGCACACUGGAACUUUAGGCAGUCAGAUGUGUCACUCGAUAACAUGCCGAGUAUUCUUGGCAAUCCUCGCGUUCGCCCAUAUUUAUUUCAAAAUAAGUAUUUAAGGACAAUAAAUCUAUAUAAGCUAAACCCUAAAUGAUUAACAAUCUCGACUCAUCACGGAGUUUAGGUUGCUAUCCAAUUGUUGGCUCCAACCUUGACGACACAAGGCAAUAGAGAGGUUGUAACUCUUGUGAACCCAAUAAAGGGGAUGUCUACUUCUAAAGUGAGGGAGUUUUUGAGAAUAUACCCUCCGGAGUUUUAUGGCUCCAAGGUGGAGUCUCAAGACUUUUUAUAAUAGGUAUCUAAGGUGUUAUACUUUAUGAGGGUGACUCAAAGGGGUGGCACAAAUAUGGUAUGAUCAAUGGAAAGAGACUAGACCGGUACAAUUGGGCCCUAUAGAGUGGGAAGGAUUCAAGAGUGCUUUUCUAGAUAGGUUCUUCCAUUUAUAGAUGAGAGAAGCUUUAGUUCUUAAGUUCUUCAACCUUAUACAAGGGAGAUAUAAGUGUUAAGGAAUAUGUAUGGAGUUUCACCCAGUUGUGUACGUAUGUUCCAAUUCUAGUGUCCGAUCCCAAAUCGAAAAUGAGUAAGUUUGUGUUGGGAUUGUCCGAUUUAGUGGUAAAAAAUAUCGUAUAGACAUGUUUGAGCAUGAUAUAAAUAUAUCUUGUCUUAUAGUUUAUGUCUAUUAAAUUUAGCAAAAGAAACUUGAAGAAAGGUUGAGAGAGAAAAAGAUAAUUAGGAUUGAUGAUGAUAGCUCUACUCUUGGAAGGUUCUCCGAACAAGGUCCUUAUAGUUCCCUCCCCCUUCCCCCCCCCCCCCUCCCUCCAAGAUGUAGUGAAGAGAGGGUGUCUAACCCCAAGCCUCGUAGAAGGAGAGGUAGUAAAUCAUUGUUGACAAUACCUACUUGUGCUAGGUGUGUAAAGAGACAUGAGGAUAGAUGUUUAGGGGGUACGGAGGGUUGUUAUGGUUGUGGUGAUAAUGGCUACAAGAUGAGAUAUUGUCCGGUACUUAGGGCUAGGGGAAGAGAGAGGAAUCAACUAGAGUCCUAUUUUCUCCAAGCCAAAAAUGAUCAAGUGUGACCUCCUUAUGUGACUAUCGACAUGUAUUUUAAACCUUAUCUACAUUCCAGUGUUUCUUGUCUUUUAUGACUUGAUAGAUUUGAUAUGAUAGACUUUGAAGUUGUCCUUAGUAUGAAUGAUAUUUAGAAGAAUAUGUAUAGGUUUACUCCCAAGGGGAGAUGGUGUGUCUAUCUAGCAAGGUUAUUGUGUGUUUAUGUGUUUCCAUGAUUUCCUUAUAUACAUGUUCAUGAAAAAGUUUAGGUCUUUAUAUUAAUAACUUAUAUGCAUUGUUUUUCCUCAUGUUUUAAUGUAUUUGAGUAGCGUUGCAUAUAGACUUUAUGAGAUGAAUUGAUGAGCAUGCCUUAGUUUUUAGUCGAAAGAUUCCUCCUUGAAUAAAUGCUUUUUGAGUGUAAAUUGCAUUUAGGCUCAUGAGUGUAUGUUGAACAUGUUUUAGUAAGGAGAUUGUAGUUCCUCCUUGAAAAUGAGUAAAUAUAGAUUUCAUGCAUUUUGGUUGUUAGAUGUAGUUCCUACUCCCUUGUGUUGCAUUGAAUAUGUUUAGUUUGGAAUUGACGUUUUCCUACUUUGUUCAUGUGCAUUUAGAUGUGUUGCAUGCAUGAUGGGCUGCUAGUCUAGGGUCAUCCCUACUUUGUUCAUGUGCAUUUAGAUGUGUUGCAUGCAUGAUAGGAUGCUAGUCUAUGGUCAUUCCUACUUUUUUCAUGAGCAUUUAGAUGUGUUGCAUGCAUGAUGGGAUGCUAAUCUAGGGUUGUGUCUUUAAAGUUUUUAGAGUCGUCAUUUGAGCACGAAUGAUUCCAAGGAGGACAUAUUUGUAACACCCGCAAACUAGUAGACUAAACUAGAGCCUUAAGUUAGGGUUCUAGAGUUUGAUGUGAGUGUUAAAGUCGUAGAUAAGACCUCCUGUACUUAGAAUGAAGGGUUUAGGGGUCUAACGUCAAAGUACAACUCCCAAGGACCAACCAAGGGUCCUUGAGGAGGACCCUAAGUCAAACCCCCAAGUUGUCCAAAAAUAGCCUACCACGAGGGGCAUCCACAGAUCUUGGAUGGUUCCACGCCCCGUGGGAAGGGGUCGUGGGUCAAGGCCCCAGCUUGCCCUAUUUUUUUAGCCUCAUACCCCACUCACGAAAGACCAGUAUGGUCUGUGGGUCUAUCCAAACUUCAUAAGGGGGAUCAUGGAUGGGGUGUUGCAUGAUGUCCGGUUUCAGCCAAAGGAAGGGUAGUUAGUAUUAAGUGAGGUCGUUUUGUAUAUUUAUUAUAUUCACCUAUAUAAGUACUUUUAAGACAUUGAACAACUCUUUUACACUUCAUAAAUUCCAAACCUAAAAUCAUAACAAACUUUUCUCCAAAUAUUUCUCUCUAAAACUCCAUAGAAGAAAAAGAAGAUGAAGUCUAAUUUACAAACCAAAUAAAAUAGUAUAGCCAAUUUUGUAAUUGUAUGCAUAAUAUAUAAGGUUAAUUUAUAUACUCUUCAUAUUAAUAACAUGUAAUCUUAAUAAUAGAAUAUAAAUUUUAUUCGGAGUAAUCAAUUACUUCUUCUUCUUUUUUUACCUAUUUUUACUAUGUUGUACAAAUUAUUAGUAUUUUAUCUAAUAAUUUAAUAAAUAAAACUUGUUCAAAAGUAUUUUCUACGAAAAUAUAAAAAAAAAUGUGCAUGAUAUAAUGUUUGUGCGCGUAAUCAAACUUUAGUUUAUUCUCAUUUUUAAGUAUGAGAAUUGUAUAUAGUAUAAUAAUACAUAAAUUUAAAUUUAAGGAAAUUGACUUCCCCUUCAAAAUUAAGAAAAAUCUUUUUCAAAACUCUACUUCAUCCUUUAAAUUUUUUUCCUACCCUACCCACCCGUAUCCGAUCCUCCCCAUUCAAAAACAGAUGAAUUAAAUUUUUCUUAUUUUUAAAAUUUCAAAUCUAUUUUUAUCUCUAUUACUAGCAAAACAGCCCCCCUCCCCUCCCUCCCCUCCCCCCCCCCCCCCAAAAAAAAAUUAUUUUUGAAAAAUAUUUCAAAUUUUAAGGUUUUUUUAGGCGGCUAACUUGCAUCAUUUCAUAUCAAACCGAUUUGAAGGUAGUAUAUAUUUAUGUUAGCACUAACUAAUCAUAUUCUAUGCAGAAAAGUUAAUAAUUGAAUAAAUUUUAUCCUUUUAUCCCAAAGUAAUUAUAAAAAUUUAGUCUCCAGAGAGAGAGAAAAAAUCAGUAAAAUCAUAUUGGAAAAUUUGAUAAACAUAAUGAAAUAUUCUUAUGUGCAAUCAAAAAUUUAAUUAUUCUUAUUUUUAAGAAUGAGUUAUAUACGGUUCACUUAAACAAUAUUUAAAACUAGACAAACAAAUUUAAAUAGAGAAAAUUCUAUUAUACUCAUAAAAUUUGAAGACUUAAAUUAAAAUCUUUUUUUAUCAAAACCUCAAAAAUAACUAAGCUCAUAUUUAAAGGAACAACUUCGUCAAUAGAAAAACUAUAUAGAGAUUAACAUUAUAGAUAAUAUUAGAAGAAUUAAACUCUAAUUUAAAAAGUGAUGCAUAAGUUAGUAAUGCAACAAUACUUAAAUUUUUUCUUAACUUACCUGAUUUACGAGAGAAAAAAUCAAAUGUACCUUAAAAUUAAGAAUGAUUUUUAUACACUUCCAUCAAAUUUAGUCAUAUAAGAUUUUUGAGAAGAAAGAGCGGAAGUAUUUACUAUAUAUAUAAUUUAUUUUAGAUAAAAAUAAAAUAAAUUAUUUAACCAAAAUUACUUUAAAUAAUCAAAGUUAAUGAUAACAAUCAAAGUUAAUAAUUAUAUAUAUAUAUAUAUAUAUAUAUAUAUAUAUAUAUAUAUAUAUAUAUAUAUAUAUCUUAAAUUAAGAAUGAUUGUUAUACACUUCCAUCAAAUUUAGUCACAUAAGAUUUUUGAGAAGAAAGAGUGAAAGUAUUUACUAUAUAUAAAAUUUAUUUUAGAUAAAAAUAAAAUAAAUUAUUUAACCAAAAUUACUUAAAAUAAUCAAAGUUAAUAAUAAUAAUCAAAGUUAAUAAUAAUAAUAAUAUAUAUAUAUAUAUAUAUAUAUAUUCAUGUAUCAUUACCCUAAUGACAUAACAAAAUAAAAGCUUUCCUAUCCCGCAUGAUAAAGCACAAAGAAAAGAAAGAUAAAGAAUCGAAAAAAUAUAGAAUUGAACAUUCGUAAAUGCAUAUUUUGUGCAUACGACUCUAAAAGAAAAUAACCCCCCACCCCCGCCCCACUCUCCUUUCUAUUGAAGAAAAGGAAAAAUAGAAUCUAUCAGACUCGCAUGGAUAAAUAAUGCAAUUUUCAUCCUUUCUUUUGGAGGAGUUCAAAAAUAUUAUGAUGGCUCCAUUGCUUUGUAUGUUUUUUGUGUAUGUGUGAUUCAGCAAUCCCAAUAUACACUUUUGAACAAAGUUUAUUUAAUAUAUAUUAGAUAACAUACUAAAAAUUUAUACAAUAUUGUAAAAAUAUGCUUUUAAAAAAGUAAUCGAUUACUUCGAAUAAAAUUUAUGUUCUAUUAUUAAGAUUAUAUGUUAUUAAUACGAAGAUAAUAUAAAUUAACCUUAUAUAUUCUGAAUACAAUUAUAAAAUUGAUUAUACUAUUUUAUUUUAUUAGUAGAGUUAUUUUUUUCUUUUCACUUUGGAAGAAUGGAUUGAAGUACGUAGUUGAGUCCACUUCAUGCUUAAAUCAAUUCCAACAAAAGAUUAAGGAACAAUGAAAAAGGCUUCAAUACCUAGCACGUGAGGAGGCCCCACACUUACACGUGAAACAUACAAACAAAUUAACACUAAUUAACAUUGUCAUCAUUUUGUCAAAUUAGAAAAAAGCAUAGUCUUGAAUAGGAUAAUUAGAAAUUAUCAAUAUUUCCACUAUUAUGCCAAGAAGGUAUGUUGACAGAGAGGAGUAUGCUUUGAGCAAAAUCCCUCUUAUAUAAUAGUAGAAUAUUAAGAGGUCUAAACUAGUUGGUCUGGUUGCUUGAAAUUCGUUAAAUGAAUAAUAACUAGGAUUAGUCAUAAUCUAGUUAUGACAUCUGCAAAAGGAAAAAAACCAAUAAUUUCACAAAUAUGAGGUCACGAUUAAAAAGAAAUUGUGACCGACGCUAAGAGGAAAGAAUCCCAAAAGCAAGUAUUAACAUAAUUUACAGAAAAUUGUGAAGAGUUUCCUUUAUUUUUAAACAUAUUCAGUUAUUCCUUGUCUUAGAAAUCAGCAAUACAACUAAAAAUUUUGCUAACGCAUGACCCAAUAUUUAAUAACAAUUCAAUCGCCACACAAUUAUUUCAAUUCUUCUCCAAUUACAAAAAAAAAAGAAGUAUAAAACUAAUCACUUGAAUACAAUAGGAAGAAAUAAUCAUGACUCUGAUAACAAAUUGAAUAGUCUAAAAGUUUUAAAAAAUAUAUAUAGCAAUUCGAUAAAUCUCUUGCCACGCAAAGCAAUGUGGGGCUCACCAGAUGCUACCAAAUCGCAAAGCAAUGUGGGGCUCACCAGAUGCUACCAAAUCACACCCUCUGUAUAAACAUUUAUCAAGGAGUGAAACACUGGCUCAGUGAAUAAUAAUACUUAGGGCCCGUUUGGAUGAGCUUAAUAAAAGCAGCUUUAAAAAAGUACUUUUGAAAGUACUGAAACUUAUUUUUAAAAUAAGCAGUUAUGCGUUUGGAUAAAAGUGCUGAAGUUGUUGUGCCAAACAUGAAAAGAGGAAAAUGGAAGAAAGAGAUGUUAGGGUUAUAUGGGUAAUUUUGAGAUUGUAUAAAAAUAUUAAGGGCAAAAAGAUAAAAAUGUGGUCAACUUAAAACAGCUUAUAAGCUAAAAAAAAAAAAGCACCCCUACCCCCAGCUUUUAACUUUUGGCUUAAAAUAAGUUUUUUUUUAACUUAAAAUAAGUUAUUUUGAGUAUUGCCAAACAGUUAAAUAAGUCAAAAAUCAGCUUUUAAGUCAGUUUAACCAGCUUUUAAGCUGAGCCAAACAGGCUGUUAACCACUGUCGUUUUAAUAAGGGACAAGUCAGAAAAUAUAUUAGUAUGAUAAUCAAAAUUUUGAAAUAAAUUGCCUUUCAUAAACAAUACAAUAUUCAAAUCUUAUUUGCCUCAUGUAAGUAAUAUUUAUAUAAAUACUUAGUAGUAAAAUGAGAAAAGCACUUUCAUAUCAAAUCUUAUAUUUUGGGAGGUUUCUAUGUAAUUAGUGUGGUCUUCUUUAAGAAGUAACCAAUACAGUGAACCCCUCAUAAAAUUGUUAAAUAUCCAUAUUGGUAGAUCCCUACUCAAGGUAUAUCAGUAACGAUAUGCUAGUUCUACCUUUCCACUUGCAAGGGCUAUAUCGGUAAUCUGUAACUACAAGAUAUACAUUUCUAACGAACCUGUCAUUAUCUGCCUGAUUCAUCAAGGUCUACUUCCAAUUACACUUUUCUUUGCAAUUAGUAGAAACAUUUCAAAUUGUUAUUAGGCAAGUGCUUGUCAAAUCAUAGUAUAUAAAACUUACACUGAAAUCAUGUCAAAAUAUUUUUUUCAUAAUUUUUUUUACCCUUUACAACAUAUUAUUUAAUCACACUCAAACUUUCUACCCAUCAACUACUUUCGUUUCUUUGUCUCCUUCCAGGUUUGGUUGUUUCUUCUUCCUCUUUCUUCUUCUUGGAAUGACAUUGAAAUCUACCAUGUUUAACUCAACAAAGUCAAUCAUGCUCUUGUGAUUGACGAAAAUGGUACAAUCACGAUAAAUACUCUCUGCUAGAACAGAUUCACCAAUAGGUGAAGAAACACUAAAGGGCUCAAGAAGUUGCUCAGGAAGAAUAUUAAAAUUCAUGAAAUAUAAGGAGUCACAAAAGAUAGACCCGCUCCUGAAUUUAACAAAGCAUAAACAUCAAAAGUAAAGACUUUGAUCAUACUAGUGACAUGUGGAGAAUUCUCUUGCUCUUGGCGACUAGUGAUAGCAUAAAGACGAUUCUCUCUUCUGCUUUUCCUUAAAUAGCUCAUCUAGGUACAACUCUGUCUGGUGGAGCAACUAAAGAAGAUUCGACUCCAUUGCCCAUAUUCUCAUUGCUCUGGCUGUUCUUAAGACACUCUUUCAUGGAGUGACCUUUUUUACCACACUUGAAACAUCCAGUGGAGCCAUUGUGACAUGCUUUUGGGUGGUUCCUAAUAUAGUUAACAUUUGUAGGAGUUCAAUUUCCUCUUUGUCCCACACUACCUUGGAAUUGAGCAGGUCUAGAUAUGAAAUUUUAUGAAUUUUGAUCAUUAAACUCAUCUUUGUUCCUUGGUGCAGGUGCACUAGUUGAUGACGGAUCGAGUCCAUUAUAUUUCUAUUGGAAAUGAUGUAAAAAUGUUUUUGAGGGGUAAUUGGAUCUUUAAUCACGCUGAUACAUAUACUGGAUCCAUUUGCAUUACUAAUACCUAGAAAUUCAUUGUAUUGAUAAUACACUCCUCAAUGCACAAUCACGUAGUUAAUGCAUGUAUUAAUUUUGCUAAUGCACUCAAAAAACAAUCCCUUAGUGUAGAUGUCCACGAUUAUAAUAUUUAACUCUCAUACCUCCAUAGCCUCCCUCAUGAUCUUCUUCCAUAGCUUUGAUGAUUAAUGUCAUACUUAGGACAACUUUUUUCAUGGUUCUAUGUAACACUACAAAUGGUAGCAUAAAUGAUGAAGGUCAAAUACAUAAGCAGAUCCCUAAACUUAUUGGGUUUUUUCCCUCAGGUACUUCAACUACGUCAUUUUUCUAUUGAAUCAUUGAAUCCCCAUAAUUUGUUCUGUUUAAAUAAACAUAGUUGUCUGAUGUGGAACGAGAUUUAUGAGGGGUAUUAAUAGAGGAUACAUAUGUUGUUCCACAACUCAUUAGUCCAAUUGACACUGAAAAUGUUCGAGAAUAAUUGUGUUUUGCUUAAGUCAUUUGAACACAUUAGAAUACAAAUGAGACUAACACGGUUUGUCUUCAUUCCUUCAAUCAAAAUUAUUACAAUUCAAACACAGUUGAAGACAUUUAAAAUAGAAAAGCCAAUCAAAAUCAAUCAAUAAUGUUUUAAAGGAACAAAUUAUGGGUGGUUCAAUGAUUCAACAGAAAAAUGACAUAGUUGAGCUACCCGAGGAAAAAAAACCAAGUUUAGAGAUCUGUUUAUAUAUUUGGCCAAUAAUGAACAUACUUAUUGGAAAAAUAACAAAGCUCUCCCAUUUUGAUCUCUUAUUUCUUGUCUAUUUUUUUGCUCCAUAUUAUUACUAUUUUAGCUUAAUCUUGCUACAUAUUUAUAUUAGAAAAAUACAUUUAAACAACUAAAUAUUAUUUGGAAAAUUAUAUGUAAACACAACUCGAUUUUCGAAUCCAGUUCCGAAACAAUUUUGUUUGGCAAAAAAGAAGAACGUAAAUGGGAAAGCACUUCAAUACCGAGAAUGAAACAAAGCUCCAAUUAAACUAAAAAUAUAAACUACCAUAACCUCCUGUCUUUCCACUUGAGCCAUGUGAGUCUCCCAUGGCUUCUCCAUUUGCUUGUAAACAUUCCAUUACCUCCCCACUUCACUUCUCUCCAUAAUCUCCCCUCUCUCUCCGUGUUGUAUAAUUGUCUCCCCGUUCGAUCCGACAAUGCCCGACACAAAUGGAGCUCCAAAUUCCAAAACCAAUCCAAGCCCUAACAUGCCGGAGAGACCUCCGUUGCUCAAGAAAUCCAAAAUCAAUGCCGACAACACACUCGCCGGACAACUUUUCCCCGCUGUUCUUCGUGUCUCUUCUACUUCACCAUCCUACUCUGAAUCUCAUACCACUUCCGCGACUAAUGAUGCAAAUUUUGGAUUUGGCGAUCGUGACUACGUUUACCCCUCUUUUCUUGGACCGCAUACUACUAGGAGUAGAGUUAACGUCAAGUCAACUUCGAAAUCACAGAGGAAUCAGCUCGAAUUACCAGCUCGUAGCGAGUCUAUGCCUUCCAAUUUGAGUUGUGAAGCUAAGGUGGAGUCAAAGAUGAAGCUCAAGCCCAAGCUGAAAGCUGAGAAAGAUUUGAAUGCUUUGUCAAUUCAAGUCUCAACUUCAGCUUCUUCGGCUUUGUCAGGGUCCAGUUCAGCUAACAUCUCCAAUGCGCGAAGACCUUCUGCUCAUAGAUAUUCGUGGAUUCUCUUUUUGGUUGGUGUCUUUAUGCUUUUCCAAUUCUGAUUCGCGUUUCUAUCUCUGUUCGAUUUGAAAACCAAAAAGACAUGCAGAAAAUGUGAAAUUUGCAAUUGAUUGCUUUUGGGUAAAAUUUUCAGGGAGCUAAUAAAAUGUUACAUAGUGGUACAAUACUCUCUCCGUCCCCUUUUUAUACCCAUGUGUUUGACUGGAUACAGAUUUUGAAAUGUUAAUUUUGAGUUCUAUAUGUUAUGUUAGCCAUGCCGGAAAAACAAUUAGAGUAAUUGUUGACAAGUUGGUUUGGUAAAGAUUACCUCGAGGUUUAAAAUUUGAAUAGUUUAAAGUAUUUGAAUUUUUAAAGUAUGAAAUUUAUAGAAAUGAAUGAUGUCAAACAUUUUGAGACUUCCCAAAGAGGAAAGAAUGUUAUAUAAAUUGGACAGUGAGAGUACAUAGUAGGAUAGUACUAUGUUUUACUUUUUUGGUGAAUGGGAAUUUGUUGCCCAUCCAAUCUCUCUCUCUCUCCUUUUUUUUGGAUAAUAUCCAAUCUCUGUUUCUUAUAAACCCUUCUGAUCUCGAUGCAUUGGUUUUUCGGUUCUUCCUGAUAUGUUGAUCAAUUAUUUACUUUUAUUGCAGCUUAAGUUUCUUUGUACAUUAUCUGUAUCCCACACAUUAUAUUUGCGGAAUGAAGUCUCUAAACUUCAGGUAUGCUCUCUAUGAACACUGUUCAAAUCGGGAAUUCUUUUCACUCUAGUCUUUGUCUACAUAUAGUUUUCAGUUGCUGCUUUUUAAAAGAAAAGCCGAAUACUAUGUUGCCCCAAAAAAGUAAAAUAAGAAGAACCACUGCUUAUUGGAAGAAACAGGCAUAUUAAACGCUCAACUUGUACUCAAAUUUUGAUCUCUGUUGUAACUAAAUAGUUGGUUCUCAAUACAUUAGUUGAAGGUGAGGAUUGAUUUAUUUGCAGGAGGAGAAUAGUAGUCUUCGUAGAGCUUGUAGCCAUGUUGAUCUUGCCAGCGCUGGUAUCAUGGAGCUUGAAGAAGUUAAUUCAUUUGUGUAUUUUGGUAAUGCCGACAGCAGAACAGUUGCUCUGUACAUGGUGGUGUUUAUCCUCGUUAUUCCUUUUGCAUUGUACAGAUAUCUUGACUAUCUUCCGAGAAUAAUUGAUCUCUUGAAGAGGAAAUAUACCAUAAAGGAGGAGGUUCCACUGAAGAAAAGGAUUGCAUAUGUGGUGGAUGUGUGUUUCUCAGUUUACCCUUAUGCAAAGCUUCUUGCACUUCUUUUUUCCACUCUCUUUCUAAUUGUAUAUGGAGGAUUGGCACUUUAUGCUGUUGGUGAUGGCAGCUUUAUUGAAGCUAUUUGGCUUUCUUGGAGCUUUGUAGCAGACUCUGGAAACCAUGCUGAUAUGGUUGGUGCAGGGCCAAGGAUAGUUUCAGUUCUGAUAAGCUCUGGAGGCAUGCUCAUAUUUGCUAUGAUGCUGGGGCUUGUUUCAGAUGCUAUUUCAGAAAAAGUGGAUUCUUUAAGGAAAGGAAAGAGUGAGGUGAUUGAAAGUAAUCACAUUCUUGUUCUUGGAUGGAGUGAUAAAUUGGUAAGUCUAUCGAUAUUGCUUAAAAUGUUUCGACUUUUUGACGUAUUAUCUGAAUUUUGCUAUAUAUUUGGGCAGAAAAAGUAGAUUUGGAUGGACAUACGUUAGAUAUGGGGUGUGGAUAAUCUAUAAUCCAUUCGAUCAAUAUGAUCCAUAAGAAAGUUUAGUCCAGAUCCACCUACAGUCCAUUUGAUCCAAACAUAUUGGACAGUAAUGAAUCGUUGGAUUUAAAUAUAGACAGCCACAGAUUGACCUACAUGGCUGUGCAACAAGGUUGUACUGUUGGACUUGAAUCUUCCCUUGACUUGUCAAUAAUAUAAUCUAAGUUGUUAGUGAGAGUUAUUCUUCAUUGAUGAUAAUUUGAUUCCAGGAAUUUAGGGCACUUUCAGCUGCUAACAGAGCUUUCUGUUUUCUGUCUGCUUGAUUCUUUUCCUACAUGACAAGUAGAAUGAAAUACUUGAGUAAUGGUGAUUUUGGCUAGGUAAAUAGGCUUGAUAUAGGUUUGACUUAUAAAAUUAUUCUACUUUAUAUUAAAAAGGCUUGAUAUAGUUUUGGUUCGUUAUUAUUAAUUGUUCAAGAGAUGAAGAGAGGAAAUAAAAUAGCAUAACUACUCUAUAUAGGAAAGAGCAAUUUUCAAAUUUUCAUUACCUUCUCAAUUAUCCAGUAGAGUGGAAAUCUGCAAAUUGUUUUCAAUAGGCAUUGCAAGUAAGAUAGUACCAUUGGUUCUUGAGAGAUCUUGUUGGAGAAAAACAAAGACAGACAUACUUCUAGAAUAGCUUUCAGGUCAUACUGUUUGUUUCUGUUAGCUGCAAACAUCACUUGGCAGUCUUCGCUCGAUGGAAGGAAUUAUCUGAUUUUUUCAUGGCUUUUGAGACUGGUUAUGACAUGUAGGAGUAAAAGUAUUUUCUUAUUACAGGGGUCACUUUUGAAGCAGUUAGCGAUAGCAAACAAGAGCAUUGGUGGUGGUGUUGUCGUUGUUCUUGCGGAAAGAGACAAGGAGGAGAUGGAGCUGGACAUAGCAAAGUUAGAAUUUGAUUUCAUGGGAACUUCAGUUAUCUGCAGAAGUGGCAGUCCACUGAUACUUGCUGAUCUAAAAAAGGUGUGACUUGUGAGUGUAUCUUUUUUCUUUCCCUUGUUGACCUUGAUUCUCCGUCUUAUCCUUUAGUCAGUUUUCCUUUCGUCAUUAUCCUAAUAUUCUAAUUUAUUCUGUGAAGUAAAAGUAACUAUUAUCUUUGGAUUCAACUUGAUCUUAUACGCUUCUUGAAUUCUCUUUACCCUGCCUUAUUCUUUUUUAUCAUAGUUUUUUCUUUUCGUUUUUGUUCUUCUAUGACGCAUGCAGGUAUCAGUCUCUAAAGCACGUGCAAUCAUUGUCUUAGCAUCUGAUGAGAAUGCUGAUCAGGUGCUUUUUUCACAAAUGAAUCUUCAAUCUCUGAACAACCAGAUAAUUCCACUAAUUAUUCUAAUGUUUUUCUUCUUAUUAGAGUGAUGCGCGUGCUCUAAGGGUUGUACUUAGCCUAACUGGAGUAAGAGAGGGGUUGAGAGGUCAUGUUGUUGUGGAGAUGAGUGAUCUUGACAACGAACCGUUAGUGAAACUUGUUGGUGGUGAACUUAUUGAAACAGUUGUUGCGCAUGAUGUGAUUGGGAGGUUGAUGAUACAAUGUGCUUUGCAGCCUGGCCUUGCUCAGGUAAGUUAUACAUAGUUCUGUUGCAUUAUUUUUUCAUUUGUCUUUCUCUUCCUUGUUUUGGCAGCUUUUUACUACUUAUGUUGUCGUCUGGACAUAAUGUGGUCCAUCUGGUUCCUCUUAUAUCUAUUGGCUAUAAUCAUUAGUUUUAAAUUCAAUGAGUGCGUUUAUCAAGAGACUGUAUACUUGUGCCUUACAUGUCCGGAAAACCUUGCAAGUUUGGACCAGAAAAAUUAUCUUCCUUUUGAGUUCCUUCUUGAUGAUAUAACAACAAACAAUGCCUUUCAAACUACUUCCGGUCUCUUGUAAUCCUCAAUACCCAUUUUGCUCCUUUUAAUACCUGUUCAACUCCAAUACAACUUCAGUGUUAUGAAAAUUCAUAAGUUAGCUUGUUUAUUGCUGGCCUUCAACCUUCCGUAACCCUCUUUGGACCAGCAUCCAGCCAUGUAUGCUCAUAGUGGCGAAGUUGACGUCCUUUUUAAUCUUUACCUAUAUUUACCCAAAAAAUGUGUGGAGAGAAUUUCAAGAUUGAUUUUGAUGUGAACAUUUUGAUCCAUUACAUGUGAUCAUAAUCUCAUAGAUAAACAAUUCUGUUGCUAUUUAAUACUGCUCUGCAGUUGAUACUCCUGAAACUGAUGCACAAUCUGUUUUGGACUGAAGAUCCAGUAUAAGGUUAAGACUCAUCUUUCCUUGAGGGAUUUAUUUGGGCACAUGCUUUCCCAAGCUGUAUUGAAUGAUAAUCUGAUCUUAGUUGAUACACAAGAUUCAGAUGGAAUAUAAAAUGAAAGGCAAUUUUAACCAUUUACCAAAUUGUACUUGAAACCAUAAUGAUACCCACAUGAUGGAUGAGCGAACUCAUUGUAGACAACAAUAAUAUCGAGGUACCUACUGAUUGAAUAUCGAAAUAGUAUGGAUUACAAUAAUAUCGAGGUACCUACUGAUUGAAUGUCGAAAUAGUAUAGAUUUCUCAAUUUGUGCUUGAUCCUGUUUUUGGUAGCUGUCAGUUUCUGGGUAGUAGUAAUAUCUAUUUUCUUGUUAAUACCCUGUCUGGUCCAAUAUGACAGAUUUGGGAAGACAUUUUGGGGUUUGAAAAUGCAGAAUUUUAUAUCAAACGGUGGCCUCAACUGGAUGGUGUACCCUUUGAAGAUGUACUGGUAUCAUUUCCGGAGGCUAUUCCUUGCGGUGUUAAGGUUGCUGCUUAUGGGGGCAAGAUUAUCAUAAAUCCUGAUGAUAGAUAUGUUCUAAAAGAAGGUGAUGAAGUCCUUGUUAUAGCUGAGGAUGAUGAUACCUAUGCGCCAGGUCUCUUACCAGAGGUCAAUUUUCUUCUCUGUAUUGGUUUUAUUUUUGCUAGUAUUGGUUUUUUUUCUGUUAAGGUAUUUUUACUAGUGUAGGUUAUUGUAGCUUUUAGCAUCAAAUUAGGGUGCUCUCCAGUAUUCUAUUUCCUUUUUUGAACUUAAGGCAUUUAUCUUGUGUGAGAAAGAGAAUGGUAAAACAUUAGUUCUAUUCUCCGUCACUGGCAGGCAAUAUAGUUGAUAGUUCUUCGAAAUAAUCAAACAAAGACAGAAAUUGAGUCUGAGUCGUGUAUCACCAUUACUUGUAUAUUUGAAUUUUGUGAAUCUACUUCCAUAGGUCAAUAUUUCUGAUCCUUGUCUGGUGAUAUUUCAACUAAUGCAUGGUGGAUAUUGCCUCAGUUUCUGUAUUUGCUUAAAUAGUGGCUUGCUUAUUGCAGGUAAAUAAAGGCCUAUUCCCUAGGAUAACUGAUCCUCCAAAAUAUCCAGAAAGAAUCUUAUUCUGUGGCUGGAGACGUGAUAUUGAUGAUAUGAUUAUGGUACUGUACAUCUGUAUCACCUAUUUCUCCUUUCAAUCUGUGUGUGUUUGCAUGUCUGUGUCUGAAUAUGUGACUAAUAAAGAAACCACCCCAGCUCCCUGCCCUGCCUGAGACCAUGCCUGAGAACCUGUGUUGUUUAAGCGUGCUUAAGCCCUGAACCGAUGCUCAAAAUGUGUUGAGAGCUUCACCUUGCUUAAGAUGUGCUUCAACAGCUUCAGUGUCAUCCUCUUCUCGAUAAUUUAACUAGCUCUAUGGAGUUCCCUGUUAACGACCCUAUGUUCCUAGAUCACAUUCUUAGCCUUGAAGCUCAUAUAACCCACUUCCCACCACUGCACCUGCCUGAGACCACGCCCGAGAAGCACUAUUAUUUAAGCGUACUUAAGCUCUGAAGCGAGUCUCAAAUGUGUUGAGCGCUUCACCUUGCUUAAUAUAUGCUUCAGUGUUGUCCUCUUGUUGAUAAUCUUCAGUAGCUCUAUGGAUUUUCCAGUUAACGACCUUAUGUUCCAAGAUCCCACUCUUAGCGUUCCAGCUUCCAUAACCCACUUACCACCCCUGCUCCUAGCUCCUGCCUGAGACCACGCCCCGAGAACCAGUGUUAUUUAAUCGUGCUUGAGCCCUAAAGCAAGGGUCAAAAUGUGUAGAGCGCUUGCCUUGCUUAAUAUGUGUUUUCCAUGGUGUCAUUCCAAGGCAUACUUCUACUUGCCAAUGAGUCUCUUCUGAAGAGCCUACACUAAACAAUAUAUUUGUUCAUAUAUUUGUCUUUCAUGCUUAUAAUUACUAGUCUCUUCCUUUUUUUUCUCUUUUUUAUUCCAGUUAUAAUGUGAUCUUCUUUAAAAAUCCUUGUGUUGAAAUUUUUGUGUUCAAAGCUUUUUAAGAAUGAAAUACAGUGUCAAUUCUAAAAUGUUGAAUGUUUGCUUCUGUUACUGCUAAAUUACUAGAAUAAUUAGUAGUUUAGUUGCAGUAGAAGUCUCUGUUUAAAUUUGAAUUUUGUUAGAUUAGUCUAGUUGAUCUAAUUUAGUUUUUUUUUUUGAAUUUUGUUCUCCAGAUUCUGUUUUCAGGUUGACUAUAUAUAAGUCUUUUAUGCUUAACAAAUUAUUGAGAAAUAUUUUCAAUCUUUCUUCCAACCUCUUUUUGCUGUACCAUCAUUUCAGAAACCUACAAUAACGAUGAGAAUAUAUACUAUUCAUAUUCAUGUGUUUCAGAGGCUUCUUCACGUCUUGUUUGUUAGGUACUGGAGGCAUUAUUGGCUCCAGGGUCUGAAUUGUGGAUGUUUAAUGAGGUGCCCGAGAAAGAUAGAGAAAAAAAGUUGACUGAUGGGGGUCUUGAUAUAUCAGGACUAGAUAACAUAAAACUUGUCCAUCGUGUGGGAAAUGCAGUGAUUAGACGUCAUUUAGAGGGUCUUCCUUUGGAGACAUUUGAUUCGGUAAGUUCAAGUUGUGCUCAUACUUUGAUAUCUUUAAUACUCUCCUAAAAGAAAACUGAAAAUAAAUGAAGUCAUAUCUCAACAAGGUUUGGAGAAAAAUAUGGUCAUGUUUGUUUGCACGGAAGAUGCUUAUUUAUUUUAAAGUUCCUGUGGGCAAAACAAAUGAUUUCUGGAUAUGUUGUUAGCAUAGCGCUAGGUAGCUGGUGAAUCCUUUUGGUAAUUUUUUCACGCUUCUGAAUUCAGGAAAAAUGUUUUAUCUUUGUCUUGCUACUAAAGGAUCUGAAUGCAGUGGGCUAGUUGCUCUUGAUUUUCCUGAGAGUAGAAUUAAGCAAAGACGAGAAUCAUUAUGAUUUAAAAGUUAAAACUGUAUAACAGAGGAUAGUAUUUUAUCAUGUCAAUUCAUAUUUUUGUUGAUGCACUGUUUACUAACUCUAAGAGAAUAGAUUUUGAUUCUUGCAGAUGAAUCCGUCGAAGACUCCAUUGUUCACUCUGAUUCACGCUCUCUUGCCACCCUCCUUCUCAUCCGAGAUAUCCAGGUCAUUUUUGCUAACUUCCGAUUGAGGCAUAUAAACGAAGUUUUUCACUGGAAUACUUGUUUCUGAGAAGCAUUUCUUGUUUGAAGAAGUCUGCAACUUUUCAUUUUUGCCCUCAAUUUCUUUUCACUUCAUUUUACCUUUUCCUCCCUUCCAGUACUAAUGAUCUCACUUCCUCUCCCUCUGGCCUGCCUUUUUAAUUUCGCAAGUCACAAUGGUAAAAUGGAUGUCAUUAAUCCUCCAAUAGUGAUUGAAAUUGCUGAAUUGUUAUUUAAUGCAGUCGAAGCGUCUUCCUAAUAAAGACUCUAGGUCGGUUUCUCUACGGCAUUCAGUGUUUUCUCAGAGCUCCUGGAUUCGUGAAAUGCAGCAGGCUUCAGACAGAUCAAUAAUAAUAAGUGAGAUAUUGGACUCUAGGACAAGAAAUCUUGUGUCAGUGUCUAGGAUAAGUGAUUACGUGCUGUCAAAUGAACUGGUGAGCAUGGCACUUGCAAUGGUAGCAGAAGACAAACAGAUUAAUCGUGUUCUAGAAGAACUGUUUGCGGAAGAGGUAUUGGUUUUUCCUUAUUUACUUAUAUACUGAGUGCAAUGUGUGAUAUGUUUAGACGACUGUAGAUGAGUUUAAUGCGAGAGCAUGAAAUACAGGGAAAUGAAUUAUGCAUCAAGCCGGCAGAGUUUUAUCUGUAUGAUCAGGAAGAAGUGUGCUUCUAUGAUAUCAUGAGAAGGGGUCGUCAAAGACGGGAGAUAGUGAUUGGAUACCGCAUUGCAGCUGCAGAACGUGCUGUGAUUAACCCAGCAGGCAAGUCAAAGCAAAGAAAGUGGUCCCUUGAUGAUGUUUUUGUGGUUAUUUCCUCAGGUGACUGAAGACCUUUAUAUUAAUCAUCACAAACUCUGUCCCGACAAGCAACACUCACAGGGUCACUACAAAAGAGGCAAAUGAGGUAAACUUUAACCAGCAGAUUAGGUAGAAAAUAAUAGCAAGAGAGAGGUAAGAACUGGUCUGCGUAGUAGGAAAGGAGGGGAGAGCUAGCUGUUAAUUCCCUUUUUUGUCUUUUUUCUUUUUUCAUUUUUCAUUUUUCACAUUUUGCAAUACAAAUCGGGGAAAUGAAGAAUGAAAAUUUACCAUCAUUAGACAAUCAGUUUUUUUUGUUUCAUUGGCAUCCUCUCUUGGAGCAGUUUAGUUAUCAAAUAGUGCUUUAAUUCAAAGAUUUCUUAUACAUUGCAUACACAUUAUCAAAUAAUGCAUUCAUCAUAUGUUACUAAAAGCAUGAACCAAAAAAAGUUAAAAGUUGAAUUAUUAUUUUACUCCUUCUAUAAAUUAAAUUGUUAUAAAAUAUUUAAAUAUUUGAUUGUAUAAAUUUAAUUAAAAUGUUAAUGACUUUUAGAUUUUUUAAGAUUAAUUUCUAAUUAAAUAUCUAAUUAAUUAAUAUUUAUCAUUUAUAAUCUAUAUGUAUAUAAUAAUUAUAAUUUUUUUUAAAAAUGGUUUCUACCUAAAUUGCUUUAUUUUUCCUCUUCUCAUAAUUUUUUCCUUAACCCCUCUCAUGAAUAAUAUAAUUCAUGUGGAUAAAGUAUUAUCCUUAAUGAUAAAUAACGAAAUUCAAUAAUUUAAAGGUUGUAAAUCUGCAAAAUGGAGACACACAUUGAUACUGUCCUCUUGAUUAUUAUUAAAGAAUGACUCUAUCUUCACAAAUUUAAAUUCAUUAACACUUAUUACGUGAUAAGAACUUUAAUUGUUCUUUCUACAUGGUUUGCUAAUUUUAAUUUUCUUUUUCAUAUUCUUCAUUUAUUUAUUAUUAUUUGUUAAUUACUUAUUCACUUUUAUACUCUUAAUAUUCAUAACUAUCAUUUUUUCAUAUUCAUAACCUUCAAAUAUUUAAACUAAAACUUUAAGAUUUCUUUUGAUAUUCCUUCUAUUCUAUCUAUAUAAAUUCAACAUCUUUAUCUCAUUAAACUCCUACCAAGAUUAUUAGGCUGUCAUUUUUAUUCUAUAGUUAAAGUAGAUGAAGAAGCCUCUUGAAUUUUGAUAGGAUAUGGAAGGAGUCGAUAAAAACUUAGAGAGUUAUGUACUGAUUUUUUCAUGUCUACAUUAUAUUUUUUCUUAAAUCUGUUUCUUUUUAUCUUUUUUUUUCUCCUUUAUACUUCUUUAUUUAGUUUUCUAUGGAUGUUAUAUUGCGUAAGUUUUUAUUCUUAUUUUGUAAUUGUUACAUUUUAUUAUUCAUUAAAUUUACAUAUAUAUUUCCAUUAAACUUUAGUCAUUCAAACGUAUCUACAAAAAUUCACAUGGAACACACGUCAGAAACUAGUUUAUAAAAUAAAAGGAAAAAGAAAAACAAAUAAGGUUCCUUAAAAUAAUGAAGGUAAAUCUUAUUUAGCAAACAAAGAAGCGAUAAUUACAUUACAAUGCUUCAAUUUCGUGUCUUCCUCUAAUAAAAUUUCACCUAUGCUAACAAUAGAUUCUUAUUAAUUUUUCUUACACAGAUCCACAUCAAACACUUUAUUCUUGCUAUCUUCCUAAUAUGAAAAUCUAAUAGACCCAGUUAAGUAAUUUCAAUGGUACAGAAUUAUAUCCCAAAAAUCAUCUUAGUAAUUCACAUUCGAUCUCCAUCUCAACAGACUUAAUCAUCUUAGUAAAUCACAUUCGAUUUUCAUACCGAUCGACUUAUCAAACUAUGCAUGUAAUACAUUGGCUCAAAUCGACAUUUUAACAUCAAAUCCUCAUCUCAUUUUUGGAAGAAAAAAUUAUGCGGCUAAGCAAACUUAUACUAUUUAAUUACUCAUCAUAGUCAUAGUUUACUAUAGUUAUCACUCGCGACUAAUAUUAUACAUUAAUUACGUGGGGUGACUUCGAGUUGUAUAACUAGUCACGUUUGUAUAUGUAUAAUUCGCCAGGAUAUACAAAUACAUAUGUAUAAUAUACAAUUAUUUAACCUAUAUACAUAUACAAUUCAACUCUUUCCCACUCUCUGCCCUCUCUCCCUCAACUCUCUCCUCCCUCUCUCAAUAUCGCUCACCUCUCUCCUCCCUCUCCCAAUCUUGCUUGCCAUAUAUACAAAUGCAUAUGUAUAAUAUACAAUUAUAUACAAUUAUAUGCAUAUACAAUUCACCUCUCUCCCACUCUCUAUCCUCUCUCGCUUACCUCUCUCCUUCCUCUCUUGAUCUAGCUCGCGUCUCUCCUCCCUCUCUCAAUCUCGCUCGCCUCUCUCCUCCCUCUCCCAAUCUCUACAUACAAAUACAUAUAUAUAAUAUAAAUUAUCUAACCAAUAUACAUAUACAAUUCACCUUUCUCCCACUCUUUUCCCCCUCUCUCUCGCCUCUCUCCUCUCUCUCGCCUCUCUCUCGCUCGCCUCUCUCCUCCAUAUAACACGUAGUUACAAAUUGUAAUUAUCAAACUAUAGCUAUAGAGAGUAAUUAAUUAUUUUUAAGUGGCUAUAUGUGAAAGUUACCCUUUUUGGAACCCCAUGCACAAAAACAAACUAUGUUACCACAUCAAAGUUAACAUUCUAAACUCAACGGAAUUGACAAAACAAUCAACCGAAGGUCAUUUGAUAAAAUGUUGACCCAGAUCAACUCACACAAAAACAACUAAAACAAGUACUUUGCAAACACCACAAAAUCAUCUGAUGACCUUCGAAUCCAAAUACAGGUCAUUCUAGACCAAACUCAACAUUUCAAAGCUAAGACACUGACCAAAAUCUCAUCCGAGCCCAUUUAUCAAAAAUAUUGACUGAAGUCAACCCUUAUCUAAAUUUUCCGACAUCUUGCCUAGUUGCUUAAACUCACAUUUAAGGCUUGGAGCACGAGUAACAAUGCUACUAAAUCAUGGACAUUCUGAAGCUGAUGGAACUGACAUAAAUUUAAUAUGACAACAAAUUCUCUAAGUGUUGACCAAAGUUAACUUUUUCAACAUGACCACCUUAGGAAGUGUGACACAACCAAAACACUAAACACACAACAUGCAAGCUACACUAAGGGACAAAAUAGUGAAAACACACAAAAAGCAAGGAAAUGACCAAGAGGGUCAUUACCACAUCUACUACUAAAAGCACUUUCUUCCUUGUAAGUUUAAGAAAUGAAGGCACCUAAGCUAAAAAAAAAGGCGAGGUUGUGAUGAAGGAUAGAUUUUCACUCAUUUAAGGUCUGUUUAGGUUAAUAAUUGGUGUCCUCAAUGCCUAAUAUUGUUAUAUUCAAAUUAAAUGUUGCUAUGAAGGAAAUUGGACAAGGCGGGGAUUGAUGUUUGAAAAAGCCAAAAGUGCAAAAAGAAGUGCAAAUCAUAUAUUGUGGGUAACCUAGCAGGAAGAGCAGAUUGUCGAUUGAGCAUGAUGUCACCCAAAAUGACAGUGCAUAACACUUGAGUCUAUCAAAUCAGAUCGGCGAUUUCUAGUGGAGAAGGCGAUGCGUCGAACGAGAAAGACAACCUUGAUGAGCAUCACCCAAAAUGACAAUAUUGAAAGAAAAGAUUAAAUGCUAAAUAGGCGAACCAAGAUAGUACUCACCGAUUCGAUGAAAAAGAAAGGUUGACUCAAUCAAGUUCACCAACUGAGGUUUAAAACAACUGAAGCCUAGAGCAUUAAAAGGCGAGUUGUGGAGCAAGAGGUGACGCGACAAACAUGUUUAGCGAACCCGACUAAUGUCGUUUAUUGAGACAUAAAGUGAAAUUUAGGGCCUAAUUUUGGGAAAAUAUAAAUAGUCCAAAGGAGAGAGAAAUAAUAUAUAAGAUGACAUAGAGUAGAAAAUAUCACAGUGUGUGAAGAUUUUAGAGAGAGAAAAUACUUUACCUUUGAAGAACACUUUUCUAGCUUUGGAGUUUUAUAACUUUGAGCUUGAAAUUGAAGAAUUGAAGUUGAAUCCUAAGUGAAUUUACUUGUAAUUAAUUAAUUUGAUGAUACCCAUGGUUGCUUUCAUGGAAGGUAUAAUCUUUUCACUUUUGUGAUGGGUGGCUAAAACCCCAAGAUCUAAGGGUGCAAUUAUGGGAUUGGGUGUUGAUUUAAUUUAGUGGAGAUUGUGCUAUGAUUUGUUUUGUUGUUGUUCAUAUAUGAAUUUGGUAUAAUUAGCAUGGAUUUAAUUUAUAGGUUAGGGUUGCAGACUCAAUUCCUACUUUCGAUCACCAAUUGAUGCUUAAAAGAAUUGAUUGGAAUGGGUAAUUUGAUACUAGCAAUUUAGAUUUGAUGUCUGAAACUUGAUUGAAAAUAGAGGUUAUGGGUCUGAUAUAGUUUGUCACGCCCCAAACUCAAGGGGUGCAACUAGCUCAUAAUGCCAAAAGUCAGGGCCGAGCCAACCUUACUGAACCAUUUGCUACUAGCGCAUAGAAGCCGCAUGCAAUCAAGAAAACAAACAAGUAUAUCUCGGCUUAAAAUUAAGCACUCUAUCGACAAGGCCCCUGUUAAUAGAUCCAUAGAAAAAACAACUACUCCUAAGAGUCCAUAUGCGUAAAUAGCACACUAGCAGAAAAAGUCAUGAUUGGGCCGUCGAGGCCACCAUGAUAUCUAUACCAAAACAUAAAACAUGUAUAUAUCAAGAAAAUACACCAAAAACCUCACAAACUUCAGCAAACCAACAAACUAGGCUAGAAUGGCCAUAAUGUAGCUAUACAUCCCACACACUAGUCUGCAAGCCUCUUAGAGUAGAAAAGAUUGGCAGGACAGGGCCCCGGUCUAUCCAUAAAGAUAUAUACAACUAAAGCUCACAAACCUCCCAAUUCUGGCAGGUUUGGAGGAAAUGGGUUAUCCAAUCAGAUAGCUGUCAAUCCUGCUCUAGAGGAGGUAUACUGGGUAGUCUGUCAGGACCUGCACUUACUAAAGCAACACCCUCAGGCAAUGGGGCAUCAAUAAGAAAUAAUGUUCAGAGUAUGAAAGGCAAUAGAGUAUGAUCAAGUAUCCAAAUAUACUAAAAUAAUCCGACGAAUAAAUCAAGGAUAAGAUUCGUGUACUAACCUGCUCCUAAAUCUAAGCUUAUAAAAAAUAAUAAGACAACAACCUAACCAAGCCCCCAUAAGCUUGGUAGGUACAAACAACACACAAGACCACUUACUCAGCCCCCAUAAGCCCAGAAGGUGCCAAUUAGUCUAUAUACCUAUAUCGGUAGUCCCCUAGCUCCGUAGGUAGUCAGAUAGAUCUCUUAGGCAUUAAUAUAGCCCAAUAGGAAGCACAUAUCUCUCUUAGGCAUAAAAAUAGCUUAUAGACAAUCCAUAGCCCUCUUAGGCAACAACAUGGCCCUGUAGGAAGCACAUAGCCUUCUUAGGCGUUAAUAUAGUCAUGUAGGCAACUCGUAGUCCUUCUAGGCAUCAAUAUAGUCCUGUAGGCAAAUCAUAGCCCUUUUAGGCAUCCAUAUAGCCCCGUAGGCAGAACAUAGCCCUUCUAGGCUUAAAUCAGAUUCCAGCAGUUAACCACAAUAGUCCCAAGGGCAACAAUAACAAUCCAAUCGCUGAAAGCGAGCAAUGUAGUUAUAAGCAACCUAUACAAAUAGUCUCUAAGUCGUGUCCAAUAAAAGGAAUCUACUAAAUGAAUAAGAAUCCAGUCAAGGUAGGAUUAUAUCAACUCGAGCAGCCAACAAUCAACAAUAAUGGCUACAAGUUUAACAAGGAUAACUAAUCGCACAGAAGGUUUCUCCGAUUAGAUCCAAGAAUCGAAUGUGGCUUCACGCCUGAAGACCAAAAUUGGUGACUUCAAGUUUAGUAUAAAUAGGGUUCUAUUUUAGUUUUAUUAUUGUUCUAUUUCUAACUUUCGAACGGGGAGAAACAAGAGACACUUUGAAGUUUUAGUUAUACUCUUUCUCUUCAUCUUUCAAUUUUCUUUGAAUGAUUCAUAUACAUUGGAAGAUUGACUGGAUGAUUAUGAGUACCUAAAUACCCUAGUUCUAGGGUUGUGGCUAUAGGAUGAAUGGAAUAUGUUGAGUUUGUUAAGGGUUUUAUUAUGAGUUAUCUAUGACUCGUUCUUAUGUUCUUGCUCUUUGUAUCUCAUGCUUGAUCACCAUAAAAAUAAAUAUAUUGUCCAAAUAAUACUCGAGAGAGGAAUAAGGGGAUAGAACAUGGAAUAUAAGAAGUUUUAUUACCUCUAAAUAGCUAGGGUUGAUUCGUUUCUGGGAUAGAGAUAUACCUAGAAACCUUGCUUGGACCAUCAUACAGGAAGAUAUCUUAAUGCUCAAUUUUUAUUCACUCUAUCCCCGCUCAGUGAUGUAGUUAGGGCGAUAUCUAUUGGAGGCGAUAAGAGGUCGAGAGACCCUGAUCAUACAUCUAACCCUGUGGUUCAGCGAUGAGUUAUUUUCAAGAAAACCUUUAUCAAAAGAUAUUGAUUACAUAAUUCCUCUAAAAGUCGCAAUCCUAGAUCUUUCCCUCUUCAUUGUUUGAGACUUAUGGAAUCAAACCACAAUAGUUACAUUUUAGUUUACAUAGAAUUAAGUAGUUUACAACUGUUAUAAAAUCUGGAAAUUGAACUUAUGUUGAGUUACAAAUUGGAGAAAUUGAUAGAGUCCAGACUUAAGUCUAUGUGGGUACGAUACCGGACUCUCUAACAAUAGCCACUUUAUUGCUUAUACGAUCACGUGCAGUUGCGUGUUCUAUUUGAAUGCAACAAUAACAAACCAAUUACAUUGUUCCGAAGCUCUAAGCAAACAUGCCAUAAGUAGGGACUAUCCCUAACAUACCUUUUUCGCUGAAUUCACGUGGCUUAGAAACUUUACUCCCCUCCAUGAUACUGCAACAAGGAAGGACCUUAAUCAACACAAAAGAAUAGAAGAUACCAUAACAAUGCGAUAAAAGAUAUAUAUUUAUCAUAAAUUUCUAUUUUCGACUUAUCAAAGUUAGAGUCGAUGAAACAAGGGUCUUACCUUGACUAUAAGUUCAUAAUAAACCUCAAAAUAUUAUAAUAUGCCCAAACCCCUACUAUCUACACAUCAAAGUACGAUAUGCUAGAAAUUCGAUAAAACAAAUUAUAACAUGUAGACGAGAUCAACGCAUAGAACAACUUUUGUUAAGGACUUAAGUCCCGAAAGUUUGUAACUUGUCUGAUCCUAGAAAUGGGUUUUGUGAGUUUUCUGUCUAUUCAUUAAGAAAAAUGAAGAAAAAUGAAGAAAAGUCGAAAAAGAUGGUAUUUAUAAAGUUCCACAGACCUAGGGGACCCACCUCAUCUGAUUGCUUGCGGCGUCUGGUUGAUGCGUUGGAAACUAGACUUGUACACCUUCGAUUUCAAAGGUUGUGGGAACUAUAACUUAUUAUAUAUUUGGGAGAAAACCUCUGAGACAUUUUACCCAAAUUUCAGAAAAUCAUAAAAAAGGAAUUUGCGGUAACUUUCACCAACUUUAAUUUUGCCACUUACCUAGCUUCAAAAACUGAGAUACAACCCUUGAAAACUUAAAAUAUCACAUAAAAAAUCAUCCUUAAUUUAUUACUCACCCUCCUGGUCUUUCCACGAAGAUAUGAAUUAACUUAGACGUUUCGAAAAGUCGGGGUGUUACAUCCUUCCCCUUUUAGAAACAUUCAUCCUCAAAUGAAAAAUCCGAGUCACGCGGUUAAGUCCUUAGGAGUAUAAUAUAUAAGGUAGAAUAUCUUUUGUAAAUGUGACUAUCCAGGAACAUGAAAUGCAAAAAUUCUAACCUAGGCGUCUCACAGGAUGACAUAAAUAGCAAAGCACUAUAGCUCUGCAAUAACAGUGCGAGCAAAUAUACAUUUACAACAACAAUAAUAAGCAACAAUGUAUAUGCAUAUAUAUAUAUAUGUAUGUGUAUAUAUAUAUACAACAAAAGCUGACAAACCUCCCAACUCUGGCAGCUUCGGAGAAAAGGGGCUAGCCAAUCAAGUAGAUAUCGAUCCUGCUCCUAAGGAGGUCUACUGGGUCGUCUGCCGGGACCUACAUUAUCACGACUUGAGAGCACCCCCUUUUCUUAACUGGCGUCGUCAACCUCGAAGAGGUAUUAAACAAGGCCUUAGCAAUCAUCAUUGCAUAUUGGAUAGAACAAAAACAGAAAAAUUUAAAACUUUUUAUUUGAAGUUACUUCACAUAUCAAAAUAGAAACUAACUUGUAUCACAUUUGCAUUUAGAUAUAAGAGUAUGAAAAUUGGGACAUAGACUUUACAUCGGCAACAAGUCUUAUAAUAUGAAUUGCAACAUAGUUUUUCAAUAAGGAAAGUGGAACUAGAAUUAGAAUGAAGCAUCUCUAUCCUCGGACUUGAGGACUCACCAACUUGGGAAUAUCAAUCCAUGUUUCUUCAAGAAAGGAGUAGAAUUACCUCAAUGGCACUAACCUACAGUUUGUGUUGAAAAUAAGAGAAAUAUGGGUUAGUACAAACCACAUGUACUAAGUAUGGAAACAUAUGCAAGUAAAACAUUUGAAAACAUGCAAAAAGGGACAUUUUGUUUAUAAGCAUACUAUAUUUAUUUUUAAAGACUUUAUGCACAUUCCAAGAAUAAUAUACAAGUUCAUACCAUAAGUAACCUCAUGAUAAAUCCAUAACCAACAUUCCAUAUUUAGAGUUCAUUUGAUACAUACAUCACAAGACUGUACUCAUAACCCUGAUUCAAGUCUACUAGUGCGAUAUUUACGUGAAGCCCCAUAAACCCACACAAAUCAAGCAAACAACAAGGUCACAAGCAUUGCUAUUUAACUCAUACGUCAUCAUAACAAGUAUAGUCAACCACAUGCAUACAGAGUGAGACCAAUAUCAUGUAUAUCAAGUGACACCAACAUCAUGCAUAUCAUAUGAGACCAACUUCAUGCAUAUCAUUCAUAGUAUAUAUAUAUAUAUAUAUAAAGAAUCCACCCUAUAAUUUCCCUCAAGGUCAACUUGUUCAAUGUAUAGGUAAAGUCUCAAACCCUUGCCUACACUAAGUAACACCUCUUAAGUAGUCCUAGUUAGUGUUCAUCUUCUUACUUACAUUCAUUUUAACAUUCGUGAAACUUUGCCAUAACCGAUAUAGACCAUAUGAGCUACAUGGAAUCCAGUGCCAUCCCCUCACACCGACAGGUGGGUGUCUUACUUGCCAAGUUAAGACAUAAACAAUCGUAUAGCAUCUAGGUGGAUCCACCAGCUAAGGUUCCUAUGGGGGCACAUAGUUAAGGAACUAGGAGGUUGUUACUAGAAACCUUCUUUAUGAUAAUUAGCACUGUAGUUUCCACCUCAUGAGAGAACAUAGUGUGAACCUUUCUUCCUUUGUGAAGGAACACCUCUCAUUGUCAAGUUCACUCGAUGCUAAGCUAAGUUCCUUUUUUGCAGUGUCUUUAAGCCUUUAUUAACAUUAAUUCAUAACAUAAGUCUUAGGAGUGUAACCACUCAUAUAAAAUGUACAUAACUAAUAGGUUUUAGGAUGAGAAAAUUGUUUCAUCACAAACCUAACAUCAUGUGAGAACAUUACUUCAUAACAUAGUCAUAGGAUGUGUAUAGAAGUUACCUUCAAUUACACAUAGUAAUACCCCCAUUAUCGCUCAAUCUUCACAUUCAUACCAUGAUGAAACAUUCAUAAAACUUAUCAUUCAUACUUCAAGUAAUCAACACUACUAAGGAUAAACCAACAAUACUAAAAUCGAUUGUUCAUAGCCUUGAAAGUCUUACUAAUGGUCUUCAAGAUACCAUUUCAAGACUUUAUCACAAAUCCAUAACAUUAAUCCAUCAAAUCCAUUAUCAUAAUCCCAAAAUAGUCAAUUAUACAAGAGCAUGCUCAAUUAAACCACCUCUAAUAAUUAUUCAACAUAAUUCAAGAGUUAGGGUUAAGAGAAUAGGGACAAUCGUGGGUCUUUAGGGAAUUAGGUCAAAAACCUAAGAUACUACAUCACAUCAUUCAUAAACAUUCAUAAUCAAUUAUUAUUAAUCAAUUCUAGAUCAAAUAACUCAUGUUUAAAGGUGACUCACGAUAUUGAGUGAAAUCUAGAAAUUUGGAAGAACAUUAAAAAUCAAUUUGAAGGAACCUCUUGGGGAAAUGAGUCCCAAGAGUGAAGAGUUCUCAUACAUUGUCAAUCCUUAAGGAUUAAUGGAGAAAAGUCUUGUUCUUGAACCCUACUUGAAGCUUGUUCUUUCUCUUUAAUGGAGUCUUGAGUUGAGAGAGUUUAUGUUUUGAUCUUUUUGUGUCUUGAGUUAGAAUGAGUUGGGCUAAUGGGGGUCUUAUAGUUAGGUUAUUAACCCAUCAAUCACAAACCUUAACCCCUAAUAAAACGACCAACUAAAAAUAAGACCCUUGACUUAAACUAAAAGUCGACUUACCUAGCACCAUUGACGAAACCCAUCUAUGUACCGUAGGUGGUGUGACACCCCGUCCCGCAAGUAUUCUUGUUAUAGAUGAAUGUUUAGAUGAACUACACCUCUUAUUGUCCUUUGAUUUAGAAAGUGGUAUUGGAUGGAUUUGGUGAGGAGAAUAAUUCUCAACUAACGAAUCCCACCCACGCCCCGUCAAUCCAUUGACGUCAAUGGGUCUCGUUGGUGGUUGCUUUAAAUUGCAAAUUCAUGCUCCAAAGAUUUGGUCCUCCUCAAGGACCUCUAGGAUUGUACUUGAGGGGUCGUACCAGAUUUUUUUAUCCUAAACAUAGUGUUUUAUCUACUUAAAAGUAUUUCUACAAGAUUUAACCAUCAUACGACACUCCCAAGCCUUCACUAGACCCUAGAACAUCUACUAAUUCAAUUUCACUAUUUUUCGGAUGUCACGAUCAUUUCUCGACGGUUAGGUACUAACACUUCAAAACCAAGUUAAUCACAUUAGUUUUGGUCUAGAAACAUCAUUUUAGCCAUUUUUUAGUCAUUAUUCAUAAUAUGAGGCUCUAGCUUAGGUCAUUGGAUUUCUUGGGUGUUUCAAUACUCCCCCGGGAACAUUCAUCCUCGAAUAGCACUAAGACCUUUCUCUAAGGACGCUAAUUGACCCAAGACUACCAGCUAGACAACAAAAAACAUCAAUACAACAUCAACACAUCAUAUUACAUAGUAAUUUAAUCCACAACAUCAUUAUGCUCAAAACUCAUUACUUCAUAUAAGUAUAGGAAAAACUACCUUCUCAAUAUUCAAUGACCAUCAAUAUGUACAUUAAGCACCCAACAUGACAUUUAUUUAUCAAGACAACAUCAAGCAUGCUCAUUACAACUUUAAUGAAGAAACUAUAACACAAUACAUAUAAGUGCAAGUCAACCAUGAGAUACAUAAUUCAUGAAAACUCAAAUACAAUUUAAACAUGAAUUUCCACAAGAAUAUGCACAUCUUAGAAAACCAUGAUAAGUUCAACAUUAUUCAUAACUCCCAUUAAGAGGAACUACUAACCUCAACUUUGGCUAGGACUAAGAACAAAAAGUUGAGGAUAACGGGACAUUAUCUCGGCCUCGGCCUCCCAUGUUGCACCCUCAACUAGAUGGAUUCUUCAUAGGAAUUUUACGGAGGCAACCUCUUUAUUCCUCACUUUAUUAAAUUGACGAUGAUCUCAACCGGAACCUCUUCAUAAAAAAGGUUCUCAUUCACCUCUAAACCUUCUAAAGGGAGAAUAGACACCGGGUUACCUAUACAUUUUUUGAGCAUUGAUACAUGGAACACCAGAUGCACCGGAGAGACAACUAUAUAGGUAAUUUCAACUCAUAGGAAACACUUCUGAUGCGUUUUAAAAUCUCAUAUGUCCCCACAUAAUGGGUGCUUAGUUUUCCAUUUUUUACCAAAUCUCAUCACCCCUUUCAUGGGUGAUAUCUUCAAAUAGACCAAGUCACCUAACAUAAACUCAAGGUCCUUCUCUAUUGUCGGCAUAAGAUUUUUGCCGAAUUUGGGCCGUCUUCAAUCUAUCCCUUAUGAUUCGUACUUUCUCCACGGCCUCAUAAAUUACUUCGGGAUCUAUUAGAGCAAACUCACCUAUCUCAAGCCAACCAAUCAAAGAUCUACAUCUUCUCCCGUAGAGAGCCUGAAAUGGAGCCAUGACGAUACUUGAGUGAUAGCUAUUAUUGUAGGCAAACUCAAUCAAUGGUAGAUGGUCAUCCCAAUUACCCUUGAAGUCAAUUACAAAUGCCCUCAACAUAUCAUCUAUGAUUUGGAUGGUACGUUCCGCCAAACCAUCCGUUUGUAGAUGAAAUGCGAUACUAAGUUUCACCUUGGUACCAAAUCCAAUUUGGAACGCCUUCCAAAAAUGAGAAGUAAAUUGAGUACCCUUAUCCGGAAUGAUAGACAAGGGAACUCCAUGCAUACUCAGAAUUUUAUUCAGAUACAAUUUAGCAUAAUCCUCCACUGAAUAUAUAGUCUUGAAAGGAAUAAAAUGGGCUGAUUUGGUCAUCCUAUAAAUAAUAACCCAAAUCGAAACAUGUUGCCUUCACCUACGAGGCAAACCAACAACGAAAUCCAUAUUGACAUCUUCCCACUUCCAAGCGGGGAUAGAUAUAUCUUGAGAAAAACCUCCAGUAUUUGAUGCCGGCCUUGACUUAUAGACAGUUAGGACAUUUGACCACAAACUCCGCUAUAUCCCUCUUCAAACCAUUCCACCAAAAGAUUUCUUGUAGAUCACGAUACAUUUUGGUGGCACGGAUAAAUGGAAUAUCGGGAACCAUGAGACUCUUCCAAUUUUUCUCCCUUAAGCCAUCUAUAUCCGACACACACACACACACACACACACACUAUACCUUGGUACCUAAGUACCCAAUAUCCCCCUUGGGAGAAAUCUUCAACAGAUUUCUUAAGUACGAAUUUUUUCAACUCCAUCAAAAUAGGAUCAAGGUGUUGCUUGGAUUUCACAUGAAUAACUAACGAGGACUCGGAGCCAUGUUGGAUCAUGACACCACCCUUAGGAGAAUCUACUAAUUGAACUCCCAACCGAGCCAAUCUAUGUACAUCGUGGACUAACUCCUUUUUCUCAUAUUCUACAUGAGUAACACUACCCAUGGACAUACGACUCAAGGCAUCUGCAGCUAUAUUGGCCUUGCUGGGAUGGUAGAGGACACUCAUAUCAUAUUCUUUCAAAAGCUCUAUCCACCUUCUUCGUCGGAGGUUUAAUGCUUUUUGGGUGAACACAUAUUGGAUACUCUUUUGAGGAAUGAACACAUCUCCAUAUCUUCAAAGAAAGCACCACAACAGCUAGAUCAAGGUCAUAAGUUGGAUAAUUCUUUUCGUGUACCUUAGUUGCCUGGAGGCAUGAGCUAUAACUUACCAUGUUGCAUGAGAACACAACCGUCACAGUAUACCACAAACCCUUCAAUAUCCUUCGGUAAGGUCAAUACCAGAGUGGAGGUAAGAUUAUCCUUCAACUUUUGAAAGCCUUUCUCACAAGCUUUUGUCCCUUCAAAAAUAACUUUCUUUUGGUUUAGAUUAGUCAAUGGGAAAGCAAUAGAUGAAAAACCAUCUACAAACCUCCUGUAAUACCUGGCUAAACACAAAAAGCUUCGAAUGUUGGUAGGACUUAGGGGUCUAGUCCAAUUCUUAACCACUUUCUUCUUAUUAGGUUUGACCUCUAUACCCUCACUUAAAAUAAUGUGACUAAGAAAAGCCACCGAGCUUAGCCAAAACUCACACUUAUUGAACUUAGCAAAAAUAGUUGGUUAUCCUUGUGGACUUGAAAAGCUAUCCUCAAGUGGUUCAUAUGGUCAUUUUCACUUCUUGAACAUACCAAGUUUUCAUCUAUAAUUACAAUUACAAACAAAUCAAAAUAAUUAUGAAAUAACCUAUUCAUAAGGUCCAUAAAAGUCGUCGGCACAUUAGUUAGACCAAAGGACAUAACUAGGAACUUGUAAUGACCAUACCUUGUUCGAAAAGCCGUUUUAGGAAUUUCAACUCCUCAACUCUAAGUUGGUGAUACCCCAACCUCAAAUCAGUUUUCGAGAAGUAACUCACCCCUUGGAGUUGGUGAAACAAAUCAUCAAUCCUAGGGAGAGUAUCUAAGAGGCCCAUCUUUAUUUUUCACAAAUAAUUCUGGAGCUCUCCAUGGAGAUAUUCUUGGUUGAAUAUAACCCUUAUAUAGCAAAUACUUGAGUUGAGCUUUCAAUUCUUUCAACUCGGUCAGAGCCAUCUGGUAAGGAGGAAAUGAUAUGGGUUGAGUAUCCGACAACAAAUCUAUGACAAAAUCUAUUUCCCAUUCAGGAGGAAUUCCGGGUAAGUCAUCGGGGAAGACUUCCAGAAAAUCCUUCACUAUGGGAACCGACUCUAAAGGAGGAGACUUAGACCCAAGGUCCUUGACCCUCAGAAUAUGAUAGUGACAUCCCUUAGAAAUCAUCUUACAAGAUUUUAGACAUGAAAUAAUUUGACCUCUAGGAAUUGAGUUCACCCCUUCCAUUCUAAAACGGGUUCAUUAGGAAAUUGGAUAUUAACUACCCUUUCUCUACAAUCAAUUGAAGAAAAAUAUGUAUAUAAACAUCCAUCCCCAAAAUGAUAUCAAAGUCCAACAUAUCAUGUUUAAACAAGUCAACCAAUGUGACUCCAUUGGACAUUAUAUGGGACAAAUCCUAUAAACUCUUUUAGCAACCACGCAAUCACCCACCAAGGUAGAAACCGAAAAGGGUUCAUCUAAGACAUCAGAGAGAACAUCAAACUUCAUGACCACAAAAGGAGUUACAGAACAUAAAGUUGCAUCGUGAUCUAGUAAGGCAUAAACAUUAAUUGAAAAAACUUGCAAUAUACCAGUAACAACAUCGGGAGAAUCCUCUUGAUCACCCCUAUAUUUGAGAGCAUAGAAACGGUUCUUCUUAAGAGCAUCAGAAUUAAGACCACUUUCUUGUGUUUGGUUACUCUCCCUUAUUUGAGUCUUGUCCAUGGGGCAAUCCCUCACCAUGUACCACUCUUUCCACAACCAAAACGAUUGUUCGUGCCCACUAGACAUUGACCCAUGUGCUUUUUGCCACAUUUGACACAAUUAGGUUUCUCACUUUGUGAACCACCACCUUUUUCCCCUUGAGGCUUAGGGUUAGGUACCCCAUCCUUUUUAGCCCUUGAGAAAUGAGAAGAAACUUGGUUGGAGAAUCUCUUCUUAAACACACAUAGUGAACCCAUCCUAGAAUUCCCAUCAAGGUCCACUUGUGCAAUGUAUAGGUAAAUUCACAUACCCUUACCUACACUAAGUAACACCUCUUAAGUAGUCCUUGAGAAAAGUAUUAUUUUUUAACCCAACUUGAAGCUUGUUUUUCCUCUUUAAUGGAGUCUUGAGUUUAGAGAGUUUAUGUUUUGAUUGUUUUUUUGAGUUGAGUAAGAAUGAGUUGGUUAAUGGGGUUGGGGUCUUAAAGUUAGUUUUAGUUAGAUAAUUAACCACUAACCACCCCUUAACCCCUACUACCCACUAAAAAUAAGACCCUUGACUUAAACUAAAAGUCUACAUACCUGGCACCAUUGACAGACACCAUCUACGGACUGUAGAUGGUGUGACGCCCGGUCUUGAAGGUUGUCCUUUGAUUUAGAGAGUGGUCUUGGAAAGGCUUUGGUAAGGAGACUACGUAUCAACUCACGAACCCCACCCAAGCCCCGUCAAUCCAUUGACGAACCAUCAAUGGGUCUCGUGGGUGGCUGCUGCAAAUUACAACUUUGUACUCAAAAGUUUUGGUCCUCCUCAAGGACCCCUAGGGUGUUCAUUGGGGGUCGUACCCAUAUGUUCAAAUCCUAAACAUAGUGUUUUACCUGUUUAAAGUAUUUCUACAAGAUUUAACCAUCGUACACUCCCAAGCUUCACUAGACCCUAGAACACCUAUUAGUUCAAUUUCACUAUUUUCGGGACGCUAUGGUCGUUUCUUGAUGUUUAGGUAAUAACACUUCCAAACCAAGUUAAUCACAUUAGUUUAGGUCUAGAAACAUCGUUUUAACCAUUUUGAGUCAUUAUUCAUAAUAUGAGGCUCUAGAUUAGGUCAUUGGAUUUUAGGGGUGCUUCAUGCGUGCAUGAAUGCAGCACCCCCAUGUAAUGGGUCAUCAAUAUGAAAUAAUGUACAGAGUAUGAAAGGUAAUAGACUAUGAUCAAGUAUCUUAAUAUACUAGAAUAAUCCGACGAAUAAAUCAAGGAUAAGAUAAGUGUACUAACCUGCUCCUAAAUCUAAACUUAUCAAUAAUAAUAAAACAACAACCUAACCAAGCUCCCAUAAGCUCGGUCGGUACAAACAACACACAAGACCACCUACUCAAGCCCCUAUAAGCUCAGAAGGUUAUAUACUUCUAUCGGUAGUCCCCAUAGAUUCGUAGGCAGUCAAAUAGCCCUAUUAGGCAUUAAUAUAGCCCCAUAGGUAGCACAUAUCUCUCUUAGGCAUUAUUAUAGACAACCCAUAGCCCUCUUAGGCAACAACAUGGCCCUGUAUGAAGCACAUAGUCUUCUUAGUCAUCAAUAUGGCCCUGUGGAAAACCCAUUGCUCUUCUAGACAUCAAUAUAGCCCUAUAGGCAACUCAUAGAUCUUUUAGGCAUCCAUAUAGCCCUGUUGGCUGAACAUAGACCUUCUAGGCAUAGAUCACAUUCAAACAGCUAACCACAAUAGCCCACAUUCAAACAGCUAACCACAAUAGCCCCAAGGACAACAAUAAUAAUCUAAUCGCUAAAAGCGAGCAAUGUAGUUAUAAGCAGCCUAUACAAAUAGCCUCUCAGUUGUGUCCAACAUAAGGACACUACAAACUGAAUAGGAAUCUCGACAAGGGAUGAUUAAACCAACUCGAGCAUCCAACAAUCAAGAAUAUGGCUACAAGUAUAACAAAGAUAACAACCCGAUUACAUUGUUUUGAAGCUUUAAGGAAAUAUGUCAUAAGCAGGGAAUAACCUUAACAUACCUUUUUUCUAAAUUCGUGUUGCCUAACGGCUUUACUCAAAACCCAUCUCGAUACUAAAAUAAGGCGAGACCAUAAUCAACAAAAAGAAUAGAAUAUACCAUAAUAAUCUGAUGAAAGAUAUGUAUUUUCAUCAUAAAUUGCUAUUUGUGACUUAUCAAAGAUGAAAAAAUGGUUUUACCUUGACUAUAAGUUUGUACACCUCAAAAUUUUACAAUAUGUGCAAAUCCCCAUUUUUCACACAGAGAAGUAUGAUAUUCUAGGAAAUUGAUAAAACAAAUUAUACCAUAUUGACGAGCUCAACACGUAGAACAACUUUUGUCAAGGACUUAAGUCAUGAAAAUAUUUAACUUGGUUGAUUUUAGAAGUGGGUUUUGUCAGUUUUCUGGUUAUUCAUUGAGAAAAAUAAAGAAAAAAUAAAGAGAAGUCGAAGAAUAUGACAUAUAUAAAGUUCUACGAACCAAGGGGACCCACCUUACCUACCUGCUUGCGCAGUCUUGCGAUAACGCAAAUAUCUAUCCAUUCUGAAGUCGUAUGAACGAACGGGGUGAUGCAUUGAAAACUAGACUCGUAGACCUACAGCUUAAUAGGAACUGGGGAUCUUAAAUCAUUAUAUAUUGUAUAAAAACUCUAAGACAUUUUACUUAAAUUUCAGACAAAUCUUAAAAUGGAAUUUACGGUAACUUUCACCAACUUCUAUUUUGGCACCUUCCUAACUUCAAACCUUGAGAUACAACCCUUAAAAACGUAAAAUAUCACAUAAAACAUCAUCCUUACUUUAUUAACCAUCCUCGUGGACUUUCCACGAAGAUACGAGUCAACUUAGACGUUUUGAAAAGUUAGGGUGUUACAUAUUUUCCAUGUUUUUAAACGAUAUAAUAGAGUAAGGUAUUGAGUUGUUUUGAUUGAUUUAUAUGAUACAUAAAGAAGAUUAUAUGCUUAGAUGUUUUGAGAUUGAAAUAUAAUCAGUGUCAAUGAAGAUAACUUAGUCUAUUCAUGAAUGUUCAUCAUCAUAAAGUAAAACAAUUACCCCUAUGUGACAUCGAUUUGCAAUCCCCACACCUCUUGAUUGCUUGUUAACUCUUGAAUUUUAGACAUUUUAGUUUUGUGAUAAUUAAUAACCAAUUUUUUUACAUAAACUUGGUGGAAGUGUCCACCCACUUGUUAUUACUAUUGCAAAUGAAUGAUCUUAAAAUCCAAAUCUCUUGAUAGAAAUUCUCCAUGAUAUACCUUUAUCUAUGGGAAUUGAUCCAGAAUACUCAUUGAAUAUUUAUUGACUAUAAUAUCUCACUCAUUUGAUUAGUUUACCAGAGUGAUUCGAGAGUUAUCAAAAAUGGUGUCGGUGCAGGGGAAUGUUAGAUGAAAAUUCCAAUUGAGAAAUUAGAAUUUAAUUUUGUUUAUUUUUAGUAGAUUUGUUGUUUGGUAAGUUGUCUGAUUUGUAGGUUUAUGUAAUGAGUGACCAUGGAAGUGAACAACAAUAGUCAUUAUGGUCAAAACAAUAAUAUAAGUUAUUUGAACUAUAUUAACAUUAAUGUCAUUCAAAUCACGGGAGGAUUUCAGAUACCUCUCACUAUCGGCAGGCUUAUGUUUCACAUCACCGGAACUAUGAUACGAUUUCUCAAGAUGAAAGGAAAUUUUGGGGGCCUAGCUCAUAAGGAUCAUCAUGAAUAUCUUAGGAAAUUUAUGGAGUUAUGUGAACCCUUCGUGUUCAAGAAUAUAUAUCGAAAUUCCAUAAGGUUGAAAUUAUUCUCGUUUUCUUUAACGGGAGAGUCUACAAGACGGUUGGAAGAGUAGAUAGAUGAUUCAAUCACUUCAUGGGAAGAGAUAAAUGAUGCCUUCUUAGAAAGAUUCUUUCCACCCUUGAAGAUGGUUAAACUUUAAACCCGGAUCUCAAAUUUCAAACACAUUAGAGGUGAACCUUUACAUAAGACGUGGUUGAGGUUUAAGAAGUUGGUUCUGCAAUGUACAAAUGCAUGAGGUUUUAGACAAUUACAUGUUGCAAUACUUAUAUUGAAACCUUGAUUCGGUCAAUAAAGUGUGGCUUAUUAGUUAGUCCAAGGUAGAUUUAUGAGACAAUCGUAUGAUCUACUUUGUUACUUGAUGACAUGAUUAAGGUUAACUAAGCAUAGCAUACAAGAGAGGAACAAGUUCCCACUUUACAAGUGAGCUUAAGCAAAGGAAAAGUUUAAAAGGACCAUAAAAGAGAUUAAAGGAAAGAAAAAGUCUACCAAAAAUAAUGCACAUCCAAGGAAAGGAAAAAAAAAACAAUAACUGACAUUAGUUAAUAAUCAAGAGUAAUAGUAGUGAUAUAAGAAUGCAAGUCCCUUUCAUUGUUAUGGAACAACUCUAUUGCUUUCUUUAGACGUUUAAUUUUGUUAUUUUUUAUUUUCCAUUUUAAUUUUUUGUCUUAUAUUUUUUUUUUAUAAAUUUGCGAAUACACAAAUUGUAACACCUCAAAACUUAUCAGGCUAGAACACUAGAAAAAUGGGUGAACCACGACAGGGUUCGCGAAUUGUGAAUGGAACCACAGUCCAUCGAACUUUUAGAGGUUCACACCCAACCCAAGAAAGGUGGACCAAGGGACCCUUCACGGGCCGUGCACCACUACACGAGCCCUACAGGUUCUCGUGGUAGCAGGAUAGAAUGUCACAUCUGGGGAGCACCCCCUAGACAUAAUUGGCGUCAUCGUCCUCGGAGACGACUAAGACUAGCAUCUUAGCAUUCAUCAUUACAUUCAAUGGUUAAAAGUGCAGAAAAUUUAAAAUUUUUCAUCUACAUCUAGUUUAUGAGGUUUACAUAGGCGUAUCGCUUACACAAAAUAUAUUCGUAGCAAGUUUACAUAGACUCCUCGUAUAAGAAGAUUACAUAGUCUUCUACUUUUAUGGAACACACACACACACACACACACACAUAUAAGAUACACAAUAUAGUCUUAAAAGGAAUGUCUCAUAUUAAACCAUCUACGGAAUAGCACAAUAUGAGCAUAGCCCUUACACAAUGUAUAAAUGACACUUAGGGCUUACAAUAAUAUCUUGAAACAACAAGAGUGAAUGAUCUUCAUUAGACUAUAACAAUGCUACAUAGAUAGAGUAAGAAAUGACAUCAUCCUCGGAACUUGAGGACAUACUCACACUUGGAGAAAUGAUCCAAGCCUUCCUUCAAAAAUUGUCACGGACCCUUCAAAGAUCGGAACCUAAAAUGUUGGGGAAAAAGGGAGAAAUAGGGUUAGCACAUCAUUCGUACAAAUUAUGGAAACAUAUGCGCACACAACGUAGAAAUCAUGCUAAAAAGGGACAUUUGAUAAAACCAUGCCAUUUUACUUUUAAAAGCCUUAUGCACAACCCAAGAUCACAUAUAAGACAAUAAUAACAUAUUCCUUAUGAUACAAACAUAUUCAACACAAGAACAACCUAUUCAAGUUAAGCCAAGUCAUCAUGUACAUAGCAUAAUAGAAUUCAUAACCAAAGUAACUCUAACAUCAUGUCAUAACGACUAAGUAUAUUCAUGAGUCCAUAACAUUACAACAUAAGUAAAACCAUUAUACAUAAACCUUCACCAAUUCUACUUGUGUAAUGGUCAAGUGAAGCCCCAUAACCUCACUCAACCAAGCAAACUAGCCAAAGGAUCAUGAAUAAUAUCCAACUUCACAUAUCAUAUCAUUAUAAGUAUUCUUCCUCACAUUUAGCAAUAUAGAUCAUUAACAUGAAGAAUAAACAUAAGCAUAACAUUUAUCUCUUAAGAGCAUAACACAUAAGAAUCAAUUCCUAGGAUUUCCCUCAAGGGCAACUAGUGCAAUGUAUAGGUAGAGUCUCAUACCUCUACCUAGACUAAGUUAAACCCCUUAAGUCCUCCUAGUUAUAGUUCACUUUAUUACUUCAUUUUACAUUUGGGAACAUCUUUCCUUAAUCGACAUAGACCACAUGAGCUAAUGUGGAAUUCGUGUCAUGGAACCCCACACCGAAUGAAGGUGGACUACUUCCAAGGUAGUACCAAAAGAUGAAAAUAGCAUCGAUGUGGAUCCACUAGCUUGUAUUCCUAUGGGGACAACAUAGUUCAAAAACUAGGAGAUAUUUUUGGGACCCUCUUUAUGAUACAUGCAUUAUAGUCUCCAAUCUCAUAAGUUCAAUAGUGAACCUACCUUCCUUACUUCGGAUAGGACACUCCUCACUACUAUUUCAGUUAGUGCUAAUCUAGAGUCCCUUUUGAAAUAUCUUUUUUUUUAACAAUCAUAACUUAGUUUAAGUCAUAGGAGAAUAGCUUCUUAUAUAGUCAUGUCGUUAACUCAAUAAGAAUUGUAAGAGAAAUCUUUUCAAUACAACCCUUCACAUUUGAGAUUAGCACAUUAACAUCACCAUAAUAUAAUAAGGCACAUAGGUACUUCAUAACCAACCUUAUAUCAUUUCAUCUUAAGCAUAAUCUCAUAAUCAUAUAAUCAAUACAUUUCAAUUUCAUCAUCAUACCAAACCUACUUAAUCUAAUCACAAGAUAUACUUCAAUUGAACUUCAUCACCAAGUACAACCAUCAUAAUUGAAGUAGAGGUUUAGGAUAAUAAAGACUUACCUCAUCUCCUUUAAAAGCAAUCAUCAUGGUCUUACCAUCAACCAACCAACUUCAUCCAAUAAUAGGUAGUAACAUCAUCCAAUAAUAAUUAAUGCACUAACUAGGUCAAUUGCAUCAUCACUAUCCCAAUUAACUUCAAUUCAUAACCUAUGGUUAAGGGGAAAGGGUUCAUCCCAAAUUCUUCAAGAAAUAGAUCUAGUCCAAACAAUACAUUACCCUAGGCCGUCCAUGAACGAAUUAGAUAGAUUAAACAAGUCUAUUAAUCAAUACAUUCAUCAAUUCCCACCAAUUUAUGAGAAAGAUCCAAGAUUUGGGGGCAUUGGGGAAAGGACAUGAAUCAAACGAAAUCACCAUUAAUCAACAUCAAUUACUCAACAAUCUAUACUUAAUUAGUCAUAGGAAAUCGCGAUUAAUCAUAAUCAAUAAUCAAUUUCAAGUUUAGAAGAAGAUCCAUUUACUGAAGUUGUGGUUCGCCUUGAAAGAUUUAAGUCAGGGGUUGUUUGGUCUUUUUCACUAUGCGUUGAACACUUAAACAACAUCGUUUAACCCCUAAACUACAUAAUUUUGAUCAGUUUGAGCCUAGUAACUUAGUCAGAACUUACCCUAAGCGAUUCAUUCACCAAAAAAUCAUCAGACUUAAAGCAAAAAGGAAAAUUCAGGUGACAGCUUUCUCAAGAACACACCAACGUUUCUCCAAUUCCAGACCCAAAAUCAAAAGAUUUCUCCAUGAAUAUUGUCACUAGGUAUGUGGGACUUUACUAAUGGAUUCCUUUCAUCCACUAAGUUUCUAGAUUUCAGUCAGAAUCUUGAUUCCCUGAAUAUUGCUUAGACAUAGGGCUUCUAGAAUUUCAUGUAAUUGUUAUAGUGUAUUCUUAAUCAGAUUAUCAUGUUCUCUCAACAAUGUUGCUUAGUUCCUUGCAUGAAAUUUAAAACCCUAGUGAUGUAGAUUUGUUUAGUUCAUGAAUUACACUAGCUAGGACAGAUAAACAGAUAAACAUGUCUCAGUUUUCAAAUGUUUAAUUAUCAACACUUUAAUGUUGCAUUUCUAGUUAGCAUGUCAGAAUAUUGAGCUAUCCAAUAUAUUUCAGUUAUUUUGAAUUGAAAACAAUUCCUAUUGAGAGUAGGCUUAACACCGAGUUGGACUAGGGUCAGUCACUCUUAUACUCCAAAAAAUACGUGCCCCCGUAGGUUUAUAAGUCCUUUAUGUUGGGAAUCAUUUUAGUAUUCAUGCUAGUCAUGCAUGUAUAUCCCUAGCAAGGUAUAUUGGGUCCUUUCAAUGGGGCGUAUACAUUCGACUCCACGUUUAGCUCACGUGAUUUAAGGUCGGUUAAUAGUAGCUCUCACAGUGAGAUUCUAGUGUAUUUAUCAGGUUACCAAUUACAUUUUCAUUAGCUAGUCUCAGCAUGUUAUGCACUUGGUCAUUGCAUUCAGUUUAGCUCAUUUUCAGUAUAUCUCAGUAUCUUUAUCAUGUUCAGAUUAUACUAUUGAACAAUAUGCUUUGUUCAAUUAUAUGUUUGUUCAACAUUAUCCUAUCAUGCAUGCUCAAUACCUUUCAAGUAUUGAUGCAUACUCAAUGCUAUAUCUUUUCGUAAUGUAGGUUCAGGUCCUCAACGUUCAUAUCACGUGUACAUUGGUCCCCGAUCCAUAUUCAACAGUAUUAAUGGCGAUUUCUCAUUCUUUGAUGAUGAUAGACAUGUUCUUUUACAUUCAGACUUUUCAUUUUAAUUUCAGUUUUGCUAGAGUUAGCUGGGGCAUGUUCCAAAAUCUUUAGUCAGAUAGAGGCUUAUAUCAGACAUAGAUAUAAUCAACUUUGUUGUUUAAGUUAUAGUUCAGUAUCUCAAACUCUUGCUCAAUAUUUAUAUAUUCAAACUUAUUGUGUAUCCCCCAUUGGUUCAGCUUAUCUCAUGUUUUAAGCUUCAACAUAGUAUCUUUUGUUCAGUUGUGUAAGUAUGCUUAUGAUAUGUCAACUCAGGGUUAGCUUGGGGUAACUCGUGAUCCUAGGUCCCGUGCUUAUGUUCAGGGGAUAGCCACUGGGCUUGACUUAAAUAAUACUACAAAUUACAAUAAUUGAUAAUUUGAAAUAUUUAAUAGACAUAAAAAUCUAGUUGAUUCUCAAAAUUCUAUCAUGCCUCAAAUAACAUAAAUAACAUAUGUUAUUUGAAAAUGAAAUAAACUUACUAUAAAUCUCAAAAAUUGACAACUUAAAAAUAUUUUAAAGACAUAUAAAAAGAUCGAGAACCCUUAAAAUUCUGUCAACGUCAUAUAAAUUGGAAUAUGAAAAAUAACAUAUGUUAUUUAAGAAUUACAUAACAAGUACAAUAAAUUACAAUAAUUAAUAACUUAAAAUAUCUAUCCAACCAAAAAAAAAAAAAGAGGCUAAAAAAUAAAGUCUAAUUGACAUGAAAAAGAUAAAAAAAACUUAUCAAAUACCUUUAGUAAUUAAUUUUAUAAAAUAAGUUUUUUUUAUAUAAGUGGUACUACACUGGAUGCUAUAAUAAGAAAUAGAUUACCAACACAUACAAGUUUAAGAUUUUUUUUUUUUUUUUAACCAUUAUAAUUUAUGCAACUUAAGUGAAAGGUUAACUUUCUUUUGACCCUUUAACCUCUAGAUAGUAAUUUUGACCAAUAAAAUUAUGACCAUUUUAAUAAUGAAAUAAAUUUAUAUUUUACAUAUUUAACAAAAUAUUGUUGGCCCCUUUACUGGUUACUAGUAAUUGAUACGGGGGAAAUUGUUAAUUUGACGGUAUAUUUUUUUAUAUUAGUAAGUUUUAUAAUAUAAUUAUACAAGGUAAAAUUGGUCUUGUAGUUAUAUAUAUAUAUAUAUACAUAUAUAUAUAUAUAUAUAACAAAACUUGCAAAUGGUUGGUGAGAUCAGUUGGGGACUUGUCUCGUGUGAUUGGAAAGCAUGGGCCCAUUAGUGGAGAGAGUUCAAAACCAGUCAAAGCAAGCGUUGGUGCAGUGGGUGAACGGCGUAAGAGAAGCUUGCUGUCUCCAUCGUGUGAUCAUCUACUCUCUCAGGUACGAUCCCUUUUCAAUUACUCAAUCGUAUCUAUUCAUUGUUUUGAUUUUCCUUGUGCUUAUUUUGUAGGUCAAAACAGCUUGCCAUCCGUACCGGUCAGUGUUUUUUGUUGAAUGGAUUCAUCUUCUUAGGAAGGUUCUUUCUCGCUCUCUCUCAAAUUGUACUCUUGUUUUGGGUUGGGAAUCGGUUAUUAAUUCAAUGCUAGCUUUCUAGUGGUCUAUCAAUAAGGAAGACCAAGGGAGAUUCUGAUUCAGACCCCCCACAGAGACCAAAAAGUUUGGUGACUGUUAGCAAAGGCAGGGCCAUGCUUGCCCAAGGGUACACUAUUAGCCGGAAAAUUACAUAGGUCAAAUUUUGGUUUAAUAUAUAUACAUACAUAUAUAUAUAUACACAAAUAUUGACAUCUGUUGACACAAAGGCUUAGUCUAGUAAUUAAGGUGUUGUGAAAAUUCUUUAAGUGACGUGUUCAAGCCUUGCUAGCCUCAUAAUUAUAUUUGUUACUACAACCAUUGACACCCCUUAUGAAAAUUCUAGCUCCACCAUUGACUGUGAGGUACCCGUGGAAUACCCCGACACCAUUAUUAUUGAAAAACCAAAAAGUUGGGUUUCCUGAUAAUAAUUAUACAAUGAUUUUAUGCAAGUUUCUAAAGAGCUUCACUAUUGACUAUUCAUUAAAAGUAUUAUGCAUGUCCAUACGUGAGUUUUAGUAAAAUAUAUUAGUAGUUUGCUACCAGGGUUUAUAUUAUAAUGAAGUUGAUUUCGAUCGAUACACUCUAUUUGAAUAGCCCACUCAAUCUAAUUUGCUGAUUGACUGAAAUAUGAUGCUCACAAACAUGAUAAUGAUAAAAAAAGGUUUCCUCUUAGAAAAGUUGUGUGCUUGCAAUGUACAAAUGCAAGGGGAGAAAUCAAAAGGUCUUGAUGAUUCUAUGUGGUGACAAUACUAUAUAUUAGGUUUCAAAUGCACUUAUGUCACCUAGAUAUUUGAAAAUAUUAUAAACAUUGCAUGACGACAGGUAAACUGUUUCUCAAGUACUUAAUUGUUCAGUGGAAUUAUCUUUGAGAAUCAUAAUUUUGUUAUAUGGAAGGAAGUUGGGUUGCAAAGAAGGGAUCUGUAAAUGUAAGGGGCCUUAAUGUUAGUAAUAAGUGCAGAGUUAUCAAAUUAAUCAUGCAUAAAUUGAAGGCGGAUAUCUGGUGUUUUCAACAGGCAUACGUGGAAAGAAUCGACAGAAACAAUAAUAAAAAAUAUAUGCGGGAACAAAUGGGCAGAUUGAGCUUGUGUAGUUAAGGUUACACUCUAGUAUUACAGGAAAAAGUUCAUGGAAGGGCGUCGACUAUUAGUAUGCCGCCUAUUCUGUUUGAUGUGUGUAGUACUGGAAGGCUUUAUGGAGAAAAAUUUUCACUGGUAUUUAUGGUCCACAUAAUAACAAUAAGCGAAGGACUUAUGGAUUUCAAUUUACCAGCGGUGAAAAGCUUAUGGGAUAUCCCAUGGGUAAUAGGUGGAGAUUUUAAUGUAACAAGGUCUGGAGGUGAAGGAAAAAUUGCAGUUGUAGGUCAUGGGUAAUGUUGAUGUUCUGUAAUCUAAUACGAGCCAUCCUUGGUAGACUCACCAUAGUAAGGGGCAAGAUACAUGUGGUCAAGGGAUGGGAACAUUGACCAAGCCUCUCGCAUUGACAAAUUUCUCAGAUCAGGGGAGUGGAGUGAAGCCUUCAGAAGAAUAAAACUAAUCACCCUGCUCUAAGUUUUAUUAGAUCACAGGCCCAUCUUGCUGAAUAUAAAUUGGGAGACAAUCACAUCAUCUUUCAAAUUUACAAUAUGUGUUAACAAGUAGAUGGUUUUAUUGAUAAAGUAGAAUACUAGAGUUAUAAUGUAAAAUGGCAGUCUUGACUACAUUUUAGUGCAGAAUGUUUAAAAAGGGAUAUCAAGGCUUGGGGAAUAAGGAGAUAUUUGGUAGAAUUGAAAAAAGAAUGGAUUAUGAACCUGUUCGGAUUGACUUAUUUUAGAUGCUUUUAAGCAGUUUUUAGUGUUUGAAUAACAUAAAAUAAGUUUUUAUAAGCACUUGUAGUUGAGACAAAAUAAGAAAAAAUAAGCCAGUUCUAAAUUAUGACUUUUGGCUUAUAAGUCAAUCCAAACAGGCUUUUAUGUUUGGUAAUUUUCUGGAACUGUAAAUAUGGGUUCACUACUACCCUUGUGCUAAAAGAUUAAUAGUAUAUCGUACCUCUCCCAAAACUAAAUAAAUAAUAAUUUUGGGGAGCUUUGCUGUAAUUGACAGUAUUGCUGAAAAUAGGCCUCUAACACAGCAGGAGAAACAUGAGAAAAUCACACUUCCCUUUGAACUUCAAGAAUUAGGCAAAAGAAGAAGAAAAUCAUGGAGACAAAAGUUUACAUGCCUUUAGUUGAAAGAAGGGGAUAAGGUCAUGGAGUUCUGAAGAAAUUCACGUGGGAGGUUCGAAUAUCACCUCUCUGAAGUAACAAAACAGCUUGUACGCUGGAUCUUGGAAUAUACACUUGUCAAAUGGUAUCAUUCAAUAUUAUAUAUGUUUCCCCCACGAAUUAUGUACAUAGGUACAUUUGAUGAAAUUUUCGACAAAGCGGUGUCGGACGACACCACUUAACUCAAUGUGCAUCAACCCUGACAUUUUGAGUAUGCUCUGAUAUGAGAAUGAAUGACAUUGUUUUCUUUCAUCAUGUUAUAGUUUUUAUGCUGGCUUAUAAAAAUCAAUUUAAGAUGCACAAUUUAGUGUUAACCUUGGGAUAUAUAAUAUAUUUUCCAUUUGCAGUAUCUUUGUUCUGAAAUCAGUUAUCAUCCCUGCAUUGGAAUGGAUAUUACCUGGUCAUAGCCGACUAAUCAAUUCACAACAGCCAUGUUCAUUUAGCAGUAUUUUGGAGUUUUAUCGAUUCUUACGCGUUGGACUUGUACAACUUAUAUAUGUGAGUAUACUCUUCUCAAUGUGAGCCUAGUGACCUCUUCAUUAAUCACGUGAUCAACAUGGAUUCUUUUUCCGUUUUAGAUCAUUUUUUCUAUGAAAAAAUUGAAAAUGUAGUUGCCUACUUUUGUUAACUAUGUUGCUCGGACUCUUCAAAUAUGCCAACCGGUACGUGUCGGAUUCGCCAAAAGUAGUGUAUCUUUGAAGAAUCCGAGACGGGUGUGGCAUCAAAAGUCAAGAGUCCACGCAACUAGUUGUGUAGACAUGCUAAUUAAAUUUACCAGAAGCUUAACAAAACCCAAAUCUGUGCUUAGAGGAAUGAAGAACUCUUUACUGAUAUCUGUGCUACCCAAGUGUGAACUGGAUUAGAUUAAAUUGACAUCCUUUACGUACUAAAUUUCACUACAGAAUUUAGAUGGAUGCGGUUUGAGUUCAAAGACGAAAUUUACGGUGUAUUUUCUUUGGGAAAUCUAAACAUUUUAAUAGCAGUAUAUUGUUGGAGCUCCACUCCAGUGAAGGAAGACUGAAUCCGGAUACAAGUCUUGAUCAGUCCUCUAAUGGCUUAUAGCAGCUGCGGAGGUGUAAAUAUUUUUUGUUAUAUUAAAAGCAUGAACUACCUACUUAGAAGUUAUAUUACCUAAACACCCUUAUAAAUAAUUAAAUACCUUAAUCGUCCCAAAUAUUCUAAUUAAAACCCCAAGAAAAUUACCAUCACAAAUCACAACUCUUCAUGAUUAACCAAACCUGUUAGGCUCUCCAGAGGUUUGGUACGUCGUCACAACCACACCAUACGGAUAAUUCAAAGACAUGAAAAAGUGCCCUUUCUUGGAAAAAAAAAUACAUAGACAAAUAGGACUCAAAUUUCUUCCAGAUGGAGGAUCUAUUUAGUAUAAUAAAAUUUAAACCCUCUAGAUAUUAAUAUGUUGAGAGAAACAGGAUUUACAAAGCAAAUUAUAUUAAAUCCAUGAUCUGUGCAAACAAAAGAAGAAAAUGAAGAGGCACAAACACUUCAAUGCAUUAACCAUCACAUACAUGUUAAAAAUAAGAAUUUUUAAGUUUUCAUGCUGAUUUUGCGUGAUAUUGGUGGAAUAUCAUUUAUCAUAAUAAUAAUAUUGACUACAGGUUGGCAGAAUACAAUACCAAAGCCAUAUCAAUGAGAAAGUGACACUAAAUUGGAGUCUACUUUUUCUACUCAUUCUUUAAUUUUUCUGCACUAUGUGAUUUAUAAAAUGAGAAACUACAUUUAUUAUGGUAUAUACUUAUUGUUUGAUGAUCUCAUAUUGUAUAUAUUAAAUUAUAUCCAUGAUUAGGAGUAACAUAUGCUUGAGGAUACUUUUUUAUUCGUUUGACCAAAUAAAAACAUUCAAUUGAUAUAAAAACAUUCAGUUGAUAUACAAUUUGGUAGCUUAACGGAUGUGAAAUUAUUUUCAAGGUUAUAAAAACAUGAAAUAGACUUACAUUAAUACUUGUCAAUUAUCUUAAGAUCACGAAAAUGAUAUAUAUGAGUACUUUUCAUGAAUGGAAAAAUGGAUUAGAAAGUUUUUUUUAGUAAUUUGAGAUACAUGAAAAUACUUCUUAUUAUUAGUAUAUUAUUUAGAAUUUUAUUGAAGGUUGAUAGACCUUUUACAUGUACUUGAUGUUCUCUAAUGAGAAGAAUAACAUGUUAUUAUUAUCAACAUUAUACGUAGCAACAAUAAAACAAAGAGUUACCCAUGUACAUAUAUGACACUUGAAUAUUUUAAAAUAUGGGGUGUUUGACUUAUGAUUAAUUAUGUGUUCGGUAUGAUGGAAUAUAUAUGCUUUGCCAUGAAAAAUGAUUUCUUGAAAAAUAUUGUGUUUGGUAAGUAAAAAAUAUUAUUUUCAAAAUAUUUGUAUACAAUCUAAACAAUUAUUAUGGGAUGUAGGGAUGAAGAUGAGGUGUGUUUGAGGGAGGGGAAGACACCUAACUUAUAUUUUUGUUCUUUUUUUGGGUUUAGGCGUAAAUUAUUUGAACAAAAAUUAUCCCUAUUUGAAACUGACUAUGCUUUGAGAAAUUGACAUAUGUCGAGUUAGAACAGAAAAAUGGAUUUUUCCCUUAAAAAUAUAAAUAAUUAGGGUGAGUCGUGUUAUUCUAUUUUUUUCUUUACUAAUUUGAUAGAUAUUUAAAAUAUUGCAGUUUUCUGACAUGGGAUUGAGUUCCCACAUCUUCCUUAUUUGCACACCUUUUGUAGUCAUUCAUUAAAAAUUUCACGCUUCAGAAUUGAUCUAUGGGCAAUAACAUUUACUUGUACUCUGAAUAGCCUAAAUAGAAUAUGUUAUAAUGAUUAUAAAUAGAUUGAAAAAAAUAAAUUAACAUGAUAGUGGGGAAUAAAGGUGAAAAUUAGAAGUCAAUAUCAAAUGAGUUAACUCAGGUGUGUUACUUUUCCAUUUUCAAGUGUUCAUCUCUACAUGCUGAGGGUGGGUAAGGGGUGGUGGUGGGGUGGGGGGCGUAAAACCAAAGUUAAUGCUAAUAUGCUAAUAAUCAUGACAAGCUGCUGAAGAAGACGAAGGUCUCAUUACUCACUGGUGUUUGCCUAAUAUGGCUAGCUAAUUUAUACAAAAAAUCGUGUUCAGUGUUUCAUCUGUAUUAUGCACUGGUGUUUGCCUAAUAUCUCUGUUUCAUCGUAACUUUCAGGUUUUGUGGUUUUACCCCUUGUACAUAUUCAGCCUUAUUCUCAGCAAUAUCUGGUAAUAGUUUCCUUUACCUUUUCAUAUAUAUAUAUAUAUAUAUAUAUAGCCUUCUCAUUUUGGGUCAAUACUACCAAAAUAUUUAGAGAACGUAUAUCACAUUGAGAUUUAUCUUAGGCGUAUUUAGCCUUCAAUAGAGGCAGAGCCAGGAUAUUACAUUGAGUUUGUGGGUUCUUGAUUCUAGAAAAGACGGUUCACUAGGUUCUUGAUAAAUUAUUCAUAUAUAUUAAGUGAUUUUUAAAUACAAAUACACAGAAACUAUAGACGCCCCUGCAUGUCAAGGUCUCUAAAGUUGCACUUAAGAUUGCCUUAGUGUCUGGGAGGGGUUAUAGUAGUGUCAAUAAUCAAUCUAUCUUCAAUUCAAGAUAGUGGAGUCAGUUAUAUGAACCCUCUGUGUCCAUCAUAUUCUAUUUAAAUCCAAUUUAUUUCAAUAGUAAAUAAUUUGUGUUGCGACACAAAUAGGAUUUCUAUAAACUCACCGUUGAUAGCUACAUGAAAAUACUAGUAUCUAACCUAAAAUAAAGGACUCUUGAAGGGUAAGCGAUCAAUAUGUAGAAUAUCCUUUAGCAAAAAAGAACAAACCAAGAUUCGUGAUUGAGCAUGUAAAGGUAUAAAAAUAUGCGAUCACGACCAUGGUAAGCAUACAUGAACAUCCAUGUUUACUAUGCAUACAUUCUUACUUGAGCAUGUAAAGGUAUAAAUAUGUGAUCACGACCAAGGUUAGCGUACAUCAACAUCCAUGUUUACAAUGCAUACAUUCUUACUUAGGACACUGUCUAGAUCUUCUAUGUUUGAAACGAUUUAUUCCUCCGGUGUUUUAACUCAGGUACAAUGAUAUUGCUAAAUAUGGGUUUUUUGCUUUGGAGAAUUAUGGGGAUCAUGAUACAAAGUUAUCUGAUCAAAAGGAGCCCCAAACUUCGCAAAACACCGUUCAAAGGGAAAAAUCAACUGAUCUUGAAGGGUAUUGUUCUGUUUUUCUCUGGUUAAUGUUGUACACUACAGCAAUAUUUUCUUGCUUAAAACAAUAUGUUCCAUACAGAGCUAUGUGUCUUCACAGUUGUGAGAGUUCUAUUUUGCUGUUUAUCUUAUGCAGGGUUAUGAUCAGUAUAGCGGAGCAGCUUUAUUCGGUCCUCUUGCUGACUUUCUUCUUGAUGGAGGUGAUCCUUUUUUUUUCUCUUUUCGAAUGAGGUGAACUGCUUUACAUGUCCUUGCUUAUCCGUCUCCUCAAUUUCUAACUUCAAAGUCCAUUGGUUCUCAAUACUGUGCAGGUUUAUGUUACUGGAUUUAUCCCCUACAUAGGAAAAGCUCUAAAUUUUAUGCUUCUGUCAUGGUUGUAUGCAUACUAUUGUUUUGAGUAAGUGCUUCUUUUUAGCUUGAUAUUGCUAGUAAGUUGAUAUGGAUGUUCAUUAAAAAUUGCAUAUCUUUCCAGGUAUAAGUGGAAUCUGUCUGGACUAAGCUUAGACAAGAGGCUGGACUUCUUUGAAUCAAACUGGGCAUUUUUUGCUGGUUUUGGUACUAUAUUUCUUUAUAUCGAUUUCUAUUCUUUGCAAUGGUUUGUUUUAUCAGUUUAUGUUCAAAGAUAUGAUGUAGUUGUCUUAGUCUCUUAGAAACCUCAUGAGCGCUCUUUGUCAUUCCCAAAUUUUUACAUUAUUUUCCUGAGAUUGGUAUCUGGGACUUAAUUGCUUGUGAACUCAUUAACACAAAAUUGACCUUUUGGUGUCGAAUAACAUUCUGAUAGUUGUCAGCUCCUGUUUAUAUCAUUAGUAAACAUUUAAAAAGAGAAGUUCUCCUGAGUCAAAUCAACAAUUUGAGUGGUCCUGCUGUCACAUUGUCGUUUAGAGUUUCUAUUUUUUUCUUAGAUCUUCUGUGACAUUUUUCCGUUUCAACACCAAGUAGUGCUGAACAUUUUCAGAAUUUUCUUUUAAGUUACAUGGAUCAUCUUUCUUGCAAAAGUUAAUAUAUCUUUUAACUAUCCAGGAAAUCCAUGUGUACUGGCAAUGUUUCUUUUCUCUCCACUAGUGAGCUGUGGGUUUCUGGCUAUACUGUUUCCACUGGUAAAUACAAGUUCCAAUUCCUGUUAUUUCUUGUCUAAUUCUUUUGCUUAUAACAAGGUUUGCAUGAUGAUGAUUAAAAUUGUAAGCUGUUAUUUGUUAUUUUUACUCUUUCUGUAUCUGCUCGCAACUUUCUACCUUUUUGCAUGAAUCUUACUGCAUCAUGUCAUCAUAGGAGGUGAUGAACGCAAAAUCCUUGUGUGCUUUACUUUUGACUGGGAAAGGAAUAAAAAAUGGAAAUUUUGAAGAACUGCUAGAGAACUCCCAACACACAGGAAAAAGUGCAUCCAAAAUUGCUUCUUAUAGUACUUGUUGAGGGUCAUAGCUUUUGGUUAGCUGUCUGAAGAUAGUUUCAAUUGCGAAACAUGCAGAAAUAUGGAUCAUAUGACAAGUUCUAGUUUUGGAAUAAUUUCUUAAAUUAGGUUUUGAACUCUACAAUUUCUUAAAUGGAGAAGAGUAGAGAGGCAGGCCCAUUAACCAUCGGGUUUCAAACUGUACGCCACUGCUCUUUGAUGAUUUCUCAGUUAUCCGAAUUUUUCUAAUUAUGUGCCCCAACUUUUGCUAACAUAAUCGUUGGCUAGAUGAGCGGCUAUAUGAGUUAUAACCUCCCAUCAGCUGCUGGAACUUUUUUUUAAAAAAAAAUUCUCUACCAAGAUCAUAGUCUCUGUUGCCAUAUGAGAAUUAUAAGAGAAAUAGUAUUAUAUACUAUCACAUUGAUACGCUAUUUAUAGACACUACAGUAGACUCCUUUUCCAACUAGGACACUACAUUACAUUCCAUUUACAAAUAGGACAUUCCCUUCCCUUCCCUUCCCUUCCCUAGUAGGAUUUCAUAUACUAUUCUUGUCACUACUCCUAUUCUAACAGAUUUCUCGAAUAGGUUGAAGAGGUAUCUUCCUAGUCUUCGACACAAGAAAGGGGUGUAGAAAAAUCCUUUUUUCUUGUGUCGAAACGAAAGAGUAAUGAUUCUUGAUCCUGUUUGUUAAAAAUUCCUAGUCUUGGUUUCAAUUUUUCCAGAUGUAUCAGAAACCCUACACCUACCCCCUUACAUAUAAUAUAUGAAUUGGUGGACAAACAAAACAAAAAAGAGAGGAAAUUUUAUUAAUUAAAUAAAACUUCUUCAAUCAACUUAUCUUAUAAAAAAUUUGAUGAUGAAAUAGGAAAACAAUAAAAAAUCAAUAGAGUAAUGUAAUAUAGAGAGUAAGGUUCUACAUUAGAUUAGUAUAGAAAGGAUUUGCACGCUAUCUAAUAUAUGAUAGCAGCCAAGAAAUUGAGUUCUUCCUUCUUUCUUCCAACUUUGAAAGUACCGAUAGAUACUAUCAUAUAAAAAGAAGAGGUGGUCUGACUAACUCAAUGAAGUGAAUUUGGGCCUUUUUUAUUUAAUUCCGGAAUUAUUCAAUGUUCUGUUUAAAAUCGAAAUGUUAGCUCUUGACACUUUUGAGCUGGAUGUGAUGUACUGCAUAGGAAGAAAGGAAACCUUUUUGAGUCACCUAAUAAAUUUUGCUUAGGAACAUACCUCUGCAAUUCUUAAAAGUGUUUCUUAACAUGAAGUUGAUGUAAAUGUUUUCUUUUAAGCUUCUUUUUCAAGUAUUUUUCUUGUCUCAUAGUGCAUUAAAUUCAUGCUCAUUAUAAGCCUGUUGUAUCCCAACAGGCUAGAUUUAGAUAAAUGGUCGAAGCUUUGUUGCAUCCCCUUUCCUAAUAAUGCGUUUUUCCUCUUUCCAAUAGUGAUACGGGAGAGACUGGUUCCAAAAUAUACUUAAACACUUGGGAGGGGGUAUUCAUUUUAUGAUUCUAACUGAGCCACAAAUUAUCUUGCAUAUGUACAUGCUUGAGAAAACUCUCUGUUACUAGUUUCAUGUUUCUUUGAUACAUAUGAUUUAAGUUAGUAUCAGCUAUGAUGGUUAUGCUUGUGUUUUGGCUUUCACUAUGCUUGAAUUCUCUUGCCGUCUGUAUAUGAAUGUAGCUUAUAGAAGGAUGCAAUACUUCAGGGCUAAUAUGAAUAUAAUUCAUGUUAUGAUUCUAAAUCGCCACAAAUUAGCUUGCAUAUGUACAUUCUUGAGAAAAUUAUCUGCUCAUGGUUUCAUGUUUCUUUGAUUCAUACAAUUUAAGUUAGUAUCAGCUAUGAUGGUUAUGCUUGUCCCUGUAGGUUCUUGUCUCAUGCUAACUGUUAUCUCCCGUAGUUUGUUUUGACCGCAACAGGCUCGGAAGCUGACAAAAUUGUUGCCUUACCUAGAAGAAAAUGGAGAGGUGCUGAAUUAGGAAGGGUACCAAUAUUUUUCAUUGCCGAUUACAUGUCGUAAGUUUUCUGGAUUUUGCCUUUUGGAUGUUUUGGAUAUUCUUGUUAGUAUUGAUGUUGUAACUUUUAAACUAUAAUAUAUGUCGAUUGGGUGUCAUUAUUGAAUUUUGGUAAUCUUGUCAUCAUCAUCUUGUUGGAAGACAUUCCAUACCAAUAUUUCUCAAAUCACCAAUACCAAUGCCAGAGCUCCAUAUAAUUAAGCUCCUAAAUCAGUUACAGCAGUAUUGUUGCAGUCAAGGUGGGUUUAUAGUGGUUGAAGGCCAGUGGUCCUGAGGAAAAGGUAAAAUGUUGUAGGAAAGUUAAAGGCGUCAGAGGGAUUGCCUGAAUGGGGUGGUUUGUAUGGAAAAGUUUUCUCUGUUUCUUUUUGUGAGUUUUUUUUUUACUAACAAUUUUAUUCAUCUUCCAAAACACACCAUAACAGUUGAUUUGAGGCAGAAGAAACACAGUCCAAUUCUUCCCUCCGUGUGGAAUAUGGGAUGAUCUACCUAUUACAGUUGAGAUGAAAAGGUAAAUGCCUAAGGUAGGUAUUUAGUGUGACUAAUCCCAUUAUACACAUAUAUGGGAGGAUCCUAUAUAUGAAUUUGUCACGGCGGAUUGAAAGUAAAAUCCUUCUUCAUUCUGUUGGAGACUCUUAUAAUCGGAAGACUCCAACAAUCAGUUGUUAUGAGCCCUUUGAUUUGGGAGGGGAGUUCACCACUCUUAGAGUAUAAAAUGUUGGUGUUGUACUUGUGACUGAGAGAAGCUAGCUUGUCGGCCACUUGAUUAAUCUCCCUAUAGCAAUGUGUUAUAGAGUAUUCACUUGGAUUUAAUAGGUCCUGCAGCCUUUUGACUUCAUUUGCUAUUGUCCAAGGUGGUGUAGACUUCUUCUUGAUGCAAUCCACCAACAACUUGGUAUCACUCUCUGCCUGCACAUUUUGGUAGCCAUUGUUUUUGCACCACGACAUUCCAAAGUGUAAAGCUACUGCUUCCGCCCAGUUGUUAGUGCCUUGUCCUAAUUCCAAUGAGAAAGCUAUGAUGAGUUUGCCUUCGUGGUCUCUCACAAUACCUCCUCCUCCACAGCUACCGUUCCUGCAACUACCAUCAGUGUUAAGUUUAACAAAAAAGAGAGAAGGUUUGUUCCACUUGAUGAAAGUAAUUUCUUAAAAGUAAACAUUGCUUGAAAUGAUUUUUAAGACCUCCUCCCAACUAGCUUUCAUCUUAUUAGAGCCUAAGAAGUGGUUUACUAGUUGGGAAAUAUUGAAAGCAAUCUGAGAAAUGGAUUUGUUCACAUUUAUCUUUUGUGAGCCAUACUUGGCCUCACAUCUUGAUUUCCAAAUCUCCCAUAUGGUAAGAGCAGGGAGAUAUUUGACAAUGAUACUAUACACUGGAUUAGACGUAUUUUGUCUCCACCAAUUGAUUAAGAGUUGUCUGAGGAGUAUGUCCUUGGAAGGAAUUCCAAAUGUACCACAAAUGACUUUCCAGACAUCUAGAGCAUAAUUUCCCCUGCAAAAAAGAUGGUCAGUAGAUUCAAAAGUAGAGAUCCUACAGCAACAAGUAGUUUUAAUAGUGAUUCCCAUUUUAACUACUCUAGCAUCAGUGGGGAGCCCAUCUCUCAAAGCCCUCCAAACGAUAAAGUUCAUUUUGAGGGGACAGCUUUUUGCCAAGUCAUUGAAUCAAUCCAAUUUUUUUGCUUUUUUUGGCUUAAAAGUUGCCAAGCAGAAGCAAUAGUGAAAAUUCCUCUUGUGUUCAUAGUCCAAAUUGCUCUAUAAAGGAUAUUUUCCCUAAUAACAAUUAUCAUGGAGUUGAUCUUGAUUCUAACAUAAUCAGGUAGAUAAAUAUCCCAGCCAUCCCAAUUUCUAUGGUUGUCUAGAAUAGCAUCUUUGAGCUUUAGCAUUCUUGGUUUACUACCAGGAGGAAGAUAUUUCCACAAUGGGCCUAAUUCUGACCAAUUAUCAUACCCAGCAUCGAUAUCACCCUUACCAAUCUUCCAAAAGAUACACGUAUCUACUUGGCUCUUGAUUUUACAAAUUGCAUUCCAAGCUUGAGAUUGACCAGAACACCAUACCUUGAUCUUACUGGUUUUAUUCUUUGGCAAUAUUUCGCCCAAAAGAAAUCUUUCCAUUGAGAGUUUCCGACCUUGAUGUUCCACCAUUGCUUAGUAGUGAAGGCAUUGCACGUAUCUUGAAGGCAUUGUUUAGUAGUGUAUUCUUGUGAGUAUUGUGAGAGUGAGAAUUGGUGGAUGAAGUAGCAGGCUGAGACAUGGUUACAAUGUUUGACCAAAAAUCCUGCAAUCCACAUUUCUGCCCUUUUUUCUUCUUCUGCAAGGGCAGGAUGCUCCCUAUCUUCCAUCUCUGAAGAGUUGAUCUGAAAGUGAAUACUCGAACCUUCUUCUUUCUGGAAUUCGAGAAACAACUGUACUUACAAGUUACAAGCAAGCAUAGGAACGCUAGAGUCAUAAUUUUCUCAUGCCAGCUAUUCUGCUUUCAGCCCGAGUCAUACUGGUUACCUCUUUAUGUGUUAAAACUAAUUCUGUUUGUUGUCUUCUUUUGCAGAAUGCGAGUCUUAAAAUUAUUUUCUUCAAAAUCGCACCAGCAAAUUAAUGUGAACAAGGCACUCUAAAAUAGAAUGAACAUGUCUGAUCUACUCCCAACGCUCCAUAUCCAUGCAUAACCUCUGUAUCUUAUUUAUGAAAUUUAUAUUUGUAUGGGUCAACGAUGUUCCUAAUUUAUCCACGAUCACAAUAUGAACAUGUGCUCGUAAUUUAUCAUUUUUUUGGGAAGAGAGGAAGAAGUAAAUCCAGAUUUGCUGCUAUCACAAAUGGAAGAUAGCAACUUAUGGUGAUUCCUUCUGUAUCUUAUGUACAGAGUAAUUUGUAACUGGUUUGGUCAUUCUUUCAUAUGAACAUAUCUCUAUGUAUUAAGUUAUUAAUUUUGUCAUAGCUGAUUAAUUUUUUGUCACACGAACACUUUAAUUUAUGGUUUAAUCAUAUUAUUCUCAUAUAUUACUUAUCCUCAAGUAGGGUGUACAUGACCAGGUUGAUUAAGUUUUUAUAUCAAACCAAACUAAUAAAAUUCGGAUUUUUCAACCUUGGGUUGGUCGGGUUUUUCAAAUACCAAAUCAAACCAUUUUGUCGAACUUUUAAAUUUAUAAAUCAAAUCAAACUAAUAAACCUCUAAUUUUUUCAGAUUUUUGGAUUUUUUCGGUUAAGUUUGCAUACUAACAUAUAAUUAAUUUGUGCUCCAAAUAUUUCUUUAGUCCAACCAAAAUACAAUUAUCUAAUGUGUUUUUUUUAAGUAAAUAACAAUAUGAGAUGAGUAUUGAUGAUACAAAAAUAUUUAUCAAAAAAUAAUAAUGAAAUUAUCAUAGAAAAUAAAUGUUGUAAAGUCAUAACUAAAAUAACCAUAACUUAAAAGUACUAAGUCAUACUAAAAUAAGUUUAAUAAAUAUUGAUUACAUUACUAAAUAUUCAAGGAAAAUUAAAAUUAAAUGACAUAUUUUAAUCGUCUAAACCAAUGUAAAAUUAAAGAAUAUAUAUUCAAUAUUAUUGUCAUUAUUAGCGUUGAAUUGAUUUCAUUUUUACAGUAGUAUUAAUUUGAUUUUGAUUAAAGUUUUAUUAUAAUUAUCAAUAUGUAUGUACUAUAAUCUCUAUUAGAUCAUUUCGAAUUCUAAAUUUUAAACAUGAAAUAGUAUAAUAAAAGAUAAAAACUAUGAAAUCUAUAAGAAAUAUUCUAAAAUUAUAUCAAAUCAGAUAUUUUUAUGUAUACAAUAAAAUUUUAAAAUUGCAUAUAUAAUGUCGGGUUGAUUUGGUCUCGAAUUAUUUUUUUUUGUUAAAACCAAUUCAAUCCAUAUAUAGUCGGAUUUUUUUUUCCAAUAUCAAAUCAAGUCAAACUAAACUACUAGUCAACUUUUUCCAAUUUAACUCAAUUUUCGAUUCAAUUUUAUACACGCCUAUCUUCAAGUAUAUGUUAUUUAACACUAUUCCCUUUACAGAACUUCAAACCACACUCCAAAGUAGAGAUGGGGUCAUGAAUUCUUUUGCUGCUAUACUUAAAAAUAUUCAUCACGUAUUUAAAGAUUGUUAUUUUUUUUUUGUAAUUAAUAUAAUGAAAGAAGAAAAAUAAUCUCCCUGCUUAUGAGUGAAAAAUAAUUUCCUUACCGCAAUUAUACUUUCUAUUACUUGUUUCAAUUAAAACAUUAUUAUUUAUUUAUCUUUGGCAAUCAAGAAUUUCAACGACAUUUAUCAAGUUCAUGAUAUUGUUAUUAAUCUUUACAAUAUAUUUAUAUUACGUUUUAUAAAAGUCACAACUUUUUACAUAAGUAAAAAUUUUUGAUGUAAAAGUCACAACUCUUCUAUCACGCUCCGAGCCUACACCCUGGUCGUGGCCGGCACUAUGAUACUCGAGGUUUAAUGGAAUAGAUCCUUUCAAGAUGGACCGAUUUUUUUAUAUUGAUAGAGAAACAAUGGUUUCUGAGUCAUUCAACACGAGCAAAAUACUUGAAUAUUUAAUUGUGCAGAAAAAAAACAAGAAGUAGCAGUUCAGAAUUCUCGUUAUUUUAAAACGAGAGGAAAUCCCUCAAGAAAGGAUAGUGUGAAAGAAUACUCUUGUGCCUUAUCGAAAAGGUGAAAACUCAUCGAUAAGGCACAAAAGCAUUAUGGCCAAGUUCUAUAAGCAAUAUGAAAUUUCUAGAACGUUCACACUAUCCUUUCUAGAGUAUUCGUUCACAAAAGCAUUAUGGCCAUAUUCCUAGAAGUUGUAAUUCGUCAUAAAAAUUGUAACUCUUCAUAAAAGUCACAUCUUAUCAUGAAAAGAGAACUAUUUUUGAGUCACUAUUCAUAAAAAUCGCAACUCUUCAUAAAAGUCAUAGCUAUUCAUAAAAGCCACAUCUCUUCAUGAAAGGGGAAGAUUAUUUUUGAAAAUAAUCAAAAUUUAAAAGGAAAUUCUAGCUUGUGGUGACGCCACGUAGGCGGGCCUAGGAUUCCCUUUUAUAUAAAUAUAUGAUAUGAUUGCUUAAAUAUAAUUUUAAAAAAACUUUUUACUAUACAUAAAGAAAGACUUUUCUUCAUAAAAAAUUACUACUACUUAUAGAGGGGUGAAUAAAGUUCUUCAAAUUGGGAGAACUACUAUUCACCUCUCUAUUUCAUUAUUUACUAUAAAGAAAGACUUUUCUUCAUAAAAAAUUAUUACUACUUAUAGAGGGGUGAAUAAAGUUCUUCAAAUUGGGAGAACUACUAUUAAUCUCUCUAUUUCAUUAUUUAACAUUAUAUGUAUUAUUUUAUAAUGAGCAUAUUAUUCACAUAUAAUGCAAUUAAUUAAAUAUCUAAUAUUUAUAUUUCUUUUUAAAUAUAAUGUAAUAUUUUAAAAAAUAUAUUAUUCAAUAUUUUCACCUCAAAGUGAUGAUAUUUUAAUUUCUUUUAAAAAAGUUUUGCACUAAUAUAAUUGAAAAAUCUAUAAUCUGAACAAUUUUUAGCUGAACAUAAAAAAAAAGAAGAAGAAAAGGAACAAAAAUGCUCAUUUUUAUGCAUUAAUAGAGCAUUUAUGGAAGCAACAUCAUAAUCUUGAAAGUUGAUUAAUGUAAUUGUAUUUCAUUAAUGAUUUCUUUUAUUUCAAUUGUCCAAUAAUUUGUAUAUUAUAGAUCUAGAAAAUUCACACUAUAAAAGCCCUUUUAACCUUCCUCUACCAAAACACACAACUCUAGAAAUUUCUUUAAACAUUUGAGUUUAUCAAAUUCUAUAAGCAAUAUGGCCAAGUUUUUGAACUCUAUCAUUUUCUUCUUUCUCAUCAUUUCAGGUUUGUUUUUUUUCUUUUUAAAAAAAUUUAAUUAUUAUCCAAAUUGUUUUUUUAUUUUUAUGGUUGUGUUUAUGAUAAAAGAUAACAGUGCUAAUAUUUUUGAUAAAAUUUUUAAAAUGACAAUUUUUAGAAUUUAGUUGAAAAAUAGCAACAAAUUAAAAAAACCAUUAAAAAUAGUCUCUCUUUCUUUUGGGAAUUCAUGACUUUAUCAUAAAAAUAGAGAAAGUGAAAUUCCAUCAUAGUUUUUUGGAUGAAAUUUCAGAAUUUGCAAUGAAGUUUUACUCAUUGCUAUCAUGGAUUUCAAAAACCAUGACAUUAUAUGCAUAUAAAUCUUAAUUCUUCACUUGUAAGGUUGAAACAUUGUUAUGGUGUUUUCGCAUCAAAAGUUAUACCUAACACAUAAUUUUUAGUAUCUUUUUUUUUUUUUGAUGUAGUUGCAAUGACAAGUACACAAGUGAAAGCCCAACAAAGAUGUUCUGAAACUUUGAAGGCCAGUGAUUGCACCAUGGCUGAGUGUCAAAGUGAAUGUUUACAAAAACAUAAUGGAAAUGGAGUUUGCACUGGUGGAAAUCAAGGCCCAUUAAGUUGUGUUUGUGUUUACAAUUGUUAGCUUCAAUAUUUCGAACUCUCCCUUUUUAUAAAAAAUAUUGAGUUAUCAAUAAAAUAUCAAUCAAUCAUUUCCGUAAGAAUUGUUCCAUUCAUUCUUACAUCAUACCUUUCUUUCAAGUAUGUAUGCGUGUGUAUGUAUGUAUGUGUGUAUAUAUAUAGUUUUGUCUUGUUUAUUAUUUCGUCAAAUCUUAGUUGCAACUGAAAAGAACAUAAUUAACCAUAUUAAUUUUGAUCGACAAUUUUAAAUUGGGGAUGAAAAUUAGAUGAAGCUCAGGUAGAAUUGAAACUACAAAACAAAAAUGAAGGGAGACAGAACGCUAGGGCCAUAAUGAUGGAAAAAGAAGAAAAAUGGAUCCAAAAUCCUCCGAAAACACCUAGCAAUUUUUUCAUCCGUAUUGAAUGAUGCUCCUUGAGAAAACCAAUCCAAAUUUACUACUAUUUUAAUGUAAAUAGAUGAUAAGUCAACAAAUCCAGUAACUCCUGUGCUCAAACGCUUCAUCUGUCUGCGCAACAAAUAACCCAAGUUUCUAGAGGAACUCGAGAAAUGUGUUUAAAUGUGACAAAAAAAUUUCAAAACUAAGAAAACGUUGUACAAGUUAAUUAUUUGAGUAAAGGUAAAAAUUAGAAAAUUAAUGUUAAUAACACUAAUUUCAUUAUUUACACAAAGAUACUAUUUCUCAUACUUACCACCUCUCCCUCUCCCUCUCUGCCGCUACCAUUAUUCCUAUCCUUUUCUACUUACGCCAUCAUUGACACUACCAUCAUCUCCUCCUCCUCCACCACAUUUUUUCCUCUUCUACCACCGCCUCUUCCUCCUUCUCCUCCUUCACCAUAAGCAUAACAAUCAUUACCUCUUCUUCCACCAUUACCACCAAUCUUCUCCUCUGUCACAUGUACUAUCUCCUUCACAAGUUCCUAUUCCACCUUAUUUUCUAACAAAAAAAUAAAAUAAAACAAUUGUCGAAGUUCCAGCAGCAACUAUGCAGAAGUUGCUAUAAUAAAUCAAUUAUUGUUGCAACAGCUCAAGCAAUUGUUUAAGUUGUUCUAACAAUUUAAGCAAUUGCUUUAGAUGCUUAAACAACUAUUGUAAUUUCUCUAGAAAUUAUCAUAGUUGUUGCAACAACUAUCUAUCACAAAUAUUUUAAUAACUAUCUUCAUUUUCUAUAGAAUUUGUCUCACGAUUCAAACUAUACCCUAGAUGUGACAUGACAGAUAGGACCCCAUUAGGCUCUAAAUAAUCUAGUUGACAUAAGCAUGAUAUUAUGAAUAUCACAUAAAGAGAAUACAACAUAAGAACAAAAGAUAAGUCUCAAAAUUCUUUCCAACUCAUAGGGAACUCAACAAGAGAGUACAUGACUAAUAUAAUACGGAAAUCAACUAUGUAUGAUAAAAUCACCCGCACCUUGCAUAGGAAUUUAAUAUUACGAAAUUUAUAAAUAAUCCUUGGAGAAGGGAUAAAUAAAUUUUAAAAGACUGAAAAAAUGAACAAAUAUUCUAAUUUUAAUGUGUAGAAAGUUCUGCCAUGCCGUUUGCUUUACACAUAUAAUUUUAAAGUUUCCCAUUAAAAUGUAUCAUAAAUAAUUAUUAAAAUAAAAAAUUAAAGGGAGAAUGUAUCAUAUAGGAUAAUAACUCAACUUAUUAUUAUACUUGUUGGGAAAAUAUCACAUAAAACUAUUAAGUUUAUUCGGGUGCUUUUAAAAAAUCAACAUACCUGAGUGUGAUGAAGUUCAAUUUGAAACUACAAUUUCAGUAGAGAAAACAUGAAUAUUCAAUUAACGUGUGUUAUAAUUUGUACCAACAAAUACUUAUAACAAUAACUUUACAGAAACAUAAACAACAAAGUAUAAAACAUACAAGGAUUUGUAAUAAUAGAAUGAAACAUAAAGGAAAAAGUCGAGCUCGUCGAGUGUACAUUGUCCCCUUGAAAUUUUUUUCCCCAAUAGUACGCAAAGUUUAAAGGAAUAGAUCCUCUAAGGAUAUAAUUAAUGAUUCUAUUUAGCAUCAUAUUGAUAUAAAAAAUAUUAUUUAAUUGUGUAAAUGAAGAAGAAGUUCAGAAUUUUCGUUGUUUUAAAAUGAGAGAAGAUCCCUCUAUUUAUAGAAAACAAAGAAUGAACAAAUAUUUAUUGUGCCUUAUCGAAAAUGUCACAACUCUUUAAAAAAAUUAUUGUUAGUGUAAGUGACGUUUUAAUAUACUAAAAUGCUCUAAAAUAUUGCGGUUGGUUGACUUCUCAUCGAGUGCUAAUGUUCACGAGAAUAUUGAUUGCAACAUAUUACACCUAACGUUAGUGCAUAUUUAUUACUACUCUUUUUCUGGCAGAAUUGACAACAUGGUUUAGCCGUUUGUAUCCAUCACUUCUACCCCAUUCAAUCUUCGUUAUCUCACUCUUUAUUCCUCCAUUAAUCUUUGUAACCUAUGUAACAUAUGUAAUCUCUAGACUAUUUUUCUUCACUAUUUAUUACCCCAUUAUCUUUCUAUUCAUUGCUCAUAAGACUUCUUCUACUAUACAUAAUGAUGUUUUUCAUUUGGUUUACACAUAAGAAAAAUAUAGAGCGAAAGAAUUAGUCAAGAAAAGAGUUUUUAUUAGUUGAAGGGAGGUGUUCUUUUAUAAAAAUUUGGACUCAACUCUUCUUUCGAGAUGUUGAGUUACUUUGUGUUAAGGCUAUGGUAUCCUGGAGGGGACGAAUCAAGAAGGACUACAUGACCGAUGAAAAAUAUUUGCUGCAGUGGACUUGAAUUUUCGUAAAGAGAGUGAAAUAUCUGCGACUUAGUCUGAAGAGACUAUAUACUUUAUUUUAUUUUCAAUUGUAAUCUUGUAGCGUUGUUAUAUUUUAAUUUUUUAGUAACAAUUUUAAUGAGAUCACCAUGACUACAAUUGAAAAAUUCGCGAAUGUCAAGAUGAGAGACCUUAACAAGCCAUUCCGUUUCAAUGAUAACCAUUUCAAGAGAUGAAGGGUAAGUACUUUUCUACUUAAGUCUUCUUAAUGUCCUUAUGUGUAAACUAAAAAAAAAUUCUAAUAAAGAAGACAUCACCUCUAUUAAUGAUGAUGAAACUAUUUCUCAUUUAGAAAAAAUAAAAAAGUACGAUGAUGAUUCCUAUAAGUGCUAAUAUUAUAUUCUUAAUUGUCUAUCUUAUAAUUUUUAUGAUUAUUAUGAUAGAACUUACUAUAGUACAAAGAAAAUUUGAAAAUUAUUGCAGAGUAAGUAUGAUACCAAAGAGGUUGGAGCGAAAAAUUAUGCGGCUAGUAGAUUUUUAUAUUUUCAAAUGGUGGAUAACAAAUAAGUGGUAGACCAAACUCAAGAUUUUAUAAUGAUUGUUGGAGAGCUUAGGUAUGAGGAGAUAAAAAUUGGAGACAACCUUAUUGUUUGUGGUAUAUUAGAUAAACUUACACCUUCUUGGAAGGAAUUUAAAAAAAUUAUGCGUCACAAACAAAAAGAGACCUCCCUUGAAGCCUUGAUAAUGAAAUUUCACAUGGAAGAAGAGUCAAGGGGCCAAGAUGCAAUUUAACAAACAAAAGAGAUCAACAUCACAAUGAAGGUAAGUUUUAUUACUUCAAAUAUGCUACUCUUGAAUCUCACCAAAAUACUUCUUUGAAGACUAAGAAGAAAAAAUUCUAGAAAAUAAUAGUGAAGAUAACUAAGAACAAAAUGAACAAGUUCAAUAAAAUGGACUGUACUUUGUUUGUGACAAGAGUUUACAUAUUGCUCGAUUUUAUAGAUUUCGGAAACUUGGUCCUAAUCCUCAAACAAUCAUUACUGAAGAACCUUUUGUGGAGGUGAUUGCAGACAUAAACAUGUUUGAGAUUGUUGAUGGAUUGAGGAUUGAUUCUGCCGCAAACAUACAUGUUUGAUUUAAAAAAUGUACUCAUUUUGAGGAGCCCAAAACUAUCAUUCUUUGUGAUUCUUACAUAACUUAAAUGCUUGGAACGAGAGAUGUCGAAUUGUACUUUACUUCUGGAAGGGCAUUAACUUUGAAAGAUCUACUUUAUACUCCUCCCAUGAGAAAAAAAAUUGACCUCUAGUUUUUUUCUUAAUAAAGAAGUCUUUAAACAGAUUAUUGAAUCUAAUCAAUAUAUAAUUGUGAAGAAGUGUAUUUCUAUGGGAAAGUGGUAUGCUUGUGAUGAGAUGUAAAAAAAACAUGUCGAAAUCAAUAAAAUUUCCACUUCUUCGUAUAUGCUUUAACUACCAAUUUUUGACAUGCUUAUUUGUGUCAUAUUAACGAUCAUUAUUGGAACCAUGAGUAGAUUAGGAUUAAUCUCAAUAGUUAAAAAGAAUUUUGAAAAGUGUGAGACUUGUAGUAAAGCCAAAAUCACUAAAAGAUCUCAUUUUCAAGUUGAAAGAAAAAAUGAUUAGUUAAAAUUAAUUCAUACUGAUAUUUAUGAAUUUGGCGAAAUUUUAACUCGUGGAUAAUAGAUAUUUUAUCACUUUCUGAUAAUUUUUCAAAGUUUACAUACAUUUACUUGAUGAAAAAUAAAAGUGAUGCUUUUGAAAAUUUUAAAAUUAUCUCCAUGAGGUUGAAAAUCAGUUUGGAAGAAAAAUAAAAAGAAUUAGAAGUUAUAGAGACCGUAAAUAUAGUUAAAUGAGUUUAAUUAUUUUGUUAGAUCAUUCGGUGUAGUUCAUGAAACUAUUUCUCCUUAUUCUCCUUCAUCUAAUGGUGUAGAGGAAAGGAAAAUAGAGCUUUGAUUGAAUUGAGUAAUAUCAUGCUUGAGUCACAUGCACCAUUAAAUUUUUGGGGUUAAACUAUUUUAACUGCUUGUUAUGUGUUGAAUCUUUUGCCUUAGAAAAAGUCAAAACUGAUACCUUUUGAACUAUGAAAGGUUACAAUCCAAGUUUGGGAUAUCUAAGAGUUUGGGUUUGUCUAUCCUUUAUGAGGCUAAUGGAUCCCAAGAUUGUUUUCUUUGGUUAUGCUUCAAAUAGAACCUUUAAAUUUUUUAAUCUUGAAGAUAAUGUUAUAAUAGAAUCUGGUGACACUAUUUUUCAUGAAAAUAAAUUUUCAUUUGAUUUUAAAAAUAGUAGGGGUCAAAGGUUUGAACAAAAUAUUUUGUCACUAUCUAGUUAUUCUACUUCUACUUUGAAAGAUAAAGAAGUUUAGAAUUUUGAGUUAACAAGAAGCCAAAGAGCUAGAGUAGGAAAAGAUUUUGGUUUUGAUUUUUAUGUGUUUAGUAUUGGAGAUGACGCUCUCACUUUGAACGAAGUUUUGUCUUCACAUGACUUUAUUUUUUGGAAAGAGGUAGUAAAUGAUGAAAUUAAAUCUUUAAUUUCUAAUAAAAUUUGGAAGAGAGUUGAUUUACCACGGGUCGUAGCACAAUUGGUUGCAAAUGAGUGGUAUGAAAAAAUUGAAACCAAAUGGAUCCAUUGAUAAAUAUAAGUCUAUACUUGUUGUAUAAGAUUUUAAAUAACUAGAAAACGUAGAAUUCUUUGAUACUUUUUCACCGGUAACAAGAAUUACAUUUAUAAGACUUUAAAUUGCUAUGACUGCAAUUUUUCAUUUGCAAACUCAUCAAAUGAAUGUAAAACUGCUUUUUAAAAUGGAGACCGAAAUUUAAAACUUUACAUGGAUUAAUCCGAGUGUUUUGUUGAAGUAGACCAAGAAAGGAAAAUAUGUAAACUUACUAAAUACCUAUAUGGCUUGAAAUAUGCACCUAAGUAACGACAUGAAAGUUUGAUUCCUGCAUAAUUGAAAGUAGUUUUAAACAAAUGAGUGUGAUAAGUGCAUAUAUCAUAAGUCUUGGAAUAAUUCACAUGUGAUUAUCUGCCUAUAUGUUGAUGAUUUAUUGAUCUUUGGCUCUACCAUGAAUGUUAUUGAUGAAACUAAAAGUAUUCUUAGAAGCCAUUUUGAUAUGAAAAAUCUUGGUGAGACAAAUUUUAUUUUUGGACUAACAAGAACAUGUGAUGAAUGUUUCUUGACCAUUCACAUUAUGUUGAAUUUUUUUUUGAAAAAAUUAUAAAUUUCAUGAUUUCAAGCAUGUUAGAACUCCUUUUGAGUCUAGUGUUCACAUAUUUUCUGCUGAAAGUGAAAAUGGUGUAAUAAAUCAAAAGGAAUAUGCUAGCAUAAUCAAAAGUUUGAUAUAUAUGACUAAAUACACUAGCCUUGAUAUUGUUUACGUAGUAGGACUACUUGACAUGUUUACAAGAAAGCUAGGUUAUGAACAUUGGCAUGCUAUAAAAAUAUCCUGAUGUACAUGAAGACUUUUGUGAUGCGGAUUGGAACACUUUAUUACUUGAUUCCUAUUCUACCGUUGGUUAUGUUUUUUUCUUUGGUGGUGGUGCUAUUUGUAAGACAUCAAAAAAGCAAACCAUAAAUGCUAACUCUACCAUGAAGGCUGAACUAAUAGCUUUAGCUUUAGCUAGUGAGGAAACAAAUUGGUUAAGCGAUUUGUUAUUUCAAAUACCUUAUAUACUGAAAAAUCAAUUCCUCUUAUUUUAAUUCAUUGUGAUAGCACUGCUGCGAUUGGUAGAGUUCAAAACCGUUGUUACAACAGUAAAUUUAGACAUAUAAGGAGGAAACUGAUAGAAACCAAGAUGAAAAUAAAACAUUACUUGAUUAAAUUAAGUGCAAGAAUCUUAAACACUUCAUCAACCAAUAACUAAGUCUAUAUGGAGUGGAAAACUCUCCAAACAUAAGACAAAUGUAAUACUUUUCUUCUUCUUACAGAAUCUUUUCUAGAUACAUAUAUUUAUAGUAAACAUAAAGAUAGCUCCUAAUACAGAAGUAGUUAUUUUUGUAGAUAACUGCCUAAUAACUGUUGCCAAUAACUUUUAUAGAUAAAUACUGCUUAUAUAUUUUAUCCUCUUUAAAAAGAAACUAAUAUAAAUAGGUAGUUCGUAAUUUGUAUUAGUGCAUCCCCUCUGAAAAGUUGCCUUUUCCUUAAGGCAAAAAAAAAAGGAGCCUAAUCUACAAUGAGAUAAUAGAUCUCCCAACUAGCUUCUUCAAGGUGAUAGUAAACCCAUUGAACUAACCGAUGUCAUCCCUUGCAGCUUCUAACGUUUCUCCUUACAAUUGAGAUUAUGAACAUAUCCUUCCAAUUAGCUUGAAUAGCAUUGAGAGAAACUAAUUAGUUGAUAUCAAAAACAAAAUCAACCCCUUCUAGUGCAAAAUGAUAAUAAUCCCGAGUGAUGGUAAAACAUGGCAAUUGAAUUUGAAGAUUUUGGCAAACUUUAUUGCAGCGAAUAAUUUCUCAUUCCCUAUUUGCACGCCAAAUGUUUGACCUAUGUGUACUGGGAGCUUAUGCUUCUCUACAAUCGAUUCAACCUUAAAAUUAUGUGUAGGACCACUAUUCACAAGUACUAAAACCUUUUUUAUGGUUGAUUUCACCUUGAAGUUUCAUUGUAGAACCAACUGACUGACCUAAAAUGGAAUGGAAUGGAAUGAAAUUUCAACAAUGUCAGUUUCUUAAGAGUCGCCAAUAGUCUUUUGCAUUAACCCAAUCAACAUCUUCCAAUAGAUGUCCACAUGUAAGCUCCACGAGAGACAAUUUCACAAAUUUACCUUUAUGAUCGAGUGAAAAUUUGUCAUGGCAACGAUAACAAAGGGCUUGUGCUAUUAGAUUUCUUUUCUCAGUUUCCCAUGUUUGUAUUCAAAGAGGUUGGGAAGUGGAUGGAUUAGGAGAAGCAUUGUUCUGUUGAUUUUGAAGUGAAGAUUUAAUAUUGUUCUGGGUGUUAAUAGAAGAGUGCAAUGAGUUUUGUAUAGUAGAUCUACUGGUUAGGGUCCAAUUAGACUCUCCAUUGCUGCAAAUUAUGCCUAAUUUAUUUUCAAACUCGAGUACCAAACUUAUGGAUCUAUAAACUAUUUUGGGCUUGUCAAUCCUAACAUCAAAUUUAAUUUCCUCUUUCAGCCCAUUCAAGAACACCCCUAAAGAGAAUGAUCUGGCCAUUUUGUUACCCUAGAAGAAAAUUUGUCAAGUUCUUGACGAUACUCUUGUAUAGAACCUUUUUGUUGAAUACUACGAAGAUGCUCAUCAGGAUUUUGAAACUUUACAGGACCAUAAUUUUCCCGCAAUGCUUUAACAAUCUCUUCCCAAUAAAUCAAUGUACGCUCACAAUUUAUCCAAGAGAAGAGAUCAAGAACAUCACCUUCCAGAUAUAUCGUUGUGGUAUCAAAUUUGUGUUCCUCUGGAGUUUGAUAGUAGCAGAAAUAUUUUUAUGCUUUCAAAAUCCAUCUCCUGAGUCACCCACCUUCGAAUCUAGGAAAUUCCAUCUUUGUGUGUGGCCUCCAAGAAGGACCUUUUGGCCACAUUUAGUUAUAAAUGUCUUCUUCUUCUUUUCGCCAAACAUAUUAUUCUCCAAUACGAGUGUGGUGAAAGGUAUCCCCUUCUUGGGUGCAACCGUUUUGGGCUUUCAAUGUAGCCACUUCGGCUGGCAACAAACCAAUAAUAUUUAGUUUUGAUGCUAUGAUAAAUCACUGUUUGGCAAGAGUUUCAAUAUUGGAAGUUUUUUCUUGAGAAGUAGAAGAUCUAGUAUUGAGCACAUUGGAUCGAUUUGCUCUAAUACCUAACUCAUAGAAACCAAGAUGAAAAUAAAACUUUAAUAUUACUUUUCUUCUUCUUACAGAAUCUUUACUAGAUACAUAUAUUUAUACUAAACAUAAAGAUAGCUCCUAACACAGAAAUAGUUACUAUAGUAGAUAACUUCCUAAUAGUUGCUGCCAAUAGCUGUGAUAGAUAAACACUGCUUAUAUAUUUUAUCCUCUUUAAAAAGAAACUUAGAUAAACAGGUAGUUCGUAGUUCAUAUCAGAAACACUGUAAUAUAAGAUCGUAUUUGGAAAAUGUUAUCAUUAAUGUUGAAUAUGUCAAAUCUUGUGAUAAUCUUGCAGAUUCACUUACUAAGGUCUUAACAAGAGAAAAGGUUUGGAGCACAUCGAGGGGGAUGAGACCAAAAUCUAUAAAUCCUUGAGUCAUAUAUGAGGACACCCAACCUAGGGACUAAAGAUCCAAUAACUAGGUUUAAAAGGGAAAAACUAUUCAUAUGAUAACUUGUUAUGAAAAAUGCACUAUUUCUUUAUUUUCUCCCUAUGAUGUGAGUGCAUUAUUUCUUAUAGUUAUGUGUGAAGGUUGAGUUUACAAAACUCUUAAUGAAAAUUUAUAGCCCGUAUGAGUGGAAUGUUAAACUUACAAGAGCAUUCUCGAUAGAUAUCACAUAUGUGAGUGUGGAAAUAGGUUGCUUCCUAUGAGAAUUGGGCUUAUUAUCAAAAGCACUCAUAAAACCGAGAUAUCACAAGGCCAUAACGUGAUGACUUUAAAGCAUAUGUUAACACUUUGAUUAUUAUUGGUGAGAAGUAGUAUUUUAUUUAACUUAAGUAGUCAUAGUUCAAGUCUGAGAUCACUAGGAUUCUGCAAUAAAAGUUAUUGUUUCACUAAGUGGAGGAUUAAUGAAGUUCAUCUGAUAUACUCUUUUGUUUAAUAUUAAAUAAGUGGGGUAUUGAUAGUGUAAGUGACAUUUUGAUAUUCUAAAAUGUUGUUGUUGGUUGACUUUUCAUCAUGUGCUAAUUGGUUGACUUCUCAUCAUGUGCUAAUGUUAAUGAGAAUAUUUUUUGUCGCAUAUUACACCUAAAAUUAGUGCAUAUAUGUCACUACUCUUUUUGCCGUUGGUGGCCAAAACUUCUCCCCCAUUCAAUCUUCAUUAUAUCACUUUUUAAUCCUCCAUUAUUCUUUGUAACCUAUGUCACAUAUGUAACGUCUAGACCAUUUAUCUUUUAUCUAUUUGCUACCCCGUUAUCUUCCUAUUCAUUGCUUGGAAGACUUCUUCCAGUAUAAUUUAUGAUGGUCUUCAUUUGGUUUACUUUCAACAAAACUAUAGAGUAAAAAAGUUAGUAAAAAAAGAGUUCUAAUUAGUCGAAGGGAGGUGUUCUUUUUGUGAAUUUUUGGACUCAACUCUUGUCCAGGUUGUUGAAUUAUACUUUGUGUUAAGGUUGUUAUAUAAUGGAGGGGAAAAGUCAAGAAGAACUAGUGCUGAACCGGUAAAAAACAUUUGUUGCAGUAGGCUUAAAUCUCCUUAAAGAGAACGAGAUAUUCGCGCCUCAUCUUGAAGAGUUUUAUUUCUUCAUUUUAUAUUCAAUUGUAAUCUUGUAGCUUUGUUAUAUUGUAAUUUUUCACUAACAGUUACAACCCUUGGUAAAGGGAACACCUUUUCAUAAAAGUCACAAGUGUUCAUAAAAGUCACAACUUUUCAUAAAAAUCGCAACUUUCGGUAACCGUCAUAACUUUUCAUCAGUGCAACAUACUGAUAUAUAGUGGUUUCACGGUACUUCCAAUGUUUUUUUCUUAAGUUUAGUGCGCGUCUAGGGCCUUUUUGUAGUAAUUUUAAUGGUUUUUAUCUGUGUUUUGCAAGAAAGUAAUCCAAAAUAGAAAUGCAAAAGUUUGUGCAGAAGAGGUGACCCAAGAAGCCAUCGACGGCCCGUCUUUCCCUAAACCAAAGUUGAAGAAAAACUAAGUAUGGAACAACAGAGGCAUCGAUGGACCAUAGAUUUAUCGACAGAUCAUGAUGUUGGUUCGUUGAUUGGAUCAGAAAAUAUGCCAGGAUGAAGGCUGAAGAAGUUGCAAAGUAUGGAACGACGAUAUGCACCGAUGGACCAUAUAUACAUCAACGGACAGUGUUGUUGGUUCGUCGAUUAGAUCAGAGAAGGUGCGAUUUGGAGGCUUGAAGAAGAUGCUAAGUGUGAAACGAUGGAGGCAGUCGACAGUCCGUCGUUCCAUUGAUGGACAGUCAGUGGUGUCGUCGAUUGAAGACACGUUUCUGGACAGACUUUCCUUAUUUAGAACUCCUUUUAAUUUAGGACUUCAUUAUUAUAAAUAGGAUUAAAACCGUCAUUUUUAGGGUUAUACUUUUUAUUAUUUUUCAUACUUUUGUUAUUGAAAGUUGAACUUUUGAUUUUGGGAAUUACUUCAAGUUUCCGGAAUCAAUUCUCAAGAUAUUUUCAUUAAUUCAAAUGUUAUGUCUGGAUUUUCUUCAAACUUGUCAAAGUAAGUACAUGAAUUCUUGUUUAAUAACUAUGAAUUGUGUAUUUUUAAGCAUGGGUAACUAAAUCUACAACUAGGGACGUGGGGACCAUGAGUAAUUGACAAGGUAAAACUAGAUAAUAACAAUUCUAGAAUAGUUUCUUGCAUGUAUUUUUUUCGUUUAGAAGUCUUUUUAACGAGUGCACGCGUUAGAACUUUCCCUAUUUCUACUUGCCGGACCAAGGAGGUAGUUGAUAGGAAAAGAAUUAUCAUCAUAGAUUUAGUAUAAGCUAUCUAAUAGGUUAGUUUCAAUUGGUUCGAAGUAGUAACUUAGCCAUACAUCGAAUAUGAUGUUUAAUAUGAGGUAAAGGUAAGGUUAUGUAAAGUAGACACACGUAGCCAGACUAAGGUACAAAGUGAAAUUCUGUAGUUGCCGGACCAAGGAAUUAGGGAUACAUAACUUACCACUUUUCAUGCAAGACAGUAGGAAAAAAAUUGUUAUAGCUAGGAUUACCUCGUUAUGAACCUAUGGGGAACACUUACACCCCUAGUUUCUCUCAUCACUUGAUAAACACCAAAGUUAUAAACUUGCUAUUUGUCAUACUUAGAAAUAAUUAAGCAUUUUUGUUUUACAAACUCCCCCCCCCCCCCCCCCCCCCACCUUUAAUUAAUUGUUUUAGGAAAGGACUUGACUAAAUAGACGUAAUCGUAGCUUAAAGUUAAGUCUAAACCAGUUUCCUCGAGGGACCGACCCAAACCUAACAAUUGAGUUCUUUAGUUUAUACGACUGCUUAUACUUAUUUAGGAAAGUAUAAUUUGAGCGUAUCACAUACAUAAGCCAAUACUACAAUAUAUCACAUGUAUAUAUCAAACAUAUACAAUUUUAUCAACAUUUAUGAACAAGGUGCAAUUUCACAUUACUCAAGAUACACAAUUAUGUCAACUUAUUGGUCCUCUCAUGUAACUCAAACCCAAACAAUUAGCAUACCAAAAUGUGGUACCCGAUCCAAAUGUUUAUGCCAGAACAUGGAAAUUGAUUCCAUAAUUAUGUUUGUAUGUGGCAACCGAUCCAAGUUAGUGUGUCUGAAUUCAACACCGAUCAACUCAACAAGACACAAUCACAAUCACACAGUAUAUUCUCAUAAUCAUACAAUCAAGUGAUGGUUCAUGACUUUCAUCAUUUAUAUUUCCUCAUUUAAGUUAAUGUGAUCAAUAAUACAAUAUUCACAUACUUACAUGUAUCCUUAUGACGGAAGAUAAAUAAACAUCACACAAUCAUAGAAUCACAAUCAUCACCUACCUUGAGUCCAGCUUGAAACCUUAAUAAACUUGAUCCUCUCCUUUCCGAAUUUGGUUCUCUUGUUCUUGGUGUAAAAACAAUCAUAAUAACACGGGAAUCAAUAAAGAUCUCUAAUUACCCAAAUUACUAGCAAUUCUAUGAGCCCUAGACCAAACCCAUGAUACCAAUCUCCCAAUUAGGGAUGUUUCUAUCAUAAAUUCAAGAUCAAAACCCUCUCUCAUUGAUAAUUACCCAUUAGACUACGUUCUACGGAUCAAAAAAUGUAUUUACGGACUUAAAAUCUUACCUUUAGCCUUAAGAAAUAUGGAAAACUAUUAACAAAAGACAUAGGUUCGUUCCUUAGCUGUCAAAUUCAAAAAUUGCAGAAUAAAAUAUUUUAGAGAUUUAUUUAUGACAUUAAGUCGCGCCUGGUCUGCCAUAGCAGCCCCCUCCCCGCUACAACGGCCCUGCCCUGGAGACAGAAAUUACUGCCAAAACGACUUGCACGGAAAAGUGAGCUAUUAUGAUAAAUCCAAUGCCCUCAUUUCUCAACACAACUUCAACUAACAACACUCAGAAAAUACCCGUUCAUGCUAAGAUCAAUUCUGGGAGUUUUACUCGCCCAAAUUUAAACUCGUAAAGUCGUACCAGUUCCUUAAUGAUUUCUAUCUACUCAUGUAACAAAAAUCAUAAUUAAAUCACCCGAUUGUUUCCAAAUUCAUCUACACCUUAAUGACUCCGAUUUCAUCCAAAUAUGGACUAGGUUGGGAAAUUUCAAGUUUUUACUAAAAAGUCUUUCAACCCAAACUUUUUCCUAAUUGGCUUUUUUUAUAACGGCGGAACCCCGUCGUUACAUUUGAUUUUUUGGUUCUUCCAUUAAAGUAUUCAUACAAACAUAUAAUUACUUGUACUUCAAAUAUUUUGGUAAUCCUACCAAAAUACAACUAUCUAAGCGGUUUAUUAACAAAAUUACACAAAAUAUGAUAUGAUUAAUGACACUAAAAUAUCCAACAAAAAAAUAAUAAUGAAAUUGCAUAAAAAAUUAUUGCAAAUUAAUAAUUAAUGAUGCAAAUGAUCAUAAUUUAAAAGUACUAGCUACAUGACUAAAUUUUAAAGAAAAUUAAAAUUAGAUUUUAUAUUUUGAUUGUCUAAACUAAUGUAAAAAUAAAAAAAAUUCAAUAUUAUUUUCAUUAUUAGUGUUGAAUUGAUUUUUUUUGCAUUAGUAUUAAUUUGAUUAUGAUUUAAACUUUAUAAAAAUUACUAACAUCUAUGAACUAAAAACUUUAUUGGACCUUUCAGAAUUCUAAAUUUUAAGCUUGAUAAUAUAUUAAAAGAUAAAAACUAUGAAAAUGUAUAACAAAAUAUUUAAAAAUUAUAUGAAAAGUAAAUAUUUAUGUCCAUCACAGAAGUUUCUGACACGACAAUCUUUUAUGGGUUCAAAUUCAAUUGGAAAGUCAUGUAUUUUGUAAUGCUAGUUAUUACUUAAUAAUACAUUUAAGUUCAUACAUAAAGUUUAAUUUAGAACUAUGAUUAUAAUAAUAGUUUACAUAAUAAAUACCUAGGGUAAGUCAUUUGUGUUCCUUCAUAAAAAAAAUGAAAUAUUUCAUUUUGAAACAAUAUCAUUAAUAUUCAUGCCAUUUGCUAAAUUAUAACUCAAUUUCGUUCAAUGCAAGUAUAUCUUUUAUUUUAGUUAUGAUUAUAUAAAGUAACAUUCAUAGACAUUCAUGUGAAUUUACUUGAUUAUUUUUUUUCUAUAUUAGAAAAAUAUACCAUCUUACGCAUAAAAUUCUAGAGUGAAAUUUUCGAGUGAAUGGUACCAAUGUAGAGGAGAGGGCAUUAGGUUUUUAGUUAAGAGUGAUAAAACACAGAAAAUAAACCAACGGCUGCAAGAAAUACCAUAGUAAAAUUUUCAAGGGGAAUACAACUUUGUGAGUAAGGAGAAAACAUUAACAAGAAUAUUCAAAUAAUUAACAGUUCAAACAAUUUACGGAUAAAAUAAAAAUACACAAAUGCUUAGACAUGGAUAUUAUUGUCCUUGAAGCAUUAAGCAUAGUCCACCUCACUAGUUUCAUCAUCACAAAUGUGUCGUUUGAAUUUGAAUCAACAUGGAUCAUAUCAAUCGAAAAUAGGAAAUUAUCUCUCUUAUAUGUGGUCCUUCAAAUACACAUGAGGGGUUUCAUUUUGAUCAAUAACUAUUGAAUUCAAAUCUCGUUUGUAGUUCCUUAUUUUUGCUUGAAGUAUUUCGUUGUAACUGAUCGGCUUGCACGUCUAUGUUAUUAUCAUUUCCCAUGCGUGUGAGAGAACGAUAUGGUGGUAGCAGUGGUAGUAGUUGUUGAUUUUUCUUAACAUCUCUGUCAUAAUUGUUACGUCUUAUUGAGCCUACACGAUAUGAGGGUGGUGUUGGUAGCUGAAGAUUUUGAUGCAUUACUUUGUCAUCAUCAUUACCUCUAAUCAAGUGGGCACCAUCUGAGGAUGUGGAUGUAGACAUCAACAUGGUUUUUGAAUGUUGGAAUAAUUCUGAAGGUGUUUGUAAUGAUUCACUUAGGUUAUUUGAUCUUUGUACUACGUUUAUCUCCCUUUAAUCGUCAAGAGGAUGAGAAAGAAGAUGAUUCAUAAAUACUUGAUACCUGCAAACACUUUUAUCACGAAUAGGACAACGGACCAACGAUAGAUUACUUAACAUUCUGAAAAAAAUAGAAAAGGACGAAAGAUAGAAAAAAUCAAUAUUUGAGUUCAAACAAUAUAAAAUAUUUACUUGAAAAGAUUACAACUUCACCUAUCUGAUGAUAGUGGCUGUAACGGUAGCAACAGUGGUAGUUCUUUGUUUGCAUGCAAAUCUAUAGUUAGUUCUGUGUCAUCAAUGUUACGUCUUAUUGAGCCGGCACGAUAUGAGGGUGGUGUUGGUAGCUGAAGCUUUUUAUGCAUGACUUUGGCAUCAUCGUUACCUCUAAUCAAGUGGGCACCAUAUGACGAUGUGGGUGUAGACAUCAACAUGGUUGUUGAAUGUUGGACUAAUUUUGAAGGUGUUUGUAAUAAUUCACGAUGACUUUUUGAUCCUUGUACUGUGUUUAUCUCUAUUUCAUCAUCAAGAGGAUGAUAAAGAACAUGAUCCAUAAAUACUUGAUACCCGCGAAAACUUUUAUCACAUAUAGGACAAUGGACCAACGAUAGAUUAGUUGACAUUCUAAAAGAAAUAAAAAAGGUCGAAGAUAAAAAAAUAAUAGUUAAGUUCAAACAACAUAAAAAAUUUACUUAAAAAGAUUUCAACUCCAACUAUCUGAUGAUAGCGGCGGUAGCGGUAGCGGCUGUGGUAGUUCUUUGUUUGCAUGCAAAUUUGUAUAACUAUCAUUAGCGCCAGCCCACCUGGGAUGAAAUAACUGUGGAGAUUGUAUUGAUUGUGAAGCAACUUUUUUUCUUAUAUGUCUGAUUCGGAAGAUUUUGAUGAUUGAAUUCUAAGUAUGUCUGAACCUUCAACAUCGUACAUCUCAUUUGAUUGGUUGAUUUGACGAGAUUGAACAUAAUUGAAUAGUGAGUGGUAACCAUAAUAAUGAGUCAAUAGUUCUUGAUAGAGUUUUUGACCAAAAUGAGCUAUUUUUAAAAUCAAUUCACCAAAAUAUUACGUUUUAAAUUUUUUUCACAAAAUUAGUAUAAACGUACUUCAUGGUAACGUUUUAGGAUAUUUUCAUUAUAAAAAUUCAACGGACAAAAAGUUAACGGGUUGGCGACGUUAAACGCAUAAACGUAACUUUGAGUAACGUUUUAGGUGUAAAACGUUACUCAAGAGUACGUUUUGGAGAAUCCAAUCACGGGCCACUGACUCCAAUCCUGCAAAGGCAAAGUCAAAUCAUUCAACUGUAAAAUGUUACUAUGAGUAACGUUUUACACCUAAAAUGUUACUUUCAGUCCCGUUUCUUAAGAUUCCAAUAACGGGCCUCCGACUUCUGCAAAUUUAGAAUAUAUUUAGCUAUAAAACGUUACUCACAAUGACAUUUUACCUUAAAAACGUUGCUGUCAAUUACAACACUCUGUUAAAGUCAUAUUCCUCCAUUUUUCAAACUAACCAAAGUGACUAUAAAUAAAUGUUGUUGUAAUAUUUUGCAUGUUCAAAUAUAAUUCAGCAAAAUUUUUCCUUGUGUGGUCCAUUUUAAAAAUAAUAUUCACAAAAUUUCAUCAUGUAUGAGCGAGCUUGUGGAUUAUGAGUGAGCUACGAGGUUAGAUCUAUACACUGUCUGCCUGCAUAAUCCACAAGCUCGCUCAUACACUGUAGAACUACGAUCCAUUUCAUUAUGUAUUCUAGUUGUCCUUUGGCCGAUUAGGAUGAUGAUAGAAUUCUUUACUUCUCAUUGUAAAACUUGGAGAUGACCAAUAUGACUCAUGACCAAUUGGUGAGAAUGACCCAGAAUAUGUUGCAACAUAAUUCGCUAUUGUGAAAUGCUCGCUAACAAAAUUUCUAGCUAGCCUUCCCAUUAUAUUAGUUACCUUCAUGACAUGUGAACACGGGAAGUGCAGAUUAACCCAUUUUCCACAAUCACAUUUUCUUUCAUUUAGUGAAACACAAUGAGGAUUACCACCAGUACCAUCAACUUGUAUAGAUCUAACCUCGUAUACUCCUAUGGGUAUAUUCCAAUAAAAAACAAAGUGCCUCUUUGAACUUUCAUAAUUCUACUCCCACUUUAUUUUGAACCUCCCGGUCCAUAAUUCAUUUUGCUCUGCAAGUUGGUGUGCUAUUUGAGACCUACGGGUAUACCGUUCAAUAGUUUGCUCCAAUGAAAGUCUAAUCAUAGCAGUGACAGGCAAACCUCGUGCUUUUUUCAACACCCCAUUGAAUAACUCUGAAAGAUUUGUUGUCAACACUCCCCAUCCUUUUCCAUCAUCAUGGCUAACAGUCCAUUUAUCCAAGGAAAUUUCCAUGAGGUAUUCAUGUGCUUCGAUAUUUUCUUCUUUAAUUUUCCACAUCAUGGACUCAAACUUCCUUACUUGAUGGGCUGAAGCAGCCCUCCACAUCAAUCUGCUGAGGUCCUUGUUUGGAAAUUAGAUUGAAAGUUGCUCUUAAGAUGUCUUAUGCAAAAUCGAUGGAAGACUCGAGGCUCUUGAAAUCGCCGUAGCUCUCGCAAACUAGUUAAGAUUCCUUUUGCCCUAUCAGAUAUAACACAUACAUUUUGUCUACUUUUUAUCACAUGUGCACUCAAAUUUUUAAAAAAUCAUUUCCAUGCCUCUUUUGAUUCUUUGUCUAUAAUAUCAAACGCUAAAGGGAGAAUGUUGUCAUUUCCUUCAAUUCCAACAACAAUUUAUAAUUUGAUCUCAUAUUUUCCAUAAAUAUAAGUUCCAUCUACUGAAAUAACUGGGCGACAUGUUUGGAAUCCAUCAAUGCAUGGCUUGAAAUCUCAAAAUACAAAUUUAAAAGUUUUUACCUCCGAUGAACUCAUAGACUCUUCGUGUUUCCAUUCCACAAUUGUUCCAUGGUUAAAGUGUUGAAAAGCUAUAAAAAAUUUAGGUAGGUCACUAAAUGAUUUCUUAAAGUCACCAUACACCAAUUCAAAUGCGUGUUGGCGUCCAAGCCAUGCUUUUCUACAUGUCACUUGGUGACCAAAAUUUUCAUGAACCUUUGAAAUGACAUCUACCACCAAGAACUUAGGAUUUUUUCUAAUUUGAUUUAGAAGUAGUGAUGCAAUCAAAUUGGUAUUUAGGUUGGCGUGGCCGCUAGAAAGCCCCUCAGUCUCACAUCUAUGGUUUACAACAUAUUUUCCUAUCUUCUAAAAUUUAUCUCCAACUUGUCGUCCUCGAAGAAACCACAUGCAACCCAAUAAAUUAUAAAACUUACAUCUCACAACCCAUAGACUUUUGGUAGAUGUUACCACCUUGAACUCCUUAUUUUUGUGCAAACUCCAAAUCGUUACAGCCGUUUUCAACUUUUCUUUACUACUAAAAAGCAUACCUUUUUUUAAAUAUUUUUUUUGCUUGCUCAGACCAAACUGAACAACAUUCCAUCUU